rnacentral:lncRNA from 1 species
UUUUUCCCUUCUCCUGGAUGAUUAAAAUAUUUGUAAGUUGUGAGGGAAAGUGACAGAGUCUUGAUUUUAGAUAACCUUUAAUUACUUUCUUAAAAUAGAAGAGAUAAAUAUAGUGAAAAAAAAAUUCAUUAUAUUUUCUGUUUUGAAAAUAUAAAAAUUUAUUUUAAAAUUAUUUGAGAUAAAUUAAUUACAAGUCUCUAUCUUUUUCUCUUUAAUCCAAUAGAUUUUUAUCUUUUUAAUAUUUAUUUUUUUGAGUCUUGAAAUACUAACCAUACAUAAUUUUAAAGAAUAUAUUGUAUCUACUAGUUAACUGAGAUAGUUGAACAUCGGCAGUAGGCUAUUUCAAAAUAGAGAAAUUACUAGUUAUUUGACGGAUAAUAGUUUUGGCAAUAAAUAAAUAAAUAUGUAAGCUUUUUAAAUAUAUUGUUUUUUUUAAAGAAAAUUUAAUUAUAAAUAAAAAAUCCUAUACAUGCAUUUAAUUAAACACACCGAGAAUCAUCUGUGUCAAUAAAUACAAAAAACAAAAUGUUAACGCAUUUAUUCAAUUCGCAUUGCUCCAGGUUAAGUGAUUUUUUUCUAAUGCAAAGAAAUUAAUAUGAUGGUGUUAUUAAUGCGUUUUCUGACAUUGAGUAAAAUAUAUAAUUGUGAAUUAAAAAGUUGAUACAUAUAUAUAAUAAAAUAUAGUAAAGAUCAUAUGCGUUAAUAAAAAUAUAUAAAAUCUUAAGUUAAUUUUUAACGUAGCAGAAAAAUAAAAUAAUGUUGCAAGUGCUAUAGUUUGACACCAUUUCCUUAGUCUUUGUAUAAUAAUUUUUCAAAAAAAUGUAAAGAAAUUUUGUUUUUUAAAAAAAUACAAAAGAAUAAAGAUAAGAAUAAAAAAAAUAGUAUAAAUAAGUCAAGUGUAAAGUGAUAAAUAUUCAACGUGUAAAAAAUAAAAAAAAAUAUUUUUUUCCAAAAAAAUGUAAAGAAAAAAAAUAAAAAACUAAAAAAACAUUACAAAAUAAUGAAGAUACGAAAAAAAUGUUGAUAAAUAGAUCAAGUGUAAAAUGAUAAAAACUCCAGGUGUAAAGAGCGAAAAAUAUAAAUAAAGAAAUUUUUUUUAAAAAAAAUUCAAUUUUACCAUGGCUACAGUAAAAAUGCAAAAUAUGUAAUUUUGCCAUUUCUACAAGAAAACACUGUUUUGUUUUAGUAUAUGUAUUAGCCAUUUAACUCGAGCUUUGCUGUAGGUUAUAAUGUUUUUAAAACAAAUACCUGGUUUACAGGCUGUUUCAACGUGUUUUUUUUUACAUAAAAAAAUUCGAAGUAUAAAUUGAAAAACCUAUGCAAUCAUCUAACUAAAUAAAUCGAUAAUCAUUUAUUUAAAAACAAAACAUUAACAAUAACCAAUAAAGAAACUGUAAAAAUUAAGAGAUGAAUGUAGAUCAAGAUAUUUAAUAUCAUAAAAUGAGACAUUCACCCAGUUGUGUUUACUAAACUUAUUUAUUUAAAUAUAUGAAAGAUAAAUCCACCCUAAAAAACCCAUGACUUAAACGAGAAAUAUAAAUAAAACUAAUUGAAUAAACCACACCAUAAAAAAUAUUACACAAGGUCGAAUACAUCAGCAAAAUGUAAGGAAUUGACACAUGUUGAUAUGAUGGAAAUAUAUGAAAAAAAACAUAAAAAAGCCUCGAGUGAACCUGGCAGCCAAUUCGAGUCAACAAAUCAAACACAUGACCUAGGAAAUGAAAUUGAGAUGAUCCCAUAAAUAACAAAGCAAAAAAAAUACCGGCAAAAAAUCUAUUUGAAAAAAAAUUCUUUACAAAAAAAUCAAAGUCGACUUGGGCUAAUUUUUCAAAUUUGUGACCCAGGUCAUGAGAUCGCGGUGACCCUAUUAAAAGCAAACAAAAAAAAACAAAAAAGCAAGAUUCAUAAUCAAACAAAUAUUGAGGGAUAAAAUUGAAAAAAGAAUCAAUAAAAAAACAACGCAAAAAAAAUUAAAAGAAUUAGGAUUAAAUUCGACAUAAAAAUUAAAUAAAUUAAAUAUUGAGGGAUGAAAUUGUAAAAAAAAAAAAACAAAUCAAUUAAGAAAAUGAUUUUAAAAAUAGAAAUUAAAAAAAUUAGGACUAAGUUUGACAUAAGAAUUAAAUGAAAAUAAAUGCUUAGGGAUGUAAUUGAAGAAAAACACAUCAAUCAAGAAAAUUAUUAAAAAAAAAAUUAACAAUUAAAAGAAUGAGGAUGAAAUUUGAUAAAAACAAUUAAAAGACCAAACAACCAGGGAUGAAAUAAAAAAUAAAAUCCAAUUAGAAAUAAUCAAUGUAAAUAAAACAAUUGCAAUAAUGAGAAGAGGGACUGAAUCAAAAGAAAAAAGAAAUUGAAUGGUUGAUAUAUUUUUUUACAUGCAAUUUACGGAAAGAAGACAAGGAAAAGAAAAGAAAAAACAGUAAAUUAUCACCAAACCAAACCUAACUAUCAUCCACAUGCCACCUAUAGUGGAAAAGGACGCUGAGACGAAUCAAAUGAUGUGGUAGAAUCACAAUUAACACCACUAAAGGCAAUCAUACGUGCUGCCUGAAGACGGCAGAGUGACUGACACGCCAGUAACCUUUUCUCUUUCUUGUUUUAUCUGUACAAAAGCAAAAAUGACCCUAGGACUAAACAUUAAUAACAAAAAAAGUCCAUUAUCAAAUCACAAUUAAGUCCUUGAAGUCAAGCCUAAAUUUUUUGAAUAGUAAGGGUAAUGGAGUAAUUACACUACUCAUUGAAAUUUGAAAUUACUAUAAGGUCCCUGAACCAAAGGUCAUGAUUUUUAACUUUGUAAAGGCAAUACGGUAAUUGUACUGUUACGAAAAAAUUGAAAGACAUUGUUGCCCUUAAAGAAAUAGAGAAUGAAAAAUUGACCAUGUACAAAUACAACUUUACCCCUUAAUCAAAGCUUUAGAAAUAAAAGAGUGAAGAGUAAAAUGAUAAUUUCAUUGUAAUCCUAAAUAUAUUUUACUAUAGAUUGAGCUAUAAUAAAAUAACUAUGGGAUUUAGUUUUUAUAAUAAUUAGUUAGUUAGUUAGAAGGGAACUAAAAUGUUGAUCAACUGGCUAUCAAUAAAUUAAGCUUCAAGGAUAAACAAGGCAACUCAUUAUUGAUAAAAGUUUUAAAACUCGGCCCGACGCGACGGGUUGACCCGGGACUUGGCUGAUCCGGGGCUGAAACCGGGUCGGGUUUAAGAAAAAACCAGCUAGGGAUUUGGCCCGGCAAAACCCGGUCGACUCAGAGGGUGGACCGGGGACCCGUAAGACCCGAGUAAACCCAAAUGAGACCCGGUUGUGUUUAUAUAUAUAUAUAUAUAUAUAUAUAACAUCACCAUUACUGUCAAACCAUUUAAACCAUGAAGAGUCGAAGAUAGAAAACCUAAUCUCUUCAAUCUUCAAAGCCAUAUUAGUUGCAAAGAAAAGCAGAGAAAUUUAAGCCACACACAAAAGACUUCAAGGCAAGCCUGCUACUUGUUUGGCUCUCUUCAGUUCAGAUCUACGAAUCAAGGUAAGAUUAAGCUAAUGUUACUUGUUUCUAUUUAAUUUUUUGUUAUUUAUUGCUUGAUUCUUCCAAGUAAAAGAAUAUGAUUCGUUGUCAUUUAAUUACAUGGCUCUUCUGGUUUCUGGUUUCCAGUUUCUGGUUUUUUUGGUUAUUAAUUUGUUGUCUAUAAUAAUAUCAAUGCAAUCCAGAAAGAAAUCAAAAGAAAAAAAGAACUCACACUUAGUCUGAUGUUUGCAUACAUAAGAAAAUCCAAGAUUAAAUGAGUAGUCUUCUUAGUAUCAGGCGAGGGUUGGCAUUUCCAUCGCCAUUCUAGCUUUGUCCCUUCUUUCUCAAACGUCCACGACCAUAGUUUUUAAGUUCUUAUGAAAAUCCACUCAAAUUUCCACUAAAGCAACAACUGUUUUACUGUUUAUAAUGAAAAAGGGAAAAGGGAAAGGUUUUACUAACUCGCUGGAUUAGGGCCAUGGCUCUAUCUCUCACCUCCUCUUUCGUUGUUGUCAAAUAGAAGAUUAAACUUCUGGCUUGAGAAUGAAAAUGACAUGGAAUAAGAGAGGAAAUUGUGGGGUUUUAUUUACCGUUGCAGAACCAGGAAUUAAGGCCGUGUAAUUUUACUUUUUUACAAGAAAGAAACAGAAACCAAAGAGCAACAAAAAACCAAGUUUGUAUAAGGGAGGGGUAUGAGUUGUGUCUAUAACUUGCAUACCUUUAUUGGUCCGUAGCAGCAUCAAAUGCCAGCCUUCUGGUUUUUUAGGGGCAUCCAACAUUGGUUCCAAACAAAGAGUAAUAAGUGUGCUCAUAUUUGUUUUUAUUGGCUUUAAUUGCAAGGACACGCAAGAGAAAGGCCAACCUUUUUAAGUCCUUAAUUGCGAAGAAAUCAAUAAUUAAAAAGCCAACAAGAUUGAUCACUUCUUUUAGCAGUCUGUCUUCAACAUGUAUAAGUUGUUGGGUUUUGGGAUUUAUGCUUUUUAACUUUUCCAGCCCUUAGUUUUCUUAUACAAAGUAAACUAAUAUUGCUCAUAUGGACACAUAAUAUUUAAAAUAAAGUAUUGUUUAACACAUAAUAUUUAUUUGUUAAUUGUGUUUUAAAUGUAGAUUUCAUAAAUAUUAAUUAGAUUGAAGAUGCUUGUGAUAAUAAAGUUUCAAAGGAGCAUGUUGAUGUUUUAUUAGGUGUUGAUAAGAUUGGCUCAAUUCCAUCGACAUUUGAUUUAAAUUUUUCUCCUAAGAACACCGAAGAACUUAAUGUAUUCAUUCAACAAAAGUAAAUGUAUUGUUGAUUUAGAAUUUAUGUUUUUGGAUAUUUUAUUUUAAAUAUUUUAGAAUUUAUAUUUGGAAAUAGACCUCCAAAUGUUAGCCCAAGGGAAAUUGGCUUCAAGUUUUAACCAUGACACGUGAAAUUGCCUUCUCAAAUUAUACUUGAUACUGUUGUAUAUAAAUUAACUCAAUUUCUGUCUAAACCUACCAUUCUACUAGCUAGAAUUCUAGAAAUUAUAUAUGUAUAUGGUAUUAUGUUAUAGUGAAAAUUUUAAAAGUGCUUUUCAUUUAAAAAUGUAUCAAAAUAGGUUUUUUUAGAUUUUUAUUUUAUUUUUAACAUCAACAUAUUAAAAUCAUCAGAAAAACACUAAAAAAAAUUAAUUUGAUGCUUUUUCAAGGUAAAUGCACUUUUAAAAUACAUCCAAACACUAUUGAAAACACAUUCCCAAACAAACAUGAAGUGUUUGUUUUUGAGGUGGCACCACGCUUUUGAAAAAAAAUAAUUUUUUUUGCUUUAAAUUGAUUUUUUAGUGUUUUUAAAUUGUUUUAAUAUGUUGAUAUCAAAAAUAAAUUUAAAAAAAUAUAAAAAAUAUUGUUUUAAUGCAUUUCCAAGUGAAAAAUAUUUUGAAAAACAAUUGCUAUCACAAUUCCAAACACUAUAUAAUUCUACGCAAUGGUUUGAUGCAAGUUUUAAUGAUUACAUAAAGUCAUAGCUGACAACUUCAAAUAAUAACAAAGAUAAGUGGUCCUUCCUUCAUUACAUGACAAGAAGGGGAAAUCCCAGAUUUCUAUCGAAAUGAUUUAAAUCCUUCCAUCUACAUUUUCCAAAUCAACUUUAAACCAAAAAAUCAACAUUUAUACAAGAAACAUUUCUAUGUUUUUCCUUUUCGACAUUUGAUUCUUAAAAAAAAAAAAUUCUUAACAAAACAAAUGUGUUGUUAAAUUUGCAAAUAGUAUACAUUGUACAUAUAACAUCAAGAAAUCAUACUUUAUGUAAAUUUUGGAUUGUUAAAACUUGCGAAGCUUACCACUGAAAUCCAUAGAUAUUUAAAAGGAAGACUAGAAUUCAACACAAGUGAAUCUCAGGAACCACAUCUUUUUCAAGAAACACUUAUUUUUUUCUUUAAACAUGAAACAAUAAAUACUUGGCUAAGAUUGUUAAAAGUAAAUUGAUUUUUGAAAAUUAGUUGACUUGGUCGACUGGUUGGGAACAGGUCGACUGGUUAAGACAAAGCAACUGGGUGAAGUAAAUUGAAGUGGUCGACUGAUCAAGAAAUGGUCAAUCGGUUAUGGUGACAAAAUGUUUUUCCUGUUUAGAUUAUGAUUUCCUUGUAUUAGCUUAAUUCCUUGAUUUUUCUAGGACUUUAUGCCUAUAAAAAGGCUUGUAAUUCAAUAUUAUUAUAAAGUAAAAAAGAGACAGAAUUACUAAGAAAGCUUAAUGAGAAACACUUAAUAAAAGUGUACCUUCCUCUCAAUUUUCUUCUUGUUCUUGAGUUUUUGAUUUUGAAUUACUAUUUUUGAUCUUAUACUACACUUAUUUUUCUUUCAACAAGUGGUAUCAGAGCUUUUUUUUUAUUGUUUAUCAUGGACAAUCUGUACUUCCCACUUCAAUGUCCUCGUUUGAUAAAUGAGAGCUAUGAAACAUGGUAUAUUAGAGUAAAAGCUUGGCUAGAUUCCUAAGAUGUGUGAAAAAUAGUUGAGAAAAGCUUUAUGGAGCCUAUAAAAGGAGCAAUGUUGAUUUCAGCCCAAAGAAAGGCUGUGCGAAAGUCAUAAAUGAAGGAUCAACAAACACUCAUAAUCAUCCACCAAUGUUUGGAUGAUGCCACUUUUAAGAUAAUGACAAACACAACUACCGCCAAGUAAGCAUGUGAAGUUUUGCAAUAAUCAAACCAAGAAGCUGACAAUGUGAGAAAGGUACGACUAAAAUAGCUAUGUUGUGACUUUGAAAAGUCACAUAUGAUUGAGUUAGAGAAUAUUUCAGAAUAUUUUACAAGAGUAUUGGCCAUAUACAAUCAAAUGAAGAGAUAUGAGGAGAAAAUCAUAUGCUCACCGUAAAAGAAGUUCCAUUAUGUUGUAGUUGCGAUAAAGGAGUCACAAAAUAUGCAUUUUCUUAUAAUUCAAGGUCUUAUGGGAAAAUUACAAGCACAUAAGGAAAGAAUCAAUAAAACUCAAGAAGAUGUGGUGCCAAACACUUUUUUCAAAACAAGAUGGCUCUAUAUAUAUACCCAAGGGUCAGAGAAUGUAGACAAAAAAGAGGAGAAAAAGACAGAUUUAGAAAAGAAGGUCGUGACAACAUCAAUAGGUCAAUAAGCCGACCAUAUUAAGCAAACUGGUUGAUCGGUUCAUCUGACAGUGGCAAUCCAAGACCUAGGUAUGAAAUAGAGAGUUAAAUGUUAUAAUUUUAAGAAGAUGGGUCAUUAUGCUAUGGAUUGCUAGAAUCCAACCAGAAGGGUUGAGGAGAAUGUCAAUCUUGUUGUAGAAGAAGAGAAAUAAGCCAAUUUAUUACUAAUCCAUGAUGAAAGCAUGUAAGAUAAAUAUAGCAUGUGGUAUCUAGACAAUGGAGCCAACAAUCACAUGUUUGAAGACAAAGACAAGUUCAUGGAGCUUUAUGAAGCAAUUAGAGGUAAUGUCACCUUUAGAGAUUUAAAGGUUGUUAUAAAAGGAAAAUGUACAAUUUUUAUUAAAUUGAAAGAUGGAAGUCAUCAAUUUAUUGAUGAUGUAUUUUAUGUACCAACUGUAAAAAGCAACAUAUUAAGCUUGAUAAUUGUUGGAGAAGAGUUAUGAGAUUAAGAUGAAGAUCAUAUUUUGACAUUACUUGACACUAAAGGAGUUAUAAUUGCAAAGGUAGCCAUGAAAAAAAAUAGAAUUUUUUUACCAAACAUAAAGACAAAUGUGCCUAAAUGCAUAAAGACAUGUGUGAAAGAUGAGACUUGGCUUUAGCAUAUAAGACUUGGCCGUGUAAAAUUUGAUAGCUUGAAGAUGAUGGAAAAAAAAAAGGAUAUUAAAGGGUCUACCAUCCAUUGAGCAUCCAAAUCAGUUGUAUGAAGGAUGUUUGGUGGACAAACAAUUUCGCAAGAGCUUUUCGAAAGAGUCUACAUCAUGAGCAAGUCAAUCCCUACAAGAGAUACAUGUUGAUAUUUGUGGUCCAAUCAAACCAUGUUCAUUUGGUAAAAAUCUAUAUUUUCUACUUUUUAUUGAUGAUUACAGUAGAAAAACUUGGGUAUACUUCUUAAAAAAAAAGUCUAAUAUGUUUGGUUGUUUUAAUAAGUUUAAGACAUUAGUUGAAAAAGAAAAAUUUAUUCUAUAAAAUCAUUUAGGAUGGAUAAGAGGGGUGAAUUUUUAUCUAAUAAUUUUUGUAAAGAUAAUGGUAUGAAGAGACUCCUAACGGUGCCUAGAUUCCCAUAAAAAAGUAGCGUGGUGGAGAGAAAGAAUAGAAGUAUUCUCAACAUGGCAAGAGCAUGCUCAAAAGCAAGAAGAUGCCUAAAGAGUUUUGGGCUGAAGUUAUAGAUUGUGCUAUCUACUUGUCCAAUAAGUGUCUUACUAAAGGUUUGAAUGACAUGACUCCAUAAGAGGCAUGAAAUGAAAGAAAGUCAAAUGCUACCCACUUGAAAAUAUUUGGAAACAUUGACUAUAUGCAUGUAGAUGAUCAAGUAAGGACCAAGCUGGAUGAUUUGAGAAAAGGGAUGAUCUUUGUUGGCUAUGAUCAAAAGUCCAAAAGAUAUAAGCUCUACAACCCCAAUGAAGGAAAUAUGAUGAUUAAUAAAGAUGUUGAGUUCGAUGAAGAAGGAACAUGAUGGUGAGAAAUAUAAUUUUUUACUGCUUCUUAAUGAAAAGGAGGUGAGAUAUGAAGAUUAUCAAGAACAAGCUACUAUUCCACAAUCACCAAUGGCGCCACCUUCACUUUUAUCUUUUUUAUCUAUUAAAAGUUCAAGUAGUGACAACCCAUCAAAUCCACCAAGAAGGAUGAAAAGCCUUGAUGAAUUAUAUAAGGUAACUAUUCCUAUUGAUAUUGAUGUAACACUAUAUUAUCACCUUGCUAUAUGUGAUCCUAUAGUGUUUGAAUAAGCAAUAAAGGAUGCAAAAUGAAGAAUUGCUAUGGAUGAGAAGAUUGCAUCAAUUAAGAAAAAUGAUAUAUGAAAAUUGGUUCCUAGACCAAGUAGAAAGAAGCCAAUAGGUGUCAAGUGGAUCUACAAAGAAAAUAAAAAAUAUCAAAUGAGAGGUGGAGAGAUACAAGGUAAGGUUAGUGGAAAAAGACUAUAGUCAAAAGCAUGAGAUUGACUAUGACAAGGUUUUUGCUCCCAUUGCUAGAUUGGAAACCAUUUGAUUAAUCAUUGCCAUGGCUUUCCAGCAUAGAUUGAGAAUCUAUUAAAUGGAUAUCAAAUUAGUUUUUUUAAUGGUUUUCUUGAAAAGGAGGUCUACAUUAAGCAACUUAUGAGUUAUGAAUUGAAGGGACAUGAAGACAAGGUAUUAAAGUUGAACAAAGCCUUGUAUGAAUUGAAGCAAGCCCCAAGGGCUUGAUAUUGUCGCAUUGAUGACUACUUCUUAAAGAAUGAAUUUGGUAAAUGCCCCCAUGAAUAUACUAUCUAAUUAAAGAUAAAAGAGUGGUGAUACUCUUAUUGUUUGUAUAUUGAUAACUUAAUCUUUACAGGAAAUAAUUCAAAGAUGUUUAAAGACUUCAAGCAAGCUAUGAUCAAGGAGUUUGAGAUGAUGAAUAUUGGUCUCAUGGCCUACUACUUAGAGAUUGAGAUCAAACAAGGAGAAGAUGAAAUCUUUGUGAAUAAAAAGAAGUUUGCAAGGGAGGUUCUCAAGAAGUUCAAGAUAAAAGAUUGUGCAAGAAUAAAUACUCUGGUUGACUAUAGAGUAAAGAUGUCAAAGAAUAAUGAAGGAUAAAAUAUAAAUUCUACAACAUUCAAGAGCUUAGUUGAGAGUUUGAGAUAUUAAACAUGCACUCGUCUGGAUAUUAUUUUUGGGGGAGGACUUGCAAGUAGAUUUAUGGAGACACCAACCAUGACACAUUGCGAAACUUUGAAGAAAAUUCUUUGAUAUAUCAAAGGUACCAUAGAUUUUAGCUUAUUCUAUGGAUAUUCAAAUAGCUUUGAUCUUGUGAGUUAUAGUAAUACUGAUUGCGCUAGUGAUAUGGAUGAUAGAAAAAGCAUUAUGAGAUUUGUUUUCUACAUAGAAGACACGACAUUCACAUGGAGUUCAAAAAAACAAUCUAUAGUUACUUUGUCAACAUGUGAAGUUGAAUAUGUAGCUACUAUAUCAUGUGUUUGUCAUUCCAUAUGGCUAAGAAAAUUAUUGAAGGAAUUGUGAAUGCCACAAAAAAAACUUACUGAAAUUUACGUGGAUAACUCAUCAGUCAUUGUAUUAGCAAAGAAUUUAGUAUUUUAUGAUAGAAGUAAGUAUAUUGACACAAAAUUUUAUUAUCUACGAGAUUGCAUUGCAAACAAGGAAGUUGCAACAAAGAUAACAAAGAUAACAUGCUUUCAUCAUUGAAUCAUUGAGAAAACCAUGCAUUAAGGAACAAGGAUGGGAUUCUGAACAGGCCUUUAAAAGCUACAAGGGAAAAGAAUAUAGUCCAACUUCAUCUUCACUAGGGUUUUCGUUCUGAGAAACUUCCAGCCUGAUUUUGGAAUAAGAAAGCAUUGUACAGAAACUUCCAGGCUUCUGUUUUGAAACUUUAAAAGCUUAUGAACCUACUUGGAAGACCAGCCCAAAAAACCAUCAUAGAAUUACCAUCAUAAAAGCUCAUGAACUCUACUCUAAGAUCUCUUGUACCCUAACUUCAAGCAUAUCACGGAAAACAGUGAGGGCUUCUGCUUUUGCCCUGUGAUAUGGUCCAAAAGAGCAGGACACGCAAAAACACACAACUAUAAACUGUUGGAAUCAGGCUUCGUUGGAUUGGAGUAUAGGAUUCAAUAUGUUUCUUUAGAUGUGGCCUACAGCCUUAGUUGAGAUCAUAAAUAGGCAAUUCAUAUUUGAUAGAAUCAAAUACCAAAGCGAAGGCUUGAAAACUUCUAUUAUACUGUCAACAAAGAGUGAAACAGACUGCUAAAAGACUCCUGUAAUAGAGAAUCACAAGGAAUGGAACCAAAAGUAUCGCACUACUGCACUUGCAGUACCGAUGCUUUCCUUAAGCCAUGAAUCCAUAUCUACUCAUCCUCCAUAAUCUUUAGGGAUCGCUUGUUUGUAUCAACAACCUUAAAGAAGAGAGUGCUUUUCUGAGAAAAGUAUCAUUUAUCAGUAUACAAACAAAACCCGUUUGUUUUAAGGUAUUUUUGAGCAAGUGCUAAAGCAUUAAAAAAAAGGAGGGAAAUUGAGUGAGUGUUACAAAGAAGGGAAUUAUGAGGGAGGAAGAGGAGAUUUAAUAGUUUUAAAAGAAAAGAAAAACAGAGGAGAUAUAAUUACUUUGAAAUUAGAAUCACCUAAGUGGGAGGUGUAGGUGUUUAUGGGUCUCUUUUGUUUAUCAGAAAGGAUGGAUUGAGGGAAGUGGAAGGGAGAGAGGAGGAAGGAUGGUCCACCACACAAAGUAGAAUUCGGCCCUCAUGUAGAAAACUUGAUCACCUUCCAUGGUUCCUUCACUACUGUUCCAUGGAACAGUGAUAUCAUUAAGAAACCUUCCAAAGUCCUUACUCGGUUUGCGCAUUCAUUUCUUCAUAAUACAUGUAACCAAAAAGGAAUCAAUAACCUAGCAAAAAAACUACAUCUUGUGUUUUCUAUAAAUCUUUAGUUUAUUCUUUUCUUUUGUUUUUAUGAGAGAGACUCAAGCUCAUAAUAUUUUCGGUGGAAGGAACAUAAAUGUAAAUUGUGCUUUAAGCAUUCACCAGCUAAAAAUUUAGAACACAUAUACGUAACAAAAAAAAAUAUAGGUGAAAGUUUAUAUUGAAAAUUAAUUAACUCUUGCAUAUACGCCUAUUCUAUUUAGCGUAUUCACGGACUCGAUCCGUUCUCUAAGGACCCCAAAGAGAAUCUGUUUGGUUGUUAUCCCACUCGUCGUCUUCAAUGUCAUCAGAGAACAUCAUGGAGGACUCCUCUAGCGUUGCUAUCUCUGCCAUUUGCAUCCACAUCUUUGGUGAAUCCAAUGGUGACUCAUGGAUGGCCUGAAUUUGGCUUGGCGAGAGCCUCACCGUGAUAGGCCCGACAUUGGAGCUAGAGCUACCACCUUGGGACGAGUCAACAGUAGAGGGCCUAAGGCUAACAGCUGCCUGAUGAGCUGCCAUGCGAAUGUGGUCAGCACUGGAGCUUGCUGGCAUUGGUAGCUUACCAGCCAAUUCAGGGAAAUUAAGUUUUGCUUCACAUCCCCUAAAAUGUAAAGCUGCAACAUCAUAAGCAGCUGCUGCCAUUUCUGGUGUCUCAAAACUGCCUAACCAAAUUCUAGUUUUCUUCUCAGGUUCACGUAUCUCCGACACCCAUUUGCCCCAUUUUCUCUUUCGUACUCCUGUAUAGCUAGAAGCUAUACCACCAUGGUGAGCAGUACUAUUCCUCCCUUCCAUGUAACACAGUAAUUUAAAGCACUAAUAGUUUUAGUAAUUUUGUGAUGUUUGAGGGAAUGUGCUGGCACGAGGUAUUUUCAUUAACUUAUAUAUAGAUGUAGAGAUCGUAUCUUAGUUGAUGAAACGCGUAGUAUCACUAGAGAAGUGAACUUCCAAGAAGUUGUCUAGGUGAUGAAGAUAUUUUGCUUCAUUUUCUGCAUCUGAAUUCAAAACCUUUCUUCGGGUUCUCAGGAGAAAUUAUGAGAUUUUUCUCAGAGCAACCAAAGACACCACGGAAUGUGUACACGGUACAAGUGUGAAUGAUAUAAGAUUGAAUUUGUGUUGCAAAAACCGACAUACAUUGGAUUAAAAUAUAUAUAUAUAGUUCCUGUCCAAUAACGCGGUUUGAAACUAGAAGGAAGAGAUUGGACCCACUUUUCCAGGAGGUCUUAGGCUUGGAUCAUUUCAGAGGUGCUAUUUUUCUUUGUUGUUGGAUAUAAAAUUCAAAUAAUAGUUAAUUUAUUUUUUCAAAGAUAAAUAAAACUGGAAUUCUUUAAAUUGAGUUUAAUUAAUUAUUAAAUCUAAAUAUUAAAUUAUAUACUACAAACAAUUAAAUAGACAUGUAUACAAAGCAAUAUGAAUAAUUAAACUAUCAUGCCAGCAAAAAGAUAUAUAUAUUUUUUUAAAUAUGAACAAAAAAAUCAUGCUUGAUGGAGUGCAUGUUAAAUCCGUCGGUAAUAUUUAAUUUAUGACAUAACAAGCGACCCUCCUCUCUCUCCCCCAUUUCUUCUUCUUCUUUUAUUUUUCUCUGCAACAAACAACACCCCCUAUAAUUUUAUUGCAAAUCAAUCUCCCACUACACAUUUAACCACCACAACACUCAAUUCAACAUCCCUGUUAUGAUUCAAAUUUUAUUGUAGAUUCCCCAGUUCAAGUAAGCAAAAUACCCAUUUUUUAUUUCAACUUAAUUUUAAAAUGUUAAUUUUUUAUUGCAUAUUUUUAUAGUAUAUGUAUUUUGUUUGGGUGUUUACUUAUUUUAUAGUUUUUUCUCAUAGAAAUUUGUUGUAUGAAUAUAUGAUUUGUACAUGUUAGGGUUUAUUUGAGAUUUUGUAUAAUUGUAUUUGUUUUUAAAUUGAUGAAAUUUAAUUUGAAUUUGUGACUUAAGAGUUUUGCGAUGAAAUAAAUAAUGACUUAUUUAACGAGUCUGUUUUAUAUUUUAUCAAUUUUAUUAUUGAGUUGAAAUUUUUGGUAAAUUUAUAGACAUUUGAAUUUAUAUAGAUAAUUGAUAAUGAAUUAGUUGUACUAUUAAAAUAGUUUGAAUAAGUUUGAGUUAAACAAAUGUUCAAUUAUUUAUUUAGUUUAUGUAAUUAAUUAAUACAUGUUAUCAUCAAUAUUCUAUAUAGGUUUGACAUAAGUAAUAGAUAAUCGUUCAUGGAUAUAUCGAGAUUCACCUAAAAGGUUGCGUUUGAUGGAUUUUGUAAUGGGGUUCAGGGUUUUAUUAAUUACGCACUAUUUCAUUUAAGAAAUAUUAGUGGAGACAGUACUAGAUGUCUAUGUAAGAGGUGUAAAAAGCAAUCCAGAGGUUGUAACAAUAUGUCUUCUACAAAAAGGGUUCAUGGAAAGAUACUCGUGUUGGUUUGCACACGGAGAACCAUAUGUUCCUCACGAGACCAUAGUAGAAAAGAUGGUGGGGUCAACUUCUAGUUCUAGCAACGUGCAUGAAGUUGUAGAUGACAAUAGUAAUCCUUAUAGAAAUAUGGUUAUGGAUGUGAUGAGAAUGAAUUAGAGUUAUGUCAAUCUAUGUCUAAUAGUAGAUGAAGACCCUAAUGCAGACAUGACUAGGAUUUUUUUAUCUUUUGAAAGACUUCAACAAACCAUUAUGGGAUGGAUGCAUAAAUCAUAGUAAAUUAUCGACCUUUGCACAAGUGUUCACCAUUAAGUCAGAUCAUGGGUUGAGUGAGUUUGAUUAUGAUAUAAUUGUUGAAUGAUCGAAAAGCAUUUUACUUGAUUAUGAUAUAAUUGUUGAAUGAUCGAAAAGCAUUUUACUUGAAAGGAAUAAGCUUGGAGAGAACUUUUAUGCUAUUAAAUCCAUGAUGAAACCCCUCAGCCUAGGAUACCAGAAAAUUAACAUAUGUCCAAACUUUUACAUGUUGUACUACCUUGAAAAUACAGAGUUGACCGAGUGUAGAACAUGUGUGCAUUCUCGUUAUAAACCUACAACUUAUAGGGGAAAGACUCUUGUCGCACAUAGAAAACUUAGAUACUUUCCAAUCAUACCUAGAUUGUAAAGGUUAUUCAUGUCAUAAAAGAUUGUUGAGUAUAUUACUUGACAUCAUUUACAUGAUGGGUGGAUGGAGUGAUGGUGCAGCCUUCCAAUGGUCAAGUCUGAAAACAUUUUAAUAGGGUGUAUCCUUAGUUUUUAGUGGAAUCAAGAAAUGUUCAUCUUGGGUUAUGUACAAACAAAUUUAAUCCAUUUAGAUCUUUUGCUGCUCUUUAUUCUUGUUGGCCGAUGAUGCUCAAGGUUUAUAACUUUUCAAUGGGGAUGUGUAUGAGGUUGGAGUUCAUGUUUUUUUCUACAUUAAUACCCGGUCCUAAUAGUCUGGGUCAAAAUAUAGAUGUUCAUCUGUUGAUUGAUGAGUUGAAGUAGUUGUGGUCAUCCGAGGCUUUGAUAUAUGAUGUAUCGAGGAAACAAAAGUUUUAGAUGAAAGCAUUUUUUAUGUGAACUAUUAAUGAUUUUCCUGCGUAUGGAAUGGUUUUUUGUUGGAGCACACAUGAAAAACUAGCAUGUCUAUACUGUACGAAGAAUAACAAAGUCUUCACGUUAAUAAAUGACAGUAAAUUGUCAUAGGUGGUUCUUACCAACAGAUCAUAAGUACAGAAAUAACAAAAAAGAUAUAUUUAUUGGCUGAGUUGAAAGGGAUGUUUCACCGCCAUUACUGUCAAGUGAAGAAUUGUAUGACAUAGUGUCAGAAUACGAUAACAUUGUGUUUGGUUUUCAAUGUCGUAAGCAGAUGUUUUCUUGUUUUGAUUUGAACCAUAAUUAGAUAAAGAGAAGUAUUUUAUGGGGUCUUCCUUAUUGGAAGACCAAUCUCUUUUACCAUAACCUUGAUAUCAUGCACAUUGAAAAUAGCAUGUUUGAAAAUAUUUUCAUCAUGAUGAUGAAGAUGAAAAGAAAGACAAAAGACAACAUCAAGGCUAGAAUAAAUAUAUCUUUGUUUUGUCAUCAUAAAAAUAUAAAGUUGGUUUAUAAUGGAUCAUAGAUCAUAAAGCCCAAAGCCAGCUUCGCCUUAAACAAGAAUACACAAUUACUUGUCUAUCAAUGGCUUACGAGUCUAUGUUUUCCUGAUUGAUAUAAUUUGAACACAUCAAGGUUGAUGAAUUUGAAGGAUUGUAUAUUGUAUGGAAUGAAGAGUCACGACUGCCACGUGUUUAUGCAAACACUCAUUUCACUAGCUUACUGAGAUUUAUUUCCAAAUAGGAUAUGGGAUGCACUUAUGAAGAUCAAUCAUUUUUUUAGAGAUAUAUGCUCAAACAAAUUAUAGACAAAACACAUGGAAAGGCUUGAAAUGGAUAUCGUCCAAAGAAUUUGCAAAUACGCGAUGAUAUUCCCUUCAUUAUUCUUGGACUCAAUGAAGCAUCUAUCUAUAUAUCUACCAUUUAAGGCAAAAGUUAGAGGCCCAAUCCAAUAUAGAUGGAUAUAUUCAUUCAAGAGGUUAAGGAUUACACAUGCAUCGUAAUUAAAAUUCUAUUGUUUUUUUAAUUAAAAAUAUAUAUUUAAUUUCAUGCAGAUACUUUUUUAACUUUAAAAGCAAAGUUAAAAGCAAGGUGAAUGUUAAGGCUUUGAUAUGUGAGGCUUAUAUUAUCGAAGAGAUCUCAAUAUUUAUCUCAUACUAUUUCGAACCUCACUUGAGAACAAGAAUCAACCUCAUUCCAAGGCAUGACGAUGGUAAGGAAGUGCCUUCGAGUAUAAACUUAUCAAUAUCUUCCAUCCUGGAUGACACGUAUCAAAAAAUAUUGUGGUGGAAAGAUGUUUGAUAAAAAUAAAAUUUUAGCAAGCAUAUAAUUUUAUGUUAUUUAACUAUGAUGAACUAAAACCUUUUAUUUAGUAAGUAUAAUACUUAUGUUGUUACUUUAUAACAAUUUAUCUCUUAUAUUAUUAUAAAUUGAUAGAUUGUUGAAUUCCUUGUAGACAAUAUCGUUAAUUUUUAUUGUCUAAAAACUCACAACUAACUGAAUCCCAAAUAUUUCAAUUACCAGAUGAAUAAUUUUCCACGUGGUUCAAAAAACAUGGAAGGAAUCUUUAAUUAUUCUUAUCUCUUGUGAUACUUAAUUUAAAUACACAUUUUUCAUUAAUUGUGAUUGAGAUGUAUUUCAUGUACCAGGUUUAUCAAUUGGUAGGGAAUGCUAGUGUUACUUUGAAUUUACUAAGUCUGAGUCCUGAAAGAAAGAUGAAGUGCUAUAAUGAGUAUUUCAUCAAUGGACAUGUAUUUCAUACUGAAGAGUAUAGUCAAGUUAGAAAGACACAUAACAAUGGGGUACAUGUUAAGAGAUCGACUUCUAAUGAGUUUGAAGUUGACUACUAUGAAAUGUUAGAAAAAGUUAUUGAAUUGCAAUAUCCUAGCGACUAGAAUAGGGUGUUUUUAUAAAAAUACUGUUGAUAUGAUACCACUGACAAAGAAAUCAUAGUAGAUCCUCGUCUAAUACGAACCAAAUUAGGUAUGAAUUUGGCCUUAAAAUUUCUAGUGAUCAGUUUUGAGAUAUGAGACAUAUCUCUCAAACCGUGCAUUGGAGUUCAUGAACAUAUUAUUUCAAAGGGUCAAAGUUACCAGACAAAUCUUGUCAAAUCUGUUAUACUAGACAUUGCAACAUUUCUGGAGCUACAACUUGAAUUUUGCUAUGAUUCAGUCAUUCAGGAAACUAGACAUUUCAAGCUUUCCAACCAUAUAUGGAAACUAGACAUUAAUUAAUUAUUAGUUUAACCCAUUAGCUUGCAACCCAAAAACAGUCCAUUAGGGUUAGUUAGAUGAGACUAUAUUAUGUUUUUUUAGCUGCAAAUUUCAGUAGCAAGUUGAAAAAUAAACAUGAGUUUUUUUUGUUUGUUUGUGGCAAAAUAACCUUUCUUUACAGGGACAAAGAUUAUAUACUGACUUAUCAAAGAUUAAUUAGCUUCGUGACGUCAUUCACAUACUUAGGGUUCUUAGAUAUAAGGUUAUCUCUAAGUCUAAAUAUUUUUCCAAUACCUUUAGUUCUUAGGUAUAGGGUUGUAUAAAUGUUAUUAGAAAAUUUUAAAUUUUGUUUAAUUUUUCCUGAUAUUUAAUGAUUGUAUAUAGAUUGUUGGAAUUUUUUUAUUUUUUUAACUUUUCAGUAAAUUUAAUGAAUGUAUAAAUGUUGUUGGAAUUUUUUUAAAUUUGUUUUUUUUUCUAUUAUUAAUAUGGUAAGCUAAUUGAUUUGCUAAUGUUAACAAACAAUUUUGAAUUUCAUGAAAAAUAAACAAAAAUACUAGCCAUCAUAAAUAAAUAAAAAUACAUAAGAUAAUAGUUAGGAUAAAUGAAUAGUUUUCAAUGUAAAAUAUUGAUACUACAAAUCCUUUAAUGUAUUUAUAUUAUCCUCUUAUGAUCAUUUUGUAAAUGGUCGUAGCAAAGUUAAUUGAAAUUUUAGUUAAAUUAAUAUAAUUGAAAUUAUUUGAUUGACAUAGAUUGAAAUAAAAUCAAUUGGUUUGUGCCAAUUCAAUUUAAAUUAUUGUGUAUUUGUAGAUUUAAAAAUUUUAGGUAGUCUCUUGUAUAGGGGAAAUGCUACCGUUUUUUUUUUAAAUAUGAAUGGUUUACGGUAUCUUAAUCCUUUAAUUUGUGUAUAUGCCUAGGAAAAAGUCAAUAGCACGUUCUACGAACAGGGUCGCUACUAGUUCUUUUAACAACGUUUCUGAAUACUAUAAGCGUUAGGUGCCGACCAAGAGUAGACACCUGAGACACAAGCAACCACACUCGACAUGGGCUCGCUAAGUGUGAUGCCACCGUGUCAAUGAGGGGUCCCUUCAUAGUAGGAUACAUUUACCCGAAAGUACCAGACUUAAUGGAAAACCGACCUUUCAAUAUAAGUUUGUUUUCCUUUCACAAUGACAAGUUAAAAUUUUUAAAAAAAUUAAUUUCAAGAACCACCAUCAAUUUCAGCUUUACAAACAUCGAGGAUACCAGAACCAUAACAUCAGCAAUGAAAUUGUCAAUCAAAAUUUCAUUAUUUCAAUGGAAUCAGGUUUUCAAACAUCCUGAAUGAAAACAUAUGAUUGAUACAUGGUUUAGAACAUUUAAGGUUAGCAUUAACUUAAAUAUUUUUUUUAUUAUAUUAAUUCGGUUAGUUUUUUUACAUUAAUUAAAAUUUCUUGUAAAUAUUUUAACUACAAGGAAAAAUUUGAACGGGAUAUAAUUGACAACGCUAUUGCAAGGAGGAUUUGAGAGAUUGACGCUAUAACUAGGUAAGAUUGAAAUCAAGAUAAUUUAUUAUUAUUAUUUUUUUAUUCAUUUACUAACAGAUAAUUCAUUUUUUUUAUAUAGGUUGGGUGAUUUUUGGUAUGAGAUGUAAAAGAGAGCCAAAAAAUAUAUGAAAGAAAAGGAGCUGAUUUUAGAUUAGUGUUUCAACUGUUGGAUGCUUAUAAUCGAUUCCGAGCACUCAAACUUUGGAGUUCGAGGUGAUUUUAAACUAGCGAGUUCAAGCUCAGAUAACCAAUCUUGCUACUGAUUAUGAACGACUCAAUGCUGAGACGACUGAACUUCGUCGAUUGGUAAUAGAGAUGAGAUCAUAAAUGAGUGGUAUAUGUACUCCCUUUUAUUCACCCCAUGGUCCAGGCGAAGAUGCUUCUUCUCCAAUACCUCUAUUCUAGAUUAAUUGUAUUUGAACUUAUAAAUGUUUAAAUUUAUAAUAAAUAUUUAAAUUUUAUAUUAAUUUAGUUUUUUAAUUAUUUUCUACUUCUGUUUAAUAGAUAUUUUUAAAAAAAUAUUUUUAAAUUAUUACUAACGGGGUUACUAAUGGCCUAAGUUUGUCGGUAUAUUUCAGAGAGUUGAAAAAGAAUUACUGCAAAUGUCACUCCUACUAUUUACUUACUGACGAAAUAAUAGACAGUUUUUUUGACAGUUACAUGUUGACUUUACGGUUUUUUUGUCAGUGAUAUGUUAUAUUUAACAAUGGAAAUACCGAUGGAAUGAAGCAGGUAAAUUGUUUUUUGCAGGCCUUUUCUGUCAGUAAAUUCAUCUGUAAAAUUAUUAUUGAUGGAUUCAUUAACAGACCACAAAUCACUAACAAGAUUUUUUUCGACGGAUUAUUUCUGUUUGUGAACCCAUCGGUAAAUUUUGUGCCGACAAACUGUGAGUAUAAAUACUAACAGAAAAUUCCAUCGGUAAAUCUAAAGACUCUGAAAGUGAAUUGCCUUUUCGGAUUCAACAAUCUUACUACUUAGUAUUGAUACACUUCAAUACUAAGUCGAAAAAACUUAAGAAAUCUAAUUCACUUUGGUCUACAUGAAACUAGAAUUACCAUAAAAGAUGAAACCAGAGGAAAAUAACUAAGAAAUAAUACUUUUUUUUGUUAUUUUAUUAAACCAUAAAAGCCUUUAUAUAUAGGCCUUGAAAGAGAAGAAGAGUUUGUCUUUUUUUUAUAUAUUUAAUAUAGGACAAAGGUUAUAUAUAUAUAUAGCCACGGGAGAGAAAAAUAGUUUUUAUUUUUUUAAUGUGAGAAAAAGUUUUAUUGUUGGAAUUUUGGUAUUUUGUCAAUUCCACCAAGAGUUCUUUAACAUCAAUUUAUCAUCGCCUCACAAUUAAUUUUAGACAUUUUAGUAUUCCAUGUUAUAGAAUCCAUGUUGGAGAACAUUUUUCAUCAAGUUUUAAACCAAAAACGUAGGUGUAUCCCAUUUUUAAUUAGACCUCGAAUGAGUCUAAUAAUAAUGUCUAGUAGCCAAUUUUUACAACAAUUCUCCAAAUAUAUAGAAAUUGACCGGCCAAUAUACAACGACAAAUGAAAUUAUAAAGAAAUGAUGAAAUUGUAAGUCAUUAUUUCAGGAUAAAUAACUUUUGACUUUGAACCUUCCUUGGUGAAAUAAUAUCAAGUUUACUUGGCUAAUUAGUAAACAUGAUGUCAUGAACUAUUACUAAGACAAUAGUUCUCACAUAGUUUCUUUCAUGGAGUUUUAUUUAGUUCUCAUGGUUAUAUUCAUUUUGGCUCUGAAUGACUCAUGAUUUUAUGAGUGCUUUGUAAAAUUUAGCCUUUAAUUUUUUUCAUAAAAUAUUAUAGUUCUCACUCAUAUAUGUGAUCUCUUAUUAAGAGUAUUAUGUUAUACUCCACUUGAUAAACCAAAAUAUUAGAAUUAUUAAGAGCACAAUUUACCCUCGUGACAUUGUAGCUAGUACUUCUCUUCAUCAUAGAAUACACAUGAAAUUAUAACUUCUUAGUGUUACCAAGAGCACCACAUGACUUAGUUUUCCCUUUAAGCCUAGAUUUUGGGGUCUCCAGUCAACUAGGUAGGGUUAUCAUUAUAACACUAUUUCAUUUUUAAAGUUUUUAAGUUUGUUCCCCUCAAUGAACUAUAUAAGAGAUCUCUUGUUAAAACUUUGGUAAGCGGAUUCGUAAUAUUUUUCUUUGACCAUACAUAGUCAACGAAAAUAAUUCCAUCAUUUGUAUUAUCCACAAUAAGUUAAUAGUAUUAUGUCUACGAUGUAUAUAUCUAAACUUAUUAUAUACUACUUUGUGUCAUUUCAAUUGUUGACUAGUUGUUGUAAUGAACACAAAUUACCGACACUUGUUUUGGCCAAAAUGGAUUAACUUUCUCUCUAGUUUUAUCAAGAGCAAUAAACUCUAAUUUAUUGUGAAUCUUGUGGUGCAUUUUUAUUUGGGAUUUUUUAAGACACAAUUGCUCCCCUGAGUGUAAGACAUAUCUACUAGUUGUUUUGAAUCUUUACUAUUGAAUAUCCAAUUUGCAUAACUAAACCCUUAUAGUACUACUAUGUAACCAAUAUAGCGUAACUCAUAGUUCAAGGUAUACCUCAUAUAUUUAAGUAACCUAUUUAUUGUUUUUAAAUGAUUCAUACUUGAAUUAUUUUAUAUCUACUCAAUUUACUAACUGAUGAUGCAAUAUAUGGUCUUAUGUAUUUCAUAACAUACAUCAAAGUCCUAAUUAUCCAAGAAUAUUCUAAUUAGUAUGUUCCUACAUCUUUAUUUUUAGACAAAUGUACACUUACAUCCAUUGGUAUUUUGGCAGUGCUAUUAUCACCUUUAAAAACUUUGUUAAUAAUUUUCUCAAUAUAAUAAGAUUGGGACAAUACAAGUUCAUUAAAUGUCCUUAUAAUUUUUGUUUUUAUUAUGUUAUUCACAGCACCCAAAUCUUUCAUGUCAAACUUAUUAAUUAACAUUUUCUUGGAUGAUCUAGAUGGUUCUAAUCAAUCAGUUAUGGAUUUGUCAUAAUUUGGCUAUGUAGAUUGUCUUAUAGGAUUUUUAUGGACCAAUAGGACUAGGUUAAGCUCAAGAAAAGGCAUAGGUUGAGCAAAGUGGUCAACCUUAAAAAGACCAAUAAUUUUUUAUUUGAUCGAUAGAUUGUACUUAAAUUUUGCUAGGAGAUUCUACUUGCCUAGUUCUAUAAUAGGUUUAGCUUGCUGUAAUUAGUCAAGGUUUUGAAGACCUCAAAAUUAGGCCAAGAAUGUAUUGUUCGGGCUAGUUUUCUUAUUUUCACUCUUUAUUUUUGGAUUUUCUAAUUAGUUUAUGUCAGAUUUUAGGUUUAUUUAAAUAGUUAUAAACCUUUUAGAGAGGCGAACUACUUGAAGAGAAAUAUUUAGUAAUAAAAUUUAAAUUGAGUUUUUUAGGUAGUGAUUGUAUUUGGUAGAUUUUAUAUGUUAGUUGUAUUUGUUAUCUUCCUUGUGUUAUUUCCAUUUUUGUUAUUUAUAGACUUGAUCUUGUAAUCAUUAUCGCUUAAAAUUAGAAAGUUAUCCACAUAAAGACAUAUAAUUACAUAACAUUUUUCUAUGUUUUUCACAAAAAUAUCAACUUCAUUGAUAUCAAAUUCAUUUGACAAUAAAACUUUAUUAAAUAUUUCAUGCCAUUGUUUAAGUAUUUAUAUCAAACCAAAUGAAAAAUUGAAAAGCUUGCAGAUUUUCAUUUCUUAUCAUUUGAUAACAAACCCCUUAGAUUGUUGCAUAUACAGCUCUUUGUCAAGGUCACAAUUUGAGAAAAUUGUUUUUACUUCUAAUUGAUGUAUUUUAAGCUUGUUAAUAGUUACAAUGACUAUUAAAACUUGUAUGGAAGUUAUUUUUUAUAUAAGUGAAUAUGUGUUAAAAUAUUCUACAUAUUCUUGUUAUUUUAAUCCUUUACUAACUAGUCUUGUUUUAUAAUAUCAAAUGUUUCAUUCGUUUUCAUCUUUCUCUUGAAGAUCUACAUAUGAUCUAAUAAUUUUCUUUCAGGUGGGAUAAUCAUUAGUUCUCAUGUAUGAUUAAACAUAAUAGAUUUAUUUUCACUAUUUACUGUCUUCUUACAAUAGAAACCUUCAUAACAAGACAUUAUAGGACCAAAUGUUUUGGUCAUUUUCGCUUUCUUACUCCUUAGUUGAGCUUCAUCAUCUUUCAAUUAAUGAUGACUACUUAAGCUUUCUCCAAUCAUCUUUUUAAGUGAACAAAUUUCUUAUACUUUCUUAAAACGAAACACUUUUACAAAAAAUAUAGCAUUCAUUGAUUCCAUUACAAUAUUAUGAUAAAUAUUCUUAAUACUUGACUUGUGUAUAUAAGAAAUUGAUAAGCACUACUAUUAUACACAUAUUAGAUAAAAAUAAAAUUCAUAGUUUUGUAUCUUAUUUUGACCUUUUUAGGAUUAGGUUUGCAACUUUUGCAAUAUACCCCACAAGUUGGGGUAUUUAUAAGAAAUUAUUUUACCUUUUAACAAUUCAUAUAGUCUCUUCUAUGUUUUUGGAGUAGUUUAGUAAGCAUAUAAUUAACAGUCAAAAUUUUCUCCCUUUACAAGUUCUAAAGUGUUUCCGAACUUAUCAACGUGACAUUUAUAAUUUCUUUUAGAGUUUGGUUAUUUCGUUCAAUAAUGCUAUUUUGUUAAAAUAAAGAAGGAGUAUUAGUUUAGUGGAUAAUACUAUGUUAGGAACAAAAUUCACCAAAAAAUAUUUUGAACUCACUAUUUCCAUCGUUCGUUAUUACCUUUAUAUUCUUAUCUUUACUUUUUAGCAAAUUAGUAUAAUAAUACCUUGUACAAACAUUUAUAAAAUGAUUUAGACAAUAGAAAAAAUUUAGAGAAGUAAAAUGGGGAGGAAAGCUAAAAAUCUGUAAUUUUUCUCUUUUCUAAUAUUAUUAUUAUUAUUAUUAUUAUUAUUAUUAUGGAACAUGGCACUAAAGAGAGAUGGAAUUUGGUCGUUCUUUCUAAAGUCCCCCUCUUUCUUAAACUAUGAUUUGCUCCACUACCAUAGAUGUUCAUGUCUGGCUAAAUCUGGUGCAAAUGAAAAGAAAAAUGUUGGUUUUGUUUGGUUUACUGGUGUGAUAUGGAUGUUUGUUCUGUUAGGCUAUCUGGAUUGAUAAGGUUGAUGGGUUGAUUUUUUUUUCUUAGAGAUGGAGGCUGAAGAUGAUUAUUUUGGUGAAGACUAAAAAGAGUUGUAACUCAUCAAAGAUUAUUUUGAAAUCAUGUUUUCUCGAUAAUAAAAUAAACAUUAAAUUCUUUCUAAUGUCAAUAACAUGUAACAUAUUGUUGAGGGUGAGAAAUUUGUUGAAAGUUAUCUUUAAUAUGAACUUUUUAAUACCUUGUGCUUUUGAGGUUAAGGAGUUUGUCAUGUAUAAUUAUUAUCACCUACUUCAUGGUAAGUGAAAAACAUCCCUCUUUUUAGCAAAAAACUAACUUAUAGCUUUAAUGUCAAUCUAUUACUGUUUAGGAUUAUCUUUGCUAAAGCAUGCUUAUGUAAUCAUUGGUCUGAUAUCCAACUUUGUUACACAUAAAAUACUUUUCAUUAAGUUUCUAGGAAAAACCUAUGUUUUUUACAAUAAACUUAUUCUUCUAGUUAUUUUUCUUAUGGGACUUUGCCAAUUGCUCAACCAUAUUUACCUUACAACUAUUAAGGAGGAGCUUGCUCUCUUUAUGGACAACUUAUUGUCCUCUUUUAUCUUAAACUUUAGAAUGAGGUCUUUAACUCUUAUAUCUGUUAGCUUAUAUUUAAGAUAGUUCUUGAAAUCCUUCUAAGAUAAUAACAACUUAUUAAUAUCAAUAGCCAUAUAGAAAAAUUCAUUUAGAAUCAUCCUUUCAUCACGAAUAUCAUAUAUGAUAAGUUUAAAAUCUUGAACUUAGCUGAUAAUUAUCUUCAUUAACAAUUUUAAAGUCAUGAAAUUUUCCAAUUAAGAUUUUUAUUUUUUUUCAAGCCAAUAUCCUCAGCCAUGUACUUUUGAUUCAAGAUUUCUUAUAAUGUCAUGGCACUAUCGAUGGAAUUAUAUACAUCAUAGAAUGUAUUAUCCAAUUCAUUCAAGAUGUAGUUCUUAUACAUGAAAUCAUUAUACUUUAAUUUGUCAACAAUUUCCAUUACAAUGAUAUCAGACUCUUUGUCCAACAGCUCUGGUGUGUUUUUUACCAAGAUAUUUUCCAAGUUCAAGUGUAACGCCAUAAAUUUUAAUAUCCUAUUUCUGAAUACAUUAGGAAAUUUGGUGUGAAUUUUUUUUUAUAUAUUCUACCAAAAUUUCAGCAAUGCCUCCUUUGUAUAUAGCCUAUACCAAGUUAUCGACUACACUAUCAUAAUACCAUUCGGUCAUCAGUACAUCUCAAUAUGUCAUCCAAUCAAUAUACUUCUUAAUAUAAGUUCUACUAUCAACAUGCAUGUCACCUAUUCAAUUUAUACUUAAUAUGAAUUAUGUAAAUAAAAUUUAAAUAAAUUGAAGGAUUUCUAAUUAGCAUAGUAAUAUAUGAAAUUCACAACUUACUAUAUUUACACAGAUUAAGAUUCAAUACAUUGCAAUUUACACAAAAGGGGCAUGUCAUAUGUUCAUGCUACUAAUACUAUAUUUUGUUAUGUUACAUACCCUUAAUAAAAGUAUUACCCUAAAAGACUACCAAACAGCUUGAGUGUAGGAAGGUCCUGUUACAACAUCAAAUUCAUAAACAUGUGUUAAAAUAUGAGGGAGUAUUAAUGAAAUCCUAGUACAAAGCAUAUAGUUAACUUAUAUCAGAUGUCUCAUAUACUUUUACAAUUUCUUUAUUAUUUCAAUAUGACCUCAUUAAUCUUAAGCUUCAAUAAUCUCUUCAGGUAUUCAUAACUAUCCCAAUUUGAAUAUUAUUAGUGUCAAUUAACUCAUUACUCAAUUAUGAUCGUCCUAUUUGCGGACAUCAUGACCUUUUCAUUGUUUUCCUUUAAAAACUCCUGACCAUCCCAAUUUGGAUGUCAUUAGCUGAAGCUUAUCUUGUCAAAUGUUCCCUGCCAUCCUAAUUUGGAUGUCAUUAGCCGAAGCUAAUCUUCUUAAAUGUUCCCGACCAUCCUAACUUGGAUGUCAUUAGCUAGAGCUAAUCUUAUCAAAUGUUCUCGGCCAUCUCUAUUUGGAUGCUAUUAGCAGCAGCUAAUCUUAUCAAAUGUUCUCGGCCAUCCCUAAUUGGAUGCCAUUAGCCGGAGCUAAUCUUAUCAAAUGUUCCCGGUCAUCCCAACUUUGAUGCCAUUAGUCGCAGAUAAUCUUAUCAAAUGUUCUCGGCCAUCCCGACUUUGAUACCAUUAACCGAAGAUAAUCUUGUCAAAUGUUUCAUGUUUUCAAUUUACUUCCUUAAUCAUCAAUAUUUUCAUGAUGAAGUUUCAGCUUCACCAAUUUCAUAGUCAUUAACCUUUCGAUGACUAAGUAUUAUUACUUUAACCUUAGUUUCCCUCCUCCGAAAACUAAACAUCUAACCAUAUCAUUUCCUUAGUUACUCAUUAUAGUAACUAAGUAUCAAAACCAUGAUCACACUUCAACUUUUGCAGUUGCUAGGCCUUAUUUGUAAUUUUUGUUACGACACUAAGUAUCUUCAUAACAGAGCUUUAGCCAUCAACACUAUAGUAAUUAUUAUUAUUAUUACUACUACUACUACUACUACUUCUCUUCCCAAUUUCAAUUUAACAAUUCUUUACCACCAACGACUUGUAACUAAUCAUGCAUUCCGCAUAAUUCAUCUUUCUUUUUUUUGUACAAUAUAUCCAUAUUUAAGUAUAGAACUUGUUGAAACUAGCAAUUUAUAAGAAUAUGUAGCCUACCAUUAAUUCGAUGUGAAUUGAAAAGAAGAGGUAUGAUACACCUACUUGCUCUUCCUGUAUCAUGAAAAGAUCCAAUCCCUGUCGUUCCUCCUAAUUCAUAGAGAAGUCUUGGUUAUGUUUCUAUCAUAUCAUUGUGUGCAAUAGAUCUGUAUUUAUUAAUUAUAUAUCUUUCAUGCAUGUCUAUUUGCCUAUCAUAACAUACAUACAUAUAUUAGGCACAUUUCUAAGGUUAACAUAUUAAUGCUCAAGCGUUCACACAACUUAGUUUCUCGUUGACGAUUUCAGUGUCUAUGUUUCAUAUAAGCCCUAUAUAUAAGGUCUUUUUAAAAUGUUAACAUAUACAUCUUCCAUAUUUUAGAAGAACUAACUCAUAUAAAUCAUUAUCAAGUCCAAAGUCACUCAUUUCACACGUAUACAAAUUUGUCCAUCGCUUUGCAGCAUGGCCAAUCUAUGGUUUCUAGUCCCUAACUGAAGUUCUCAAUCUUUAAUUCAAGGGGGGUCAGUUCCCAGUGAAAGUUAACACUUCAAGCACAACUUUCAGGAAUAUAGCUGCCAAAAAUUAUAUCAUUCACUAACCUUAAAUCCAUUUAGAAGUUAAUCGACAAUUCUAUCUUAUAGCCUAUCGCCUAACCCUUCUUUAGCAUUUCUUCUAUAUCUGAUGUUCCAUAAAUCCAAAUAGAGGGGAACUUGUUUCAAUUUAAAGCUAACACAUCUGCAUAUAAUUCCCAUAAGGAACAUGUAUCAAAAGUUACCAAUAUCAAAUCUCAAACCCAAUUGGAGAUCAGACAACAAUUAUGUCCAAUAGUUUCCAGCAUGACCAUACCUUAGUAUUUUGAUCAUAUUUGGAGUUAUAUAACUCCAAAUAAAGCAAACUUUGUUUUUAUUGUAAGGUAACACGUUUAUACACAAUAUCCAAGAGGAAUAUUCAUCAAAAUACAUCAAUAGCAGCUCUUAAACAUAAUUGAAAGUCAGACAAUAAUUAUGUCCAGUAGUUUUUAGCAUGACCUUAUCUUAGUAUUUUGUUCAUAUUUGAAGUUCCAUAACUCCAAAUAAAGCAGACUUUGUUUCUAUUGUAAGAUAACACAUUUAUACACAAUAUCCAUAAGGAAUAUGCAUCAAAAUACAUCAAUAUUAGCUCUGAAACAUAAUUGAAAGUCAGACAACAAUUUUAUCCAGUAGUUUCUAGCAUGACCUUACCUUAGUAUUUUGUUCAUAUUUGGAGUUUCAUAACUCCAAAUAAAGCAAACUUUAUUUCUAUUAUAAGGGAACACGUUUAUACACAAUAUAUAUGAGGAAUAUGCAUAAAAAUACAAAAAUAGAAGCUCUCAAACAUAAUUGAAAGUCAGACAAUAAUUAUGUCCAGUAGUUUCCAGCAUAACCUUACCUUAGUAUUUUGUUAAUAUUUGGAGAUCCAUAACUCCAAAUAAAGCAAACUUUGUUUCUAUUGUAAGGUGACAUGUUUAUACACAAUAUCCAUGAGGAAUAUUCAUCAAAAUACAUCAAUAGCAGCUCUCAAACAUAAUUGAAAUUCAAACAACAAUUCUAUUCAGACUUGAAUUCAUAGGCUUUACAAUUAAAGAAGAAUUUUUCAUGCAUUCUUUUAACAUCUAAAUCAACUAUUUCAUCUAAUAUAUCUUUUCUUGGUUUCAUUAGGUUUCCCAAAAUCAGUAUAUGUCAAAACGCUAGGGCUCCACGUUUGGGGGUUUCAUUCUUGCUAACAAUAUGAAUAUCCAUUCAAACAAGGGUGGAAACAAGGAAAAUUCUCUUACCUCACGAAUUUAAACAAGCCUAGGGUGUUCUUGCUGAUUUUUCUCUUUUUGUUUUCUCCUUAACUUAGUCCCCUUCAAGUUUCUUCCUCCUUGACCGAACUUUCCUCUAUCUCUAUACCUCUAAAUGAUGGUUUUCACUUCUCACUCACUCAUUAUUCAUCUAAGUAUGAUUUUCUAAAGACAUGCAAGAGUUUUGGUGAAGAAAUUUCAAAGGAGGAGGGUAUUUUUGUUGAUUAUGGUCAGCCCUAGGGGGAAGAGGGAGAGUCAUUCUUCUUUUUAACUCAAAGCAUUUAUACCCCCUUAAUUAAUCCUAGAUCGUGUUUGGUUGUAUGCCAACUUGUAUCCUGGUAUUUUUUUUUUUUUACUACUGUUGAGGGACUUAAUUUAUAAUUUUUCACCCAAACAUUUGGUACAAAUAUUUAUCACCAUUAGUUUCCAAACCAGAAAAUUUGUAAGGUGGAGUUUUCGGUAGCCAAUUCUAUUGGCACCACUAGUUUUCAAACCAGGAAACUAGUCAUUUCCAUUUAUUCCUCAAUGUUUUUGUACCGUUUUAUAGUUGAAUAUUUAGCAUUUCCAAGCUAACUUCGAGUAUAAAUGUUUUAUCAUUUAUUUUUAUUUAUUCGAUAACCACAAAUAUUUUUACUUUAAUCUGUAUAACAAAAUCUCUAUGCAUCAAAAUUUUCAUCAUGUUUCUUGGUUAUCCUCGUUAUAAUAGUUAUAAUAGGCCAAGGUUUCACAUCAAGGUAAUGAGAUAAAAGAGCUUCUUAUAUUGCCACCUUUUAAAGUUCACAACAUUGAACUUCUCGAAGUUUUCCACCAUGCAUCACAUGAAGUGAUGGUGAAAUUAUUCAUACUUAAGUAAUGUUCUUAGGCUUCUUACCAUGUACCAUAAAAUAUAAUGGUGAAAUCCUCUCUGCCAAAACAAUAUUUAAUUUUACCAAAGUAGUAUUUUCAAACUAAAAACCAAGCAUGUUGAUUGAUCUUGCAUUAACCAUGAUGAUUUCCCCCUUAUACCUCUUUAUAUGAGAAUAUAAUAUGCUAUAAACUUUUAGUCAUUUAAUUAUAACAAAAUAAUAAAAUUCAUCUUGUAAAUUACUUUAUGUAAAUUUGUUCUUUUUGUUAUUCCUUUGUAUCAUAUGCAAUCAGUUUUAUUGCCAAAAUCUAUUUGUAAUAAAAUUAAGAAAUUGUGUCGCAACUUUAUUUGGGCUAACAUGGAGGGGAAAAGGUGGAUCCAUCUUAUUCGGUGGAAGACAAUUUCUCAUAUAGCAAAUAAGAUCUGACAGGUCUUUAUGAUGCCACGGGACAUGAGAUUGUUCUAUGAAAGAGGGCUACACCCAUAGUUGUUUAGGAAUGUGACAAGUAAGGCUCGACACAUUAAUUUAAUAUUGCUCGAGCUUUAAGCCCUCAUUUACACAAAAAUUUUACUUAUAACAUGUUGCCCGUUUGUAUAUCAGGCAGCCAUAUAUACAUAACAUGAAAACAACUGGAUAUUGAAAAGCAUCAACAAUCUUAAGAAUCUGAAAACGUGCUAAUAUAAGAUUCAACUGCAUGCCUUGAGAUAAUGACCUAAUUGAAUAAUUUUAAAGCAAUCCUCAAGGGAAAACUUUGUCGAUUCUUUUAGAAUGAUGUGAAGAAUAUUCAUUGUAUCUAAAGCCUUAGUCGGCAUUAGGCUUCGAAUGUUGAGAAGUUAAAUAAUAGAAGGCUAGCUUAGUACAAAUUAACCCCACAAAAGAGGAGUUGGAAGGAAGAUUUUCUAAGAAAAAGGUUUAUAUGGUCAAGCUAUUUGGUUGUUUUCUUCUGUUUGGGGGUUGCCGGAAAAAUGUAACUAUUUAUAAAUAAGAAGGAGCAAUUAAAAUGGAUAAGAGAAAGAAUUUUCUAAAUAAAAAACCAGGUUAAUUUGUCCCAAUUAUAAUUGAAUAAGUUUUUAAUAUAUGCUUGUAGUUUUAAUUGUAUAUAUUAUAUCCUUAUGAAGUAUUAUUCAAUUUCUAAUUUAUGAUUUUAUCAAAAAAAUUAUUCAAAUUAAUAAAUUUGUAUUUUUCAUUUCAAAAUUUCCCUCGAGUUAUUCAAUGAUAUAAUAGUAUAAUUGCUCAACUAUAUCCUUUUAUAGCACAAGAGCAUUUUUUAAAUGAAGGACAUAAUUAUGUCAAUUUAAAUUUUAAAAAAAACAUGAUACAAGAAUAUAUUGAAAAAAUAAAAUAUUGUACAAGAAUAUACUAAUCACAAUUAAAAACAAUUAUAGACAUAUUGAAAACUUAUCCAAUUAUAUAAGCACAAAUUAAGUUAUUUAUGAUUAAAAAAACAUGAAAUUACAUAUAAUAGCAUUAUAUGUAUGGAUGCAUUUUAAGAUAUCAUAUAUUUUUAUUUAAAAAUGCAAACAUGUUGUUUACGCUAAUAGUAGGAUAUAAAGUCAAUUUCUAAUAUGAAAAAAAUAAUAAUUACAUUAUAAAUAUAUUUUCAUGUAUAAUGGUUUUUUUUAACUCAUAAACAAAAAAAAAUGUUGUUUAUACUUUAUAAAAUAAAUUAAGAAAUAUAUGAAUUGGUAAAUAAAAAAAGAAUUGCUAAUACUAAUUAAAUAUUAAAGUGGAAAGUUAAUAGUCAUAGUAGAAAUUAAAAUUAAAUGCACAUACCAAUGUUUUACACUAACUAUUCUUUUCAUUUUAAAUAUUUUUUAUUUUAUCUUAGUGGCUAAGUAAUUUUGCUAAUAACAAAUGAUUUUUGUUUUUAUAAGAACUUCAUACAAAUAUAGCUAAUUUAUAUAAAAUAUAAGAGGAAACAAAUUCAAUAUAAAUCAAACUAAUAUCUUUAAAGUAUCAUACAACUAAACAAUUGUAAAAAAAUGAAUCAUUAUUUAAAAACAAUAAUUCAAUUUGUUUAAUAAAUAAUAGAGAGGGCAUAAAUAAAUAUUUAAAUAGAAACAAUUAAUGAAAAUAGGUUAAAAAAUAUAAAAGUCAUGCAAGAGGCUCACACACCUUGCCUUAAUCAAUAACCCAAGCAUGACUUGGCGUUGUAGCCUAGGGUACCCCUAUAUAUAUUGACUAUUAAGAAUUUAGCAGAGUUUCUUUUAUAUUUUUGUUCUUACAACUUUUAUAUAUAACAAUUAUAUCACUUAUCAAAUAAUCACAAAUAAUGGCAGCCUUAAGCAUGCCCACAUCAUCAACACAAUAAUCUUUUUAUUUCUAUACUAUCUAGUCCACAAUAUAUGAUAACAUAAAUACAAUUAUAAUGAUAGAUUUUAAAUAAGUAAAAUCAAGAAGAAUACUAAGAAAACUUAAAACAAAGUCUAAGUAAUAAUACUUUUACAUCUUUACAAUCCAAAAGGUAAGUUAAUAUGAUAAUUUGAUAACAUUUAUGUUUAUUUCAAGCCAAGAAAAGGACUUACUUCAUAUUGAUCAACAUUACAAUUAAAGAUUUACUAAAACACCUAUAUGCUAAUAAUUCUAGAGAAAGAAUCAAGAAGAUCCGGCUGUGUGAGAUGAUCCUGCAUGUUACAUUAUUCUUAAAAUGUUAGAAAAUAAAAUUCUUAUAUAUCUUAGUAAAAACAUUUAAUGCUAUUAUUUUCUCUAUGAUUUCCAAACAACUCCUUCCAUAUCCAUUUGUUUUAUAAUAUAUUGAAAUUACAUCGUCAUAUUUCUCCUUUUCCUUUCAAUAAAUUCUCAUCCACAUCUCUAAUAGUGGAAUUAAGCAUAUUUUUUCAUUUCAGCAAUAUGUUCAUUUCAUAUAAUUCAAAUUCUUUCCCAUCUUCUUGCAUAAUGCAAGUCCACAUUUCCUCAAUCUCAUACACAAUGAAAGGUCGAUAUUUACUUCCACACCUUACCUGCUAGCAAGUUAACAUCAACCUCAAUUUCAAUGGUAAGGUGGCAUUAGCCUUCACUCAUGAGCAGACUGACAUCAACCUCCAUCUCAAUAGCUGACUGGCAUGAGCUUCCAUACCUAAUGGUAGGUUGACUUUAACUUCCAUACAUAAUGGCACGUUGGCGUUUCUCAAAACUCAUCACCUCCGCAUUUGAAGAUCACUUAUUUUCUUUAAAUUGUAUCACUCAACAUUACAAUUUCAGGAUGAAAACUAAGAAAAGAAUUACGUGUAUAAAAAUUUUAAACUUCUAAGGUAGGGUUCAAAGGCUCCAACUUAUUCCUCUUGUAGGUCUAACUCCACUCAUUGGGAUUCUCACUCCUGAAGCUUCUCUUGCAUCAAUAAUAUAUCAUUCAAUAACAAACCACUUUAUUUAUCAAUUUUAGGAACCUAUAUUUUAGUUAUGUCUAGAUUUUCUUCACUGAUUAACUAUCUUUAUUUCCUAAUACUCAAUCCUAGGUAUAAUUUUAUGUCUCAAACUUUACUCUCGUAUUCAAGAUUCAUAUUCAAAAUACAUCAAGUUUCCUCCAACAUUAUUAGUUAUAUUUGCUUAUAUUUAAUACUCAUUGGCACUUCAAAGCUUCUGAAAACCCUCAUCUCUUUAAUUUCAAAACAUCCUUAAAGUUUACUUAAUUUAUUUACUUGCUACUUUUAUACUUUAGUUUUAAAUCAAAGCUUUCAAACUAAUUCUCCUCCUCCCUUAAUAUAAAUUUUGGCCAAUGUAAGGUUAUUUACUUGUUUAAAUUUUUUUUAUUUACAUGCUUAUUACAUGCAAGUCAUGAAAAUUCCAUAUCAAUUAAGUCCACUACAUAAACAUAAAUCAUUUAUAUAAUCAAUCAUUCUCAAUCUAAUCAUUCAAAGUGCACUAACAUCCAACUAUAACUAAACAAGUUCACUUAAAUUCUUCUCAAUACCAUCAUUAAUACAUCAAACAUACUAGACACACAAUUACACAAGCAUUUAUUUAGUCAUCCCCUUCACUAUCUUCCUCUAAAGUGGCCAGCCUUAGUCCUUCAAAUAACACUAAAUUUUUUCUUUAAUUAUCCAUUAUUUUGUAUCAUUUAUAACCUAUUUCAUAACAAUUAUAUCAAACUACAACAAUUCCACAUUUUCCCAAAAUUAUCUUAUAAGAACUCUAAUUCAAAAAAUCAAGAAUUAUGCAUUAAAUUUGUCUCUUUUCUUUUAAACUUGUUUAAAUGAGUUUAAAACUCCUUAUUAGACAAUAAAAUGAGCUUUGAAUACUAACAAGUCAAACUACAACAAUUUCACACUUUUUUCAAAUUGUCUUCUAAGAACCCUAAUUCAAAAAAGAAAGAAUUGUGCAUUAAAUUUAUUUCUUUUCAUUCAAACUUGUUUAAAUCAGUUUAAAACUCCUUACUAGACGAUAAAAUGAAAAUGAGCUUUGAAUACUACCCCCCCCCCCCAACGUCUAACUCUUUUCCUCUCUUGGCCUUGACUUUCUCUUUCUUUCACUUGAUUUUUCUCUCAACUCCUUUCUUAAAUGGUUUGUAUGGUUUAAAACACUCUUUAAUUUCUUUAUCUUGCUCCAAUACUUGUUUCUCUCUCUAAAUAUCUAAGUAUAGAGGCUCACAAGGUUUUUCUCUCUUUUCCUUUCUUUAUUUUUUUGUUUUGCCAUGAGUUAAAAGGAGAAGAAGUUUGGAAUUUUCCAGCUAACCCACGUAAUUACAAAAAUGCAAUUAAUAAUUUAUAUGUUAUUUAAUUGUUUGACUAUUGAUUUUUUUGUAUGACCUUCUUAAACUUUAAUUGCUCUAACAUUUUAACCUAAGAUAUGAACAUUUGUUAGGAGAUUACUUGUAAAGUUUUAGCUCAAUCCGACAGUCAAAUCAAACGUUAUACUUGAUAGUGCAAAACUAGUCAACAAGUGAUUUUUCACCAAAUUUUGAAUUUUUUUGUGCCCUCUUUGCAUAAACCAUAUUAGAUAUCCCAUUAAGUUCUCAAAACUAUUUUCUUAUGCUUAAAACUAUUUAAUUUACCUUUCUAUCAUUUUAGUUCUUUUACGAACUUAUUAUUGUUUUAUAUAAGUAUUAUAAAUCACUAGUUGGGUUUACCCCAAUGCUAUUACAUGCCAUUCUUAACUCUUUUUACUUAAUUUAAAUUAUUGUAUAUUCAUUUGUAAGCAUAUAUUUUUCUAGUGGUUUACACUAUAUGUCACAUGUAGUGGUGAGUGACUUGUUGCCGAUUAAUCAUAUUUUCAGUCACUUUUGGUUAUCAAAAAAUUAGGGUUCAUGUUUUUCUCUAAAAACCUAAUUUUUAACUUGUUUUUACUUCAAAACACCUUCAAAAUACCAUAUAAAUCUCAAAAAGUUAUUUAACAACUUCAAAACACUCCAAAAUCACUCUAAAAAAUAAAAAUUAAACGAGUCAUAAUAAAUCAAACAGAACCUGAACUCCUACUAGGUUUAGAGAAAAAAACCAUCUCCAUUGAACUUCUCUUGAGAAGAUAAACUUAUUAACACAAAGAUCUUCAUUUUUUGUAGUCAGAAUAUGAUCAACUAAUAACUUUCCUUUUCUUUUCUUAAAUCUAGAGACUAAAAAAUGAAUAAGAUAUUUUUUUGAACCAAAAUAAAAAUUCUAAAAACUUUAAAAUUAACCAUGUAUUUUUUUUAAUUUUUAUAUUGUGGUUUUCUUUCCUUUAGUUUUGUCAUUUUACUAGAAUUUAAAACUUUAUCUUAUAGAAUUAGGUAAUAAAAAAUUAAUUUUAAAAAAAUUAUCCAAGUAUUAAAAAACAAAAAUUCUUUUCGUUUGUGUCAUAAAUCCAAUCAUUAGGUAGUAGUUGUAGCAAGUCAGAGAUACUUUUUCUUUGCAACACUUGCAAUAAAUUAAAAUAAUGUAAUAUUUAUUUCUUAAAAUCUUAUGUUUGGAACUAAUUAAGAAGCAUCCGUCGGGAAGUUGAAUGAAUCUCAUUAUCUUAAUUAGAUUAAUGAAAAUGAUUUGCCCAAUAAAGGAAAACAGCUGCCUCGCACACACAAUGAUGUUGAAAAUCUCAUCAUCAUUCUUCUGACUAUAAUCAAUUGCAAAAUGAACGAUUACACGUCUGCAUUCUGCAAUCUCUUGAAUGCCUGUGUUCAGUCAUAUUCUUUUACCCUUCUUUUGACUAUGAUUCUUCUUUUUUUAAUUAAAUAAAUACAUUAAAUUAUUUUUUAAUUAUUUCUAAUCAGUUAUUACUAAUAAUUUAAUUAUUUUCUCUCUUUUCAUUAAUAUUAAACUCUUUAAUUUAUUUUCUCUCUUUUCAUUAAUUAUUUUCUCUCCUUGGUUACAGAUCUUUGUGAAACUUCCAUUUUUUUUCCCAUAUAUAUAAAGCAUGCAUACUAUCUUAUAAAAGAUGUAAAAGCUUAUAUAACUAAACAUGUAAUCUCUUGCUUUUAUAACCCGUUAAAAAAAACACUGAUAACUUAUAAAUACAUCAUGGUUGAACGGAUCCUUUCUGACUAACCUUUCUAUUGAUAUAAUAAACUAACUCUAUUUAUUUUUAUGAAAAAAUAAAGAGUAAAUGGCUAGUUAAUCAUUCUCUUCAAAAAACUAUAAAAAGUUAGUCAGAUCACGAGUCUGAUAGGGUGGUUGGUAUCUAUAUAAUAUAUCUUAUUUUUAAUAUUUAAAAAAAAAAAUUAUCUUGAAGCUUUUGUAGGUAUAAGUAAAGCCACCUCACAACAAACUAUAAAUCUUCAGAAUUUGCCAAAAUUAUAGAAUAGUUUCAUAUGUUGAUGCCCAGAAACCUCCAAGAACAAGUAAAUGUUAAGAAACAUUAACAUAUAAAACUGAUGUCUUUUAUAGAAUACUGUUUUCCUUUUCAAAUAUAACCUCUCAAGUGCCUCUUUUGUUCUUUUACUAAGCUCCACUAGUUGUUGCAGGUCCAGCAGCCUGCAUAGAAGCAAGAAAAAACCGAUCAAUCCACAAGAGGGCCUUUCCCAUUACAUGGUCUCGAGAGCAUGCUUGGAUGUAUAUUAAUUUCACCUAUUGUAACAAUCUUUUUGCAAAAUAUAGUGUCUUUAACCAAAAUCUAGUGAAUGAAGCGAAUAUCACAAAACAGACUAGUAGAGCAUAAAUAAUCAACACUCUCGGCACAAAACAGGGAGAGGGAACUAGUAAAAAGUUUGAAAUGCUUACCGAUCGAUUGACAGGAGAUCAUGAAUGCAUUGCAGAUUAAAACAAAGUUAAACUAAAAAAAGGCCACGUUCAUGAAUGGUAACCGGUCACAUGCACAAGGAUGAAUACAAGAUGAACACGCGAGUAAUUCAAGAACGAAGAAAAUUUAAAGAGAAAACAUCCCAAUUCAUAUCAAUCCCAAAGAGCAGCUAAGGAGAUUAAGACAUGACCUGUACCUUUUGCUACCGAGUCUAGUUUGAUCUAUCAAGUAAAGCGAGACUCUCAACAAAAUAAUCAGCGUAGUCAUCAAGUAACACCUCCAACACCAUAUCAUGAAUUUCCUGUGUUUGAGGAUCACAUGAAACUAACUGAGAAUUUGCAUAUCCUGCCAUUAAUAUCUCUCCAUUACUCCUAGAAACCACCGGCCUUGCUAUAUUGAGCAUUUCAAUCCGGUAUUGUUUGUCCCAUGAUUCCCUCGCACCAUAUUGGCUCAUCACCCAUACCUCACAAACAUAAUUUCCGCCAUAAUCCUUAAGGACAUUGAAAGAAAGAGAGUGCUUGAACACUGAAAUGGACAUCGCUGCGAUCCGUUCUGUCGGAUCGAAACAUUCAGGCAGCAUUAACUCUCCGAAUGAAUUAUUGCUUAAAUCAAAGGAUAGUGCCAGCAUACCGUUAUUUUCUCUAGGAUGUAGAAGCCAGUGAAUGACCCCAUUUACAAUAUAUUUUUUUAAUAUAUUUUUUUAAAAAAAAAACUUUAAAAAAAAUCAUUACCACACUCCCAUCCAUCAUUAAAAUAAAAUAAUUUACAAUUAGUCAUGUUUUGUGAUAAGUUGAAACUAGAUUUUUUAUCUUUUUAGGGUUGGUUUUGUUUCCACCAACCAUAGCCGUGGGCUUAUAUAACCAACCCUUUUGAAAACAAAUGAGGAUUUAAUUGUUCAGCAAAUGUGAAAUUGAAUAGAAUGAAGGAAAAGAAUUUGCUAUUGGAAUUUGAAUGGAAGGAUGACAAUGAAAACAUUUCUGAUCUUUAAUUGCGUAAUGUGGCUUAGGAUUCGGAAGUCCCAUAGUUCAAAUCUUUUCCAUGGAGAGUUUAGGGUAAUUUGGUUUUCAAUUUAUGUGGCGGAUAUAAAGUUGGAAUUUGUUUUAAUAAAAACCAAAUUUAAAUAGGGUUUCAUUUAAUUUUAAGUUUAAAACUUUAUUAGAAAUUGUUCUUCUAUACAAGUUUUUAAAAAUGAAAUAUUAAUAUGAUUAAAAUAAAUUAUGAGUGAAUAAAAAAUUGAUCUAAAAUAUUUUUGAUUAGAAUGUUUGUUCCGAAACUCAAAACCUUUUAUCUCAAGUAGAAAAAAAAAUAUAAGGAUGUCUUAUGGUUUAUUUAGUGGAAAGUUGAAGGGUCAUAAAUAAAUCUAAGUAAAGUGGGAUGAUUUAACUCACGUGCACGUGCUCGGCUCGGGCUUAGGCUCAGACACCAAGCUUAGAUUUGCUUUCUAUUAACCUAUUUUGAUAUUGGAUUUGAGUUUGUUGUAAUACUAAAUGGUAACCCACGCUAUGUUGCGACCUAUAUUACAUUUUUUCUAAUGUAAAAAAAGAAGUCCAAUCGAUGGAUAAUAAUCCUAAUCAACCAUGACUAACUUAACAAACCUGUCAUCCGCGAUACGAAAUCGGAAUAAAAAAAAAAUUAACUUUUUAAAAAGACCAAGGUUAAAUCAAUAAAAAAACUUUGAAAAAUAAUCAAAUCAACCUAGGUUAACUUGACUAACCAAUUAUCCGAGAUAGCCCAACAAAAAAAAAGCAAAAAAAUCACAAAGCUCAAGGUCCAAUUACCUAACAUCAAAAGGAUAAAAUUGUAAAAAAUAUCAAUUUAAAACAAAAAACCUGAGUUAACUCAAUUAACCUGCGACCCAUGAUAUAAGAUUGUGAUAAAAAAAUGAUUUUAAAUAAAAAACCAAAUUCAAAUCAAUAAAAAACAUAAAAAAAACUCGAGUCAACUCGGGUUAACGUAACUAACCUGUGACCCAAGAUAACCCCACUGAAAGGAAAGAAGAAAAAAUUACAAAGUCAAAGACCCAAUAACCUGACAUCAAAUAAUAAAAUUGAAAAAAAAUCAAUUUCAAAAAAAGAAACAUUGGAAAAAAAAUCUAAUUCACCCCAGAUUAACUUGACUAACCCACGAUCCGAGAUAUAAGGAUCAAAUAUGGUUUAAAAAUAAUGAAGAAAAAUUCAUAACCAUAAAAAAAUUAAAAAAAAAACAAAACAAAACAAAUAGCAAUCAAAUUCUGAGGAUCAAAUCAGAUACAAAAACCAAAUGAAAGAAAAUAAUUUGGGAUAAAAUUAAAAAAAAAAUUAAUAAAGAAAAUGAUAAAAAAAAAAUAGCAAUCAAAAGAAUAAGAUCAAAAAUCGAAUACAAAAAUUACAUCAAAUGAAAUGUUAAGGGAAACAAAUUUAAAAACAUAAACAAAUCAAGAAAUUGAUAAAACAAAUAACAAUCAAAAGAAUAAGGAUCAAAUUUGAAUACAAAAACUAAAUCAAAUAAAAUAUUGAGGGACAUAAUUGAAAAACAUAAAUAAAUCAAGAAAAUGAUAAAAAAAAAUAGCAAAUAUAAUAAUGAGGACCAAAAUUAAAUACAAAAUAAAAUUAAAUAAAAUGUUGACGGAAAAAAUUGAAAAACAUAAAUAAAUCAAGAGAGGAAUGAAAAUAAUAACAAUCAAAUGAGAGUCAAAUUGGAUACAAAAAUUAAAUGAAAUGAAAUGCUUAGGGACAAAAUUGAAUAAAAAAAUAAACUUCAAUAAGCAUCAAAAGCAAAACAAAUAACAAUAAAAAAAUAAGGAUCAAAUUGGAUAUAAAAAUCAAAUGAAAGGAAUCUUCUGUAUUUUUCCAAGGAGAAGAGAGAGAAAAGAGGGAGGAGAAAACAAAAAGCUCAUCAGAGCGAUAUCGGCAAUCUUGUGCCACUGUAUGUUUGUCCACUAGAAAUACCUUGAAGAGCCACUUUUAAUGUCAUUGUAAAAGUAUGUGUUUAGCCGCCAGAGGAGCCCGCACGCACGACCAAAAAAGCAUGGGCUCCUCUCACUCAUUGGGAAGUGUAAAAAACUUUUCAUUUUUUUUUUGCAUUUAUUAAAAGACCAAACUAACCUUUAUCCAACUUGACAAUACCAAAAAAAAACCAAGAGAAAAGGAUAAAAAAGCCCUUAGACAACAACUAUAGGGUUUUUUUUUUUAACUCGAAGGGUAUUUUAGAUAUUUUACUGUGCUUUUGAAAUUGAAAAUUCAAAAAUUUCCCAAAACAAAAGUUAAUUAAAUCUUGCUUUUGAGUAUAUUUGAGUUAUUACAUUGUGUAAAAGAAAAGUAAAAAUAUUGAUUUGUACUUAUUAAAUCUUGUAAUGACAAAUGUAUCUAAUGAAAAAUACCAUAUUACCCCCCCACCAUGUUAUUUGGUUUUGCUUAAGAAAGAUAAAUUUGUCAAUUCACUAUGUAAGUCCAUAGUUAAACUCUAAUCAAGUUUAGUGCUAUUUUAAUAAUCAUUUGAUCCAUAAGGAAUUAUGUUUUGUUAACCCAUUGUUUUGUCUAAUUUAGCUAUAAUAAUUUAUUUAAACCUGAACUGGUUUUUCAGCUUAAGAACAUUAGAUUUAAAGCCAAAUCCUUCAAGUUUAAACUUUUUUUUAUAGAGGGUAAUAAAAAAUGAUAAUUAUGAGAAUUAAUUCUAAUAAUUAUCAGAAUUAAUUCUUUAUAAUUUUUUGUUCCAAAAUCCCUUAUAAAAAUGGGGUGAAGGAAGAUUUUUUUGCAUUGUUUUUUUUUCCAGAUUUAACACUCUUCCUUACCUCUAUUUUCAAUCUACCAUUUUCUUUUUAAGUUAAGUUUCAUCUUUGUUAUCCUUCCAAUCUAGAGCUCAGUACAAUCUUUGUAAAGAGACACUUGAGUUAUUUUUUUUUUUUUACUUGUUGACCUUGUUUAGAAGUGCAUCUAAACAAGAUGGUGGUGUUGGAAUCUUGGGGAUUUAUUGCAAACAUUAUUUUACACCAAGUAAAAACAAUAAAAUCUUAGAACAAAUGACUAAUCCUUAACAUAAACAAAGCCUGAUCAUUUUUGAAGUGUUAGAUGCUAGGAUUGUAUUUCAAUCUUUUAUGUUAAUUAGGAUAAGUAUGAAUGCUAGAAUUGUUAUAUGAUAUUAUGUGUUGUUUGCAAGUUUUUUAUAAUAUAUAAAAUUGAAUGCUUGUAUACUAAACUUGUUAUCAUAAACUAAACAUUUCAUGCUCACUGGUAGCAAUUUUAGACAACAAUCUUAAAAACUUUAUUCUUGACCGGUCUUUGUUUAGUUUAUAUGUCAUAUUUUAAGUCUUUUAUAAUGUUGCUAGAAAUUUUAAUUAUUAAGUUAUAGUUUGUCUUUUAUCAGGUAUUUUUCAUUCGAAUCACUCUGAAGGAAUUAAUGCAUGUCAUAUAACUUUAUAAACUAAACUUACAAAUGAAUGGUUUUUGUUUAGUUUAUACAUGAUAUUUGGUAUCUUGUAUGGUAUGUUCAUGCUUUUUAUUUAAUUAUUUAAAAAAAUUAUGAUAUGAUGCAUGUUAAUAAGGAUAUUUUAUUGAACUAAAACAAACAAAAAUGAUUAAUUUAUCUUACAUAAAUUCAAUACUUUUGUUUAUUAAGUUAUUUUUUUUACAAGUUUACUUUAUUACAUUACUUGCUUUACUUUCUAGAAGCCAAAAUAUUUAUUUAUAAAUAUAUUUAGUUGUUUUUUAUAUAGGUUUUAUUAUGACUUUAACUCAAUAAUUGUUUAUCCUAACUAGUGUUGCUUCAGCAAGUACGUACUACUUUAAUAGUAAAGAUUUCACCAUCACCUUUUACGAUGCAUGAUCUAAUAUAACAAGAUCUUUUGUUUUAGCAAGUACUAUUUUAAUAUUGAAGAUUCCACCAUCUUCUCUAGUAAGAUUUUAGUAUAUUUGACUUUAAGAGGUGAAAGCAAAAGAUAUUAUCUGACUACCUUGAACUUGAAAAAGUUUUUGAUCGAAGAAGUAUCAAAGUUAACCUGAUAAUAAGUUUUUGUAUAUAUAAAAAACAUAUACAAAUCAAUAUUUAAAAGAAUUCAACUUAAAUUAUUUAUUGAUAAAAUAUGAAUUUCAAGAUAUAGAUUGAAGAAAUUAUCAAUCAUUUGUCUUUAAAAUAGUUAUUAUCUUCCAUAUAUUGCUUGUAGUUUGAAUAUUGCAAUAUUGUUUUUCAAUUCUACUCCAUAUCUUACUAUCAAUAGCACAAAUAAGAAUAAAUAGUAAAUCAAAUUUAUAAACGUAAUGCUCUCAAGAACAUACGUAUAAAGUAUCAAAAUUAUUUGACUAAAGAAAAAUAAAUGAGAGUUUUAAAAAACAAAGAGUUGUUCUGAAUAUAUAAUAAAAAGGUAACUCUAUUUUAAAUUAACUUUCUCAUUUAUCCCAAACAAUUAUCAGGUUAGGAAAAGGGAUUUUUGAAACUUUCAUUUUGUUAUUAUUAACUUGAAUUUGAAAGGUGUUGUGAUACGGGAGGGGGUUCAAAUUCUAUAAUACUAUCAAUUAAAUCCAAUUGUCAUGCCUUGAUCGUCCUUACACUAUCUAUCAUUUGGCAUUCACCGCCAUGUAAAAGAACUUGGCAUGUAGAAAAAAUGAAAAAAGUUGUCCAUAGGCUAAAACAUAGCAGUAAAUAAGCUACCAUGUUGGGUUUCUUUUGUUAGAACUUCGGGCUAUUAUAUUAGGCACUACAUGUACUGUGCAAUCUUUAAAAAAUUACACUUUUUAUAUAUUAGGUGAAAACCAUAUUUAAAUUUUGAUAAAAGCCUAGAAAAUCAUAACUAAUGUUUUUCUUUUUCUUUAUUUUCCUUUUAUUCUCCUUCCUUUAUUCUUUUAUCUUAUAGACCCUAUGAUAUUUUUAACAUCCAAACUUGAAAAAAAAAAUUGAAAUUCUAGGAAGAGAUGGGGUUUUAAAAGAAAGAGAAAGAGAAAGUGGACAUCACUCGAUGAAUCCUAAUUGUUGUACAAUUAAGUUAGAUCUAGGUCUAAUGAACCAAGAUUUUAUCACUAUAUCUUUAUAUGUCUUUACUAAAAAAAUGUCGGAUCAAGAAAACAUACUGGUAUAAUUUUUCCAAACACAAACACACCCUAAUGGAGGCGUGUUGGGUCCGAUGCUAGCCAGACUCAGCCAUAGUUGGGUUUGGUAGUGUGCCAAGCCCUGAAUGCACUAGGUUCGGAGCUAGCCAAACCUAACCAUGGUUAGGCUUGGCAAUGUGCCAAGCCUCGGGCAUGCUAGGUCCAGCGCUAGCCAGACCCAGUCAUGGUUGGGCUUAGCAGUGUGCUAAGCCCUGAGCGCGCUGUGUUUGGCCAUUGUCAAACCCAGCCACGGUUGCUAGGUCUAGCACUAGCUAGACCCAAGUACAUUUGGGUCUAGCCAAUGUUAAACCUAUAUAUUAGUGUUUGGGUCUGGCCAACGCUAAACCUUGGGUUUGGCACUGGUUAGACCCAAAUAUUACCAAGUUUAAUGUUGGCCAGACCCAAUUGUUUUUGGGUCUGGCAUCGCUAAACCUAUAUGUAAUAUAAGUUUGAAGCCUUUUAGAUUUGGCCAACCCCAAACCUAAUUUUUGUUGGGUUUGGCGAUGCUAGACCCAUGUUAGGGACUGGCGUUAACCAAUCCAAUGUUGAGGAUUGGCAUUUCCAGUCCUAUUUUAGGGACUGCGCUAUCAGACCUAGUGUGUGAGUCUAACAAAUAGCGCUAGACCUAGCACUUGGGCUUGGCAGUACACCAAGCCGAGGCACAACCUAGGUUUGGCAGUUGUUGCCAAGACCAGUAGCUUGGCUUGGUGCGCUAUCAAGUCAACAGAUGGGCCUGACACAUAUUUCCUAAAAGUGUUGUGCCCGAGAAUUUUUGUCAUUGGGUAUGGCCAGUUUGCUACACCAACGGAUUCAAGCAUAAUACAUAAAUCUAAUACCAUCAAUUAUAUAGAUUUUUAUAUAAAAUCUUAGAGGAUUUAUUUAUCAACGAAUAGGCUUAAUUAAACAAGUCUACACUCCACUAACACCAUUAAGUGUAUUAAAGUCUUCCAUGACCUACCUGGUCUCCAUUUGUUUGCUGAUAAAAUGAGUGGUAUACAACUCAUAAUACAGUUUAAAAUAUCGCAAAAGUGAAAUUACACUUCAGUACUUCCUCUUCAUAAAAUGACAAAAUUCGUGGGCUAUAAAUGCAUCAUGAGACCUUCAGAAUAAAGGUUCAUGAUCUUCAUUAUCUACUACAUAUAUAUUUUCAGAACAUCUCUCUCUAAAAUAUUAUUGUAUUUUAUCUCUCUAAAAAAUACUUAUUUAAACAUUUGAGAGUUCCACCUCCACUAAAAAAGAAAAAAAAAACCUUUUACGGGUACUAAUCAUAAGCUACAUUGGCCUACCAAACACCAAAUAUAAGUUAACAACCAUUUUGGCUCGGGAGAAUGGAUGAGAUUGUUAUGACCAAUUGAUUAACCGAUUAUUCAUAAAUUUACAUUAUAAAAAAGGAUGACUUUCAUUAAAUUUAUAUUAUAAAUUUAAACAUGUUUCUUUAACUUAAUGUUGUUUUCUAUUAUUAUUAUUAUUAUUAUUAUUAUUAUUAUUAUUAUUAUUAUUUAUGGAGUGGGUUUAUUUUUCUUCAAUUUGCUUUUGCUAAUUAAAGAAAUAUAUACUAAAACAACAUACUUAUGCAUUUCUAAGUCAAUUCUGUACUUCUUGUAAACAAUCCUUAUUACAUAAAAAUAGGUAUUUUUGUCUUCACAAUCCUAUACACAAAUAUAAAUAUUUGAGCUUGAGAAUUUUACUAGGUUGUCUAUACGUGGUUGUCUCCUCUUUGGAAGAGAGUAACUUUCUUAUUUAUAAAUGGACAUUAAUUUUGAAGCAUCAUUUGAAACAAAAUUAAUUUAAAAAAUAUAUGUUUGUUAUAUAUAUAUAACCAGUGAGUGUGUUUGAGAAGAAGAUCAACAAUAUAUAAAAGAAUAUCAUUUGAUUUAUUAAUACAUCCUUGCAUUUGCAAAGUUUGAUAAAAGGCCUAAGAGACGAGUUGAAAAAUUGUAAUAGCUACUUUGGAAAUUAAAUAAAUAAUAAUGUAAAACCUAUAAUAUUUUACAACUUCUUUGUUGAGUGAGUUCAUGUGUUCCUGAUUUGGUAUGUAAAGUGCUAUCAACUAUCUAAACAUUAGGAUAUAAAAUGUAUUUUUUAAAAUAGACUUAUUAUCAUAUUUAAAUGUUGGGAGAGUCGGGAUAAUGUUUUCUAUAAAAUAUAUGAGAUAAAACAUGAAAUAAAAACAUAAUUAAGUUUUACAGUAGUGCAUAGACAAAUAGUUGGUUUUGUGUAAAAUAUUUGAUAGGAAAAUGUUUUCUUGGUCUUCUUUUAUUUAUUUCUUGUAAAAUAUCAGAUAAAUUAAAAUAUCCUCCGAAAAUGUUAUGAAAUUACAUAAAUCUCCUAAAAGUUUAAAAUUAUAUAGAAAUAUCUUAUAAUACCCAAAGUGUUUUUAUUUACUAUUUUGAAAAAAAAAUUGAAUUAAUUUUUUAAAAAAAAUUAAAGAGAGUAUUAAGAAAGAAACUUAAACCAAAAUGGCUGGAAUUAAAUAGUGAAAUUAAUAUUGUUAAUGUUCUAAGAAAUAAUCAUGUACAAUUUUUUAUAUCCUUCCCCUAUUUUUUUAAUUUUUUAAUUUAAAUAAUUUUUUUUAUAGUAAUCAAGGGAAUUCUUGGUAUAUAUAAAAUGAGGUUUUUAUAAUGAUUUCUUAAAAAGUUAGUUUUUUAAUCAAAUUCUCAAAAUUUUGGAUGAUUACUAUAAUUUUAUAAUUCCUCAGGAUGAUUAUUGUAAUAUAUCCUAACUAUUUUAUAGAAGAAUUAUUCAUUGCAAAACAUUUUAUAGUCAACUUUUAAAUUUAUUUUAUUUAUUAAAAAAUCUCAUAAAACUUGAUAAAUUAUUUUCUAAAAUAGUAAUUUACUCAUAAUAUUUUUCAAUUAUUUCAACCAUCACUACAAUGUUAUGGUUAUUACCAACACCAUCACCACCACCACUUCCGUUUUCUUUAUCAUCAUCAAUUUACAACCACAGUCAAUUCUUCAUCGUUAUCAUAACCAUUACCCUACAACCAUCACCUCCACCACUAUUACCAUAAUUAUUAUAUGAAAAAAUUAUUUUGAGCAUCCUAUAGUUUGGUUUUUUUUUCACUUUACAACCAAUUUUUUUAAAAUAUUACACUUUACAACCUGUGUCAAAAUAAAUUUUGAAAAUCAACAAAAUAAUAAUAAUAAUACUCUUAUAUAUAUUAAAGCAUAAGAGGUAAUUAUUACCACACACCUCAUUUUCUUUUUCCAUGCUAAUCCUCUUUCCUCUUUCAUGUAUUCUUUAUCAAACACAAUCUAGAAGAAAAACUCAAACAUAAAUCCAUGAUUGAAGACAAAAUCAAACAAGGACUUAGCAAGGCUUUGGUUGUGUUUUUGGGUAUGAUUAUGGUCCAAACCAACUGGAUUCUGGGUUUAAACUAAGGCAUGUCAAGGCUGUGAAAUUGUCUGGGUUUUGGGUUAGAAAAGGAAUGAUUUUUUGUUUGAGUCAAGGUUAAAUUGCCCGUAAAGAACAAAGGUUUUGGCGGAGAAAGGGGCCAUCUAUGAUGCAGAUAUGUAAGUUGAUUUUCUAAUCAAGAAAACUGAAUGAAGGGGGGGGGGGAAUGGAAUCUAGGCAAGAAGAUACAAGCAAAUCCUAUUAAGAUUUGCAAGGAAGGAGUCCAAAUGCUGCUAGGGUUGGUUCGUUGGUGCCCAACCAUGGAAAUAGCAUAAUUUGAUUCCAAGUUCUCAACAGUUCCUUCCUUUAACGACAAUUCUUGGAUUUCAAGACUACUCACAAAACACUGAGAAAUAGGUGGAAUUAUGCAAUUAAAUCAAAGGUAUAGAUUGUUCAUCGAUGUCGUAUCAUGCCAUAUUGUUCAGCCAAUUCUUCACAAUAAUGAAAAGGUGUUCAUUUUGACUACUUUGGCUAUCUUGUGUCUAUUCCCCAAUCAACAAUUCAUUCACUCCAUCUUAAUGGCAGAAUUAAUGCAAUAUUCCCCAUGUUUUCAUAUAGUCUAAACAUAUAUUGUCAUCUCAAUAACUCUAAUUGAAUUGUUCAAAAACCAUCUAAUUUAGUUGUUGGGUGGCUUCGAUUUUGUAAGGAGAUUAAGCUAUGUGUUUUUGGUGGCUGGAUAUUAGAGGAUGAAGGUGACAGCAUCGUUUUUGCAAUGAUGAAGGGGAGAGGCUAUUGUGCAGAAGAAAGAAAAAGGAGAGAGAUGUGGUAGAAAUGGUGGUUCACAGUGAGAAAAAGGUUGAGAAAGAAAGGUUUUUAGUGGUAUUUUUGUUAUAUUUUAGGUUUAGAGGCUUUUUAAUUAUUAAUUUAAUAUAAUGAUAGUAUUAUAAAUAAAUACAAUUUUUUUAUUAAUUUUUUUCAAGCAUCAUUUAAAGUGUUGUUGUUAUUUAAAUUUUAGAUUGUAAAAUGUAAUAUUUAAAAAUUUAAUUGAAAUUGGAAAAAGACCAAAAAAUAGUAUACUUGGAGUAAUUUUCUCGUAUUCCAUCUUGAUUAUAUUUUUCAAGUCAUUAUUUAUGAAAUGUUAUAAGAGAUUUAUAUUAAAAUAUUUUAAAUAUAGAAUAUUUUAUAUUCAUCAAAAACAUUUAAUGCAAAACAAGCUAGGACACUGUGAAUUUGAUUUCACACCCAAAAGUGACCACACAUUCCCAGGUGGGGAGGUCAAAAUUCCCCACUUCCUAAUUGCCCUAACUCCGGGUCUUGUUUCCCAGGAGCCAACACUCACUUCUCCUCAGGCACCGCCACCAUUAGUGCUCCCUCCACUGUGCCACCAUCCCUACCUAUCCUCACUAUCAUCAUAGCAUAACCCCGUUGAAAUUUGGACUGAGGAGAUGAUAGGAGUUUGACAUGCAUACAGUAGCAAUGAACCAUGAAAAAAAUACUAAAUUACCCCUAAAUUCAAGGGAUCUUGUUUUUUUAAGGAUAUAAAAAAUAAUUUUACUGUGCUAUACCUUUUAGAGUUUUUGUAAUAAUCUUCAUGAAAUCUCAUAGUCAAUCCAAUAAUAAAAAAUAAAAAUUUUCUCUCUAAAACUAGUCAAUAAAAAAAAAUUAUCUAUAUAUGUUUAGAUUUGUAAAUUAAAAUCUUUUUAUGUAUUAUUUAUUGAUUUUGACUAUACAAGGUUUGGUAGCGAGAAUAACAAAUGAAAUAUUCUAACCUUUAUCCAAUUUACAUAAAGGGUAGAAUUUCAAAUUAAUUACUAACACAAAAGAAGAAAGUGAUUGUGUUAUGAAUAUGUUUUUGGGUAUCAUAAUUUUUUUAAUAAAAUUAAAAAUAUAUUUAUACUUAAUAAAAAAAUGAGCUGAUAAGUCAAAAAAAAAUUAUUAAUGCUAAAUAAAUGUUAAAACAAAAAGUUAAUCUUCAUAGUAAAAACAAAAAAUAAAUGCAAAUGCAAAUGUUUCACCCUGACUAUGCAUUUUAUUUUAUACAUUUUCAUUUAUUUUAUCUUAGAAGUUAAUUAUCGUUACUAAUAACAAAUGAUCUUUUUAUAUAAAUACACCAUGCAAAUACAACUUAUAUAUAAAAAAAUAUAAGAGAAAAAGAUUUAGACAAAUUAUAAUAAUCUCUGAAGCAUUAUGAAAUUUAAAAAAAAAACAAUUUCAUUUAAUAAAAGUUAUACUAAGAAAUUUAAAAAAUAAAAGAGAUAGUAUUAAUCAAGAUUUAAAUAGAAAAAAUUAAUGAAAAACAGAGGAAAAAAAAAGAACCAAACGCUGAUGAGACUAUAAGCUAAGCCAAUGCACUUGGCCAAUUCAUCAAAAAGCCUAGUUCCGCGUGCUUGGAAAGUAUUUUUUAAAGGAAUUGAUGUGGUCCAAUUCUUUUUUUCUUCUUCUUUUUCAAAUAGAUGACAGUUCAUCCACUAUGGUAGAUGACUAGUCUAAUGUUGGUCAUCCACAGUUCAAAUUUACUACUAGUGAUUGAAAAAUUAACAUUCCUGAUUUUUUUACUUCAAAAUUUUAUUUUACAAAUUGUUUUAAAUCUGAAACAGUACAGAGAUCUCAAUAAACUCAUUUUCAACCCUUAAAUACCCUUUAAUAUUUCUUACAAACAAGAAAUUAAACGAUUCAAAAAACAUUUAUGAACCUUAAUGUACUAUUUCCAACAUGGUUAUAGGAAAAUACCACCUUAAUUGAACUUUUCUUGAGAAGGUUAACAAAUUGAAACAAAGAUUAGCCUUGUGGUGGUUAGAAUGUGGUCAUUCAAGCACUUGCCUUGUCCUCAAUAUUUUUUGACGAUUUUCUUUCUUAUCUUUCGUCUCUCAUAAUCAAAGGGACUAUAAAAUGAGUAGAAAAACUAAAACUUCAGGAAUUAAAUUGAAGUUUUUUGCACCAACGUAUUGAUGAGAUAUGUUUUGUUGUUUUUUUUUUGCAAGUUGAUCCAUUUUAUUUUAAUUGAUAUUCUUAACUAUAAUUAAUGUUUGAUUUCACAAAAUCGAUGUCUCAUCCAUCCUGAAAUAAUCUCUAGGCUUUGCUUUGUACAUGCUUGACAAUGCAAAUUGAAAGAAAUGCAAGCAUACAAAACUAUGUUAACUUAACUUAAAAGAAUAAAUUAUAAGGAGUAAAAGUUCGAUGACUAAAAAUAAAAUAAAAUAAAAGAUUUAUGUAGACAAAAAAAAAAAAAAAACAUAAGAGAAUUUUACUUUAUAACCAUCACAAUAACCCUCAAGUAAAAACUUUGAUAUCUUUUGACUAAUGGCAUUAUGACGGCACCUAAUGAACAUAGAUUCCGAAAAAUCUCACUGCGCCUGGCACAAGAUUGAAGGUCCAUGAUCCACAUUGCAUUACAGGCUAGAUUCUCUGUCUUAGACACCAGGCCAGAUACAGUAAUUACUGCUAUGGGAAAUAGAACAGAGAAGACAUUAAUUAAUGCAAAAAUAGCAAAUAGCUUUUUUAUUUCAAUCGGAGAGCCAAGACUACGGUUAAAGCACGUACAUAUGUGUUAUUCCAGUCCCCAAAAAGCUAGUACAUGCACAGCAUCACAAUGUUGCUCCCUAAUCAUCAUGCAGUGCCUCAAAUACGUUACAUGAACUGGAAAAUCCUAAUUCUUACAGCAGGAGUAGUACUACUUAACGAAGAUAAAAAAAAAAAAAAAAGAUUUAAUUACCCUGAUAUUCAUCUAGAGGUACAAAAUCUUUACCCAUGUAUUAAGUUCUCUGAUUUCUGACCUGUAUUCCGAUAACAAAAACCAACUCACCAAUCCCAGCGAGGUACUGUAGUAAAAGAUCGAUCCACACACUCUGAAACAGAAUCGGAGUAAGAAAAAAAAAAUUAAUCGGUGCUCAUUCAGCAUAACAAAAUCAAUAUGGGGUCAAACUUGUGCUAUGUUAACUACCAUAAACAUCUUAAGAAACUGAUGAGAAAAUGGAACAAAUGGUUUUCUUCAUCGAGCAAUUCACGUCUAACCAUUCGCUCUAAAUUCAAGUUUCUAGGAAGAAGAUUGCUGUAAUACAAUAAAGUCGUGACUGAGGCAGUUGGCUGAGACAUUAGUGCACUGAUCAGCCUCACUAGUGAACGAAACAUCAACGGCAGAAGAGACUGCAAGACAGCAUAGUAACAUCAUUCAUAAGAACCCUCGAAGUACAUUAGCGAUCAUAUUAUGAAUUUUCUAUCAAAGUUUAGAAAAAAUCAACACAGGGAGUAACAUAAGAGAGAGAACAUACCAUAUUGGUUAGUUAAAAGAGAGGACAUUUGCUGGAAUGAAGAGAAAUCUUUUUAGAGAUAGAACUGAAGGUGAAUCAGUGAGAGAGAGGGGAAAAUCGGUUGAUAGGGUAGUAGAAUGAAGCGUGUAGCUGCUUUCUUAGCUGCCAAUCUUCAGCUGUUGUUCAUACCUACCCUUCUCUCAAGGCCGAGGGGUCAACAGAAUCACAAACUGUAAAACGAAAGACAGAAAACAGCGACUGUCUGAGAAACCCAAGUUAUUAAUGGGCUGAAAAUCGCCGAACAUUGGGCCAAUCGACUCACAUGCAACCCACCAUUGCAACAGACAAAAAUAGACAUGUCAGUCAGAGGAUGUAACUUACAUUACGAGGCGUAGGCAAAGGUCUCUGUGUCCUUUUCUGUGUGCUAUUACUAGGCAAUUCCGGAAGUUUAGUCUUGAAAACCUUGGGUGGUAAGAACACCAUGAACAAGAGGGACGGGAAAAAGCAUUCACUUUACGAGAUUCACGGCGUAAUAAAGUAACUACCGCUGUUAAAUCGAUAUAUACACACAAAAGUACAAUUAAUUACGUGCGAAUUAGCAAGAAGUCUAAUACUUGUUGGUGAGUAGGGUAGAACCACAAGAAGAAGAAAAAGGCACGCUUGUCCACCAAGAAAUAUCUAUUCAUAAAUCUAAAAGAGUAUUACAUCCAUAAUUUAGUAAAUUAAUUUAGCAAAUAUAAAUUUAAAAAUCAUAUUUUCUUGGGUUUAUUAGUUGAAAUUAAAGAUAUUUUUAACUUGGUUAACUAAUUUAUAUUCCAAUGAAAUUUUUUUUCCAAUACAAGAGAGUAAAAUAACCAUUUUAAGAUAAAAAAAAUUUCAACUUGAAAUUUGCAAAGAUUCAUAUAACUAUCUCAAGAUAAAAGUUUUUUCAACUUGAAAUUUGCAAAGAUUAACUAUUUAUUAAUUUUAAUUAGUAGAGAAAUGAAAUUGGUGAUUGUUUGGUCAUUAUAACCCUAAUAUCAUAUCAAAUAAUCAUCUUAACCCAAAAGUUUGAGCUAUUAAAUGAUGUCUUAAGAUAUUAUUUAUAUCAUUCUCUAACACAAAAUUGUCUUAAAAAAUAUUUAUUUUUUUAAAAUAAAUCUUCUUUUUUUAUAAUAAAUAAUAAAUUUCUAUUGGAAAAGAAUGGUCUGGGCAUGAUAUUUAUAUAUUGUAUAAAUUCAUUUAUGGUGAAUGUGAAAUUGAUUAAUCAAUCUUUAUAUCGAGUCAAUUUAUUGUUUCUAUAAAUUUAAUAAAUUAUCAAAAAUUAAUUUUUAUUAAUCUUGAAUUGGUUUUGUUCCAUUGAAUAUUCUUAAAUUUAUUGUUUUUGCAAUUCAAUGAAUUUUUAGAAAUUAAUUAUGUUUAAUUUAGUCUUCUCAUAUCCAUUGAUUCUGCAAAUUCAAUGAACUAUCAAGAAUUAAUUCUAAUUAUUUUUUAAUUAAUUAUGCACCCUUAACCUCAAGUAUAAAUAAGUAUAAAUAGGGGUGGAGGAACUUCAUUAAAAAAGAGUUGAAAGAAGUGAAAAUAAGAAAAUAAAUAAAUAGAAAACACAUAAUCUCUCUCUCUCUCUACCUUGUUUGCUCUCGUGCUCUUUUUUCUUUAGCUUUACGUUAUGUUACUGUAGAGAGAAAGUUCAGGUGAUUUUUCUAGUUCAUAAACUUUCAUCGGAUGUACAUCCUUUUGAGGUAUUAUUGUUGAAAUCAUAAGAAAUAAGAUGCACUAUGAUCAUUUGUACCUAUUGAUGGACAAUUUAACCUCAAGGAUAAAGGGUUUGAUCUUUGACAACAACGUUUUUUCUUGACUUAGUUUUGAUUUGAAAUUCUACAAUUUUACAAGUACUAUAUUCUUAUAUAUAAUAUUUGUGUUCAUGUUUUUAUUAUCCUGCAAAUAUAUUUAAUUUCUACACCUUUUAAGCCAAAAUUUAACCAAAAUAUAUGUUGUCGUGGAUUUUAGAAAAAAAUAACUAUGACUUCUACUCAAUAGAUUAUUGCUCCUAUAAUUAUUGCAGUGACAAGUACUACUUCAAUAGAAAGGAUUCCACCAUCACCUUCUAUGGUGUAUGAUGAAAAACUUGAAAAGUUUAAUAACUUUAAGAGGUGAUGAAAAAGAUGUUGUUCUGUCUGAUCACCUUGACUUUGGUGAAGUUAUUAACUAAAGAUGCACCUAAAAUGGAUGAUGAUGAAUUUAAUCGCUUUAUUUUUAUAGUUGUGAGCUCAUAGAAUCAUAGUAAUUUUAUGUAUAAGAACUAUAAUCUGAAUGGUUUGGACAACAUAUUUGAUAUUUUUUUAGUUCUAUAAAAGUACAAAGGCAUUAUAAAAAGUUUUGGAUCGUAGGUAUGAGGUUAAAGAUAUCGGUAUGAAUAAAUUCAUAGCUAGAAGAUUUUUUAAUUUCAAGAUGGUCGAUUAAAAGACUAUUAUAAUCCAAGUUCAAAAGUUUCAAUUUAUCUUACAUGAUAUUCAUGAUAAAAUAAUGGUUCUAAGUGAAUCUUUUCAAAUGACUAAUAUUAUUAAAAAAUUAUCAUUAUCUAGGAAAACACUCCAAUCACUACCUUAAGCAUAAGUUUAAGGAGACGGAAGUUAAAGCCUAAUUUUAAGGUUAAGGAUAGAAGAGUAUAAUAAAUUUCUCAAGAUUAAGGUCAACUAUUUUUUAAUGACUCUUAAAGCAUAUAUGGUUGAACAAAUGGUGACGCCCAUAUUUAAAAUAAAAAAGAAAAGACUUAUUCUGAAGGGAAAAUACAUUGCUAAGAAAUCCAAUGGCAAAUGUUUUAUAUAUAACUAGACUAGACAUCAAACUAAAUAUUACUUAAAUAAGUCUUAGCAAAGCAACCUUAGAAAAAAAAAAGGAUUUCUAAAGCCAAUGUCAUUAAGAUUAAUAACCUCUUAAAUGAAGCGUGAAAAAUGAGCUUAUAUGUGGUUGUCUUAAAAGUCAACCUGAUCAACAAUCAUGAGUAAUGAUGGGUUGAUAGUAAUGUUAUAAGACAUGUCCAUGCUAAUUAAAAAAAGAAUAUCCUCCACUUACAAAAAAGUAGAUGUUGAGUAUCUAUACAUAAAGAAUUUGUCAACCUCUAAGGUUAUGGGUAUUGGAAAGGUCACUCUAAAGAUGACUUUUGAAUAGCUGACAUUAUAAGAAAUUUAUGUUUGACUCAUUGUUGAGCAAAAAAUGGUUCAAAGUGAUUUUAAGAGGAUAAUUUUAUAGUCACUAAAAGUGAUAUGCUUGUAGGAAAAGAUUAUCUACAUGAUGGCCUCUUCAAAAUAAGUGAAAAGACUAUUAUAAUCAAUAAUGAAAUCAAUAAUAAGCCCAUUUCUUUUUACUUAAGUUUCUUUUAUACAAUUAAUCUUGAAUUAUUACCAACUAUGUUUUUUUAGAAAAAUUAUUAAGUAUGAAAUUUGUAUAGAAUCAAAAUUUAUAAAAACUUUUUUUCAAUUAAUUGAAAUAAAAAAUGAAUUUUUAGAUUCAAUUUACUCUCAUGUAGAUGAUUUAAAAUUUAUGCAAAUUAGAUGUGGUAAAAAGUAUUAAAUUAUUUUUAUAGAUGAUUGCACAAUGUAUUGUUAUAUCUAUUUGCUAAGAAGAAAAGAUUAAGCUCUUGAAAUAUUUAAACAUUAUAAUAAUGAAGUUGAAAACUAAUUUAACAAAAAGAUAAAGGUAAUAAGAAGCAUAGAAGUGGAGAAUACGAAGCAUUCUUUUAGGAAUUUUGUUCUCAAAAUGUUAUUAUCCAUCUAUUUAUUCAACUUAACAAAAUAAUAUUGUUAAAGAUAAUAACCAAACUUUGAAAAACAUGAUAAAUAUCAUUUUGAUAAGUUAGAUAGCACCACAAAAGUUAGAUAAGCAUUUUGAGAAUUUUAUCUAUCAAAUAUAUACUUAAUAAAGUACAUCAUGAGAAGUUAAAAAGAUAUCAUAUGAGUUAUGAAAAGGUUGAAGAUCUUCCUAUAAAAAUCUCAAAGUAUAGGGUUGUCUUAGGAAAGUUACAACACCUUAUCCUAAAAAAGCCAAAAUAGAACCUAAAACUAUGAAUUAUACAUAUUGGUUUCAUAUUCACGAGUUAAGUACUAAGGAUAUUCAUCCUAAUACAAUAAUGGAAUCAAUAAAUGUUGUAUUCUUUGAAAUGUGUUUUCUUUUAAGGAAACACAAUAAAUUCAUUCUCUUAAAAAAAUGAAUAAAGAAAUUUUAACUAAUCAUCAUCAAAUAGAAAAUGCUAAAAUUGAGUCGAGAAGGAGUAAGAGGGCAAAAACAACAAAAAUUAUUUUUUUGUGAUUUCCUAACUUAUUAAAAAAUAAACAUCGAAGCUCCUCAAUGGAAAUGUCAUGUCUUAAAGCUUCCUAUUAGAAAGGGACACUUAAAAAAUCAUACAUGGAAAAUAUUAGAUCUUCUACUUGAAAGUAAAUCAUUAGGUCAUAAAUAAAUCUUAAAUAAGAAAAUGAAAGUUAAUGGAACUAUUUAUAAAUAUAAAAUAAGACUUGUUAUUAAAGGAUUCAAGCAACAAGGAGAUGUGAAUUAUUUUGACACACUCAUUAGUGUUAGGAAUAACUUUCAUAUAAAUAUUAAUAAUUAUUUCAACAAUUAACAUGCUUGAAAUACAUCAAAUAAAUAUAAAAAUAAAUUUCUUAAAUGGUGACCUUAAAAAAAGGUCUACAUGGAGCAACCCAUGUUAGCAUAGGCAGUAGUUGUUAUUGAUAGAAAUACAGCUGAAAUAGGAGUGUAAUUAUAGGAUAAGUAUCUUCCUAUAAUUUAGGCCUAAAUUAUAGGAAUGUGAUGUAAAUCAGGAUUGAUAUAAAUCAGGAUUCCUUCCUAUUUAAGGAAAGAGACUCUCAUGUAAAGGGAUUCAUUCAGCCAAUUUGACAUGGUAUCAGAGCUAUACCUUUGAAUUUGUAUUCCAAAAUCAGGUUCUUUCUUGUUGUUCUCGGUUUCUGGAUUAUUCUGGAUCAGUCCUAGAUACAUAGGACUCUCGGUCUCCUGGCUCUUUGCAAUCAAUCCUAGAUACAGAGGACUCUCAGUUUUUUGGUUCUUUUGGUUUGGUUCUCGGUUGUCAGCUAAGGUUUGUAUUCUCCUUGUUCUGUGAUUUUUUGUGUAUCACUACAAAGAUGUCAAACAAUUUUGAUCUGUUUGGUGUCCGAUUUAUUGGGAAGAAUUAUUCUGCUUGGGAAUUUCAGUUUCAAGUAUUUGUCACAGGAAAAGAAUUGUGGGGUCAUGUGGAUGGGAGUGAUCCAGCCCCUACUGAUGCUACAAAACUGUCUUUAUGGAAGGUCAAGGACGCUCGGGUAAUGUCCUAGAUACUAGGGUCAGUUGACCCCCUCAUUAUUCUUAAUCUGAGGCCAUACAAAACAGCAAGAACCAUGUGGGAAUAUCUGAAGAAGGUUUACUAUCAACAUAAUAAUGCUAGACGUUUUCAAUUAGAAAACGACAUCUUUAAUUAUUCUCAAAGCAAUCUUUCUAUUCAGGAGUAUUAUUCUGGUUUUCAGAACCUAUGGGCAGAAUAUACUGAUAUCAUUUAUGCCCAGAUUCCAGCAGAAUCCCUCUCGGUUAUUCAGAAGGUGCAUGAACAGAGCAAGCGUGAUCAAUUUCUCAUGAAAUUGAGAUCUGAAUUUGAGAUUACUCGCUCGAAUUUGAUGAACUGAGCUCCUUUGCCUUCCUUGGAUGGUUGUUUUGGGGAAUUACUGCGGGAAGAACAGUGAAUCCUUACACAAAGUUCUCUAAAGCAGGACAACCCAGCUGCAGUUGCCUUUGCUGCCUAGGGAAGAGGUAGAGGCCGGAAUAUGGGCAAUGUUCAGUGUUAUAGCUGCAAGGAAUAUGGCCACAUUGCUAACAAUUGUAGAAAAAAGUUCUGCAAUUAUUGCAAACAGCAAGGGCAUAUUAUCAAGGAGUGUCCCACUCGUCCUCAAAACCGGAAAAUACAGGUCUUUCCAGCGGUGGUAUCUGAAAGCUCAUCUGUGACAGUCGCUACCAGUUCUCUUACUCCAGAAAUGGUGCAGCAAAUGAUCAUUACAGCCCUCUCAGCCCUAGGGCUACAAGGUAAUACUUCCAAUUCACAACUUUGGCUUGCUGAUUCCGCUGCUUCAAAUCAUAUGACCAACUCAUCUAGUAUGCUUAAGAAUGUGCGAGAGUAUCAUGGUUCAUCAUAGAUUCAGGUUGCUAAUGGUGGUCAUAUACCCAUCACUAAAAUUGGAGAUAUUGAUCCCACCUUCACGAAUAUUUUUGUAUCACCGGAACUGUCUACUAGCCUUAUUUCAGUUGGUCAACUGGUGGAUGAUAACUGUGAUGUGUAUUUUUCUCGUAAUGGUUGUCUUGUGCAAGAUCAGGUGUCGGGGAAAGUAAUCGCGAAGGGGCCUAAAGUUGGACGCUUAUUUCCGCUGCAUUUUUCCAUUCCUAGUUGUCUUUCUUUUGCAUGCUCGAAUGUUCUAAAUAAAAGUGAAGUCUGGCAUAAACGUUUAGGCCAUCCAAAUUCUGUUGUUUUAUCGCGAUUGUUGAAUUCUGGUUUGUUGGGAAAUAAAGAUAAAUUUUCUUCUUUCGAUGCUUUAAUUGAUUGUUCAACAUGUAAGUUAGGUAAGAGUAAAACUCUUCCUUUUCCUUCUCAUGGUAGUCGUGCCACAAAAUGUUUUGAUAUUAUUCACAGUGAUGUUUGGGGACCUUCACCGAUACUUUCUCAUGCUCAUUCCAAGUACUUUGUAACUUUUAUUGAUGAUUAUAGUAGGUUUACUUGGGUAUACUUCCUACGUUCCAAAUCUGAGGUUCUUUUCGUCUUUAAGACAUUUCUUGCCUAUGUUGAAACCCAAUUUUCUACUGGUAUUAAGGUAUUAAGAUCUGAUUCGGGUGGGGAAUAUAUGUCACGUGACUUUCAUGAUUUGUUAUUACAAAAGGGCAUUAUUUCACAUCGUUUUUGUCCAUAUACACCUCAACAAAAUGGGGUUGCUGAGCGUAAGAAUCGACAUUUGUUGGAUGUCACUAGAACCUUAUUGCUUGACUCGUCUGUUCCCUCUAAAUUCUGGGUUGAAGCAUUGUCUACUGCUGUUUAUUUAAUCAAUCGUUUGCCCUCCCAGGUGUUAAAUUUCGACUCCCCUUAUUAUCGUCUAUAUCAUGAGGCUCCUAGCUACUCUGAUUUGCAUACUUUUAGUUGUGUUUGUUUUGUUCAUUUGCCUUCUAAUGAACGCCACAAACUUUCUGCUCAGUCUGCUAAAUGUGCUUUUCUAGGUUAUAGUAUUUCUCACAAAGGUUUUGUUUGUUAUGAUCUAAGUUGUAGCAAAUUUCGUGUAUCUCGAAAUGUGGUCUUCUUUGAAAAUCAAUAUUUUUUCCCUAGUGCUACUCCUGCUGCAUCUUCAUUGUAUGCUCCUAUUCUUCCUCAUUUUGAGGACGUGUCGUCAUUUGAGCGGUUUAAACCUGGAAUUAUAUAUGAAAGACGGCGCCUACUUUUGGCUCUUCCGGAGAUUAACCCACCAUCUGAUACUGCUUCUGAGACUGCUUCGGUACCUUCCCCUCUGCAGCCUGCUCUUCGUCGUUUUACGAGGGUUUCUUAUCCUCCUGAUAGGUUUGGUUUCUCUGCUACUCUAUCCAAUAUUAUUGUUCCAUCAUGUUACUCACAGGCUGUCCAGCAUGAGUGUUGGCAAACCGCCAUGCAGGAAGAACUUUGUGCGCUUCAGGAUAAUCAUACAUGGGAUCUUGUUUCAUGUCCUCUGUCGGUUAAACCCAUUGGGUGUAAAUGGGUAUAUUCCAUAAAGCUUCACUCUGAUGGCACUCUAGACCGCUAUAAAGCUCGGUUGGUUGCUCUGGGGAAUCGACAAGAAUAUGGGGUGGAUUAUGAAGAGACUUUUGCCCCCGUAGCCAAAAUGACUACUGUGCGCACUAUUAUUGCCAUUGCUGCUUCACAGGGUUGGCCACUUCAUCAAAUGGACGUCAAAAAUGUGUUUCUUCAUGGUGAUCUCAAAGAGGAUAUUUAUAUGGCACCUCCACCGGGUUUGGUUUCAUCUUCUAAAUCGGUUGUUUGUAAAUUGAAGCGGUCCUUGUAUGGUUUGAAACAAGCUCCCCGAGCAUGGUUUGACAAGUUUCGCACUACCUUGCUUCGCUUCUCUUUUGUGCAAAGCAAAUAUGAUUCUUCAUUAUUUAUUUGCACAACAUCUACUGGGUAUGUUUUCCUACUUGUUUAUGUCGAUGACAUUGUCAUUACAGGCACUGAUUCGACAUUGAUUAGCAGACUUCAGCAACAUCUUCGGGAUUCCUUUCAUAUGAAGGACCUUGGUUCUCUCACUUACUUCUUGGGUUUGGAGGUUCAUUCUUCCCCUUCUGGUAUUUAUGUGCACCAACAGAAAUGCACUCAUGAUUUGAUUGCUUUGGCCGGUCUUCAAGCUUCUUCUCCAGUGGAUACUCCUUUGGAGGUGAACGUUAAGUUUCAAAGUGAUGAUGGGGAUCUUCUUCCUAAUCCAUCUUUGUAUCGACAACUUGUUGGCAGCUUGAAUUAUCUUACUAUUACUCGACCUGAUAUCUCCUUUGCAGUUCAGCAAGUCAGUCAAUUUAUGCAAUCUCCUCGUCAUCUACACUUAGCAGCAGUCCGUCGCAUCAUUCGAUAUCUACUUGGUUCUUCUAACCGUGGUCUAUUCUACCCAGCUGGAUCUCCUAUUAGUCUUGUUGCAUACAGUGAUGCCGAUUGGGCUGGUUGUCCUGAUACCAGACGCUCUGUUACAGGUUGGUGUAUGUUUCUUGAUGAUUCCUUGAUUUCUUGGAAAAGUAAGAAACAAGAUCGAGUCUCCAAAUCCUCGACCGAAUCUGAAUAUCGCACCAUGUCCACUGCUUGCUCAGAAAUUGUUUGGCUUCGUGGCCUGCUUGCCGAGAUGGGAUUUCACCAGACUAUUCCUACUCUCCUCCAUGCAGACAACACGAGUGCUAUUCAGAUUGCUACGAAUCCCGUCUUCCAUGAGCGCACCAAACAUAUUGAAGUGGAUUGUCACUCUAUCCGCGAAGCUGUCGAUGCUCAUGUUAUUUCUCUUCCACAUAUCUCCACUGAUCUCCAGAUUGCUAACGUGUUCACCAAAUUCAUGACUCGACAACGACAUCAGUUUUUGGUUGGCAAAUUGAUGCUUAUUAAUCAUCCAGCAUCAAUUUGAGGGGGGAUGUUAGCAUAGGCAAUAGUUGUUAUUGAUAGAAAUACAGCUGAAAUAGGAGUGUAAUUAUAGGAUAAGUAUCUUCCUAUAAUUUAGGCCUAAAUUAUAGGAAUGUGAUGUAAAUCAGGAUUGAUGUAAAUCAGGAUUCCUUCCUUUUUAAGGAACGGGACUCUCAUGUAAAGGGAUUCAUUCAGCCAAUUUGACAACCCAAGUGGUUUAUUGUUAGAGAGGAGAAAAUAAAGUUUGAAAUUUUAUCAAGACAUUAUAUGAUUUGAAACAAGCAAUUAAAUAAUGGCAUGAAAGGUUUGACAAGUAUUGCUGUCAAAUGAUUUUAAAGUAAAUAAAGUUAAUGAAUGUGUUUAUAUGAGAAAUAUAAAUAAAAGUCAUGUCAUUAUAUAUCUUUCUAUGGAUGACAUGCUAAUUUUAGACAGCAAUAAAUAUAUGAUCAAGUCUAUGAAGAAGAUGUUAACUAAUAAGUUUGAUAUGAAAGACUUAAGUGUAACAAAUGACAUACUAGAAAUUAAAAUUUCUAGGAUAUUCAAUAAUAAAUACAUGAUCAAGUCUAUGAAGAAGAUGUUAACUAAUAAGUUUGACAUGAAAGACAUGAUUGUAACAAAUGAAAUACUAUAAAUCAGAAUUUCCAAGAUAUUUAACGGAUUGAUAUUAUCUUAAUUCUAUUAUAUUAAGAAAACUCUAAAAAAAAAUUAAAAAAAUGAUAAUAGUAUUGUCAAAACACCAAUAGACAUAAAUGUACAUCUAUCCAAAAACAAAGGUGAUGAAAUAUAACCAUUUGAAUAUUCUUAAAUAAUUAGAAGUUUCAUAUACAAAUGAAUUACACUAGAUUAGAUAUUGCUUACUUGGUUAGUAAGCUAACUCAGCCAAACUUGACAAGAAAAAAGUAAGUACAAAGGAAGUUAAAAUUUUGCCAAAAAAGGUCUCGACAUCUAGAGCAAUGAUUCAUAUUUUUAUUACUAAAUAUUUUUCUUUAAUGUAGUUUUUCACUUAAAGAAGUUCACAACUCCUUAAAUAUGUCAAUAAACAACCUUUACUAGGCAGGAAAAAUUAAAAUCAUAAAUCAAAUAGGAAAAUCAACAAUAAAUAAAUAAAUAUAACGAUAUUAGCUCAAACAUCUUUCAAGUUUAAUUUGAAAGUUUCAUCGACCUAUUUGGUUACAACUAACUGACUUCUUAUAUAAUUGGGUUCGUAAAAUCUCAUAAUAGAUUUUUAGUUUGAUCUAAUAGUCGGAUAAAACAUUAUAGGCUUUUUUUUAUCUAACUAGUUGUUGAACGUAAUGAGGCCUUUUUUUGGAGUUAGUUUCAUCCCACUGAUUUAUUAAUGAGUUAUUUAGCUAUCUACAUGAUCCAAGUAUGACAGCUUCACAAUUAACUUUUCAAAAUCAUUAAAUCCCUUAGACACACCUAUAUCACAAGCUUAGUAGAUUUACUAAUAUUUUAAGAAUGGGUCAUUGAAAAGAAAUAAAUCAGGUAAUCAAAAAUUAAAAAUAUACAUUCGACUAUGGGUGAUACUAAAAGGUUAUAGUGAUGCAAAUUAGAUAUCAAAAACUAAAGAUUCAAAAUCCAUUAGUUGAUAUAUUUUUACUCUCGGUUGAGUAACUGUGAUUUAUAAAUCUUCUAAGAAAACAUACAUUACAAGAUCCAAAAUGGAAUUAGAGUUUUAUUAUUUUUGAUUGAUUGGAGAGGAAUUAGAAUGACAUUUAAAAUUUCUUAGAAGAUAUUUCAUGUUAACCAAAGCUACUACCAAUAAUUUAUGUCUAUUAUGACAAUUAGUCAGCAUUUGAUAAGUUCAAAAGCACCUCAGAACUUGUAAGAGGCAAUUCUAGCUAUCAAUUAUAUACUUAACAAAGUAUCACAUAAGAAGAUAAAGAGAACACCAUAUAAAUUGUGAAAAUAUAUAAAACCUUCCUAUAAAUACCUCAAAGUGUGAGGCUAUCUUGUAAAGUUAACAAUACUUGAUCCUGAAAGGUUAAGAUAGGACCUAAAACUAUGAAUUAUAAUUUUAUCAGAUAUGCUUACAAUAAUAGUGCAUAUGAAUUUUUUAUACACAAGUCAAGUAUUAAAUAUAUGCAUCCCAAUACCAUUAUAGAAUCAAGAAAUGCUAUAUUAUUUAAAGAUGUGUUUUCAUUUAAGAAAUCAUAAGAAAAUCAUAUACUUAAGAUAAUGGUUGAGACUAUCUCAAAUAAUAAUAAUAAUAAUAAUAAUAAUAAUAAUAAUAAUAAUAAUCAAUCAAAAUAUAAUGAUGAUGAAGUUAAGCUUAUAAUGAGUAAAAUGACAAAAAUGAUCAAUAAAUUUGAUGAUGAAACUCAUAUAUAUUUUGAGACAAUGUCAUGUCCUGAAGCUUUUUAUUACAAUGAGACAGUCAAUAGUGAAAUAAAAUCCUUUAUGAAUAAUCAUACAUGAGAACUAGUAGAUCUUUCUCUUCGAAGUAAACCAUUAGGUCACAAAGGGAUCUUCAAAAGGAAAAUAAAAGUUGAUAGUACCAAUGACAAAUAUAAACUAAACUUGUUUUUGAAAUGAUUUAGACAAUAAAAAAGUGUGAAUUAUUUUAAUACAUAUUCACUUGUAUAAAAAAAAAUAGCUUAUAUGUGAAUGUUAUGGCUAUUGCAGUUAUUAACAAGGUUGAAAUACAUCAAAUAGAUGUAAGAAUAUCUUUCUUAAAAGGUGACCUAGACAAAGACAUCUAUAUAGAACAACUAGAGGGGUUUGUUAUUAAUGGACAAUAAAAUAAAUUUUGUAAUAGUAAAAUCUUUAUAUGGUUCGAAAGAAGCUCCUAAGCAAUGACAUGUAAAAUUUAAGAAAGUUAUGUUGUCAAAUGAGUUUAAAAUCAACAAAGUUGAUAGAUAUGUUUAUAUUAAAAAGAUAAAUAGAGGUUAUAUAAUUAUAUAUUUCUAUGUUGAUGACAUGUUAAUUCUAAUAAACAAUAAUUAUAUGAUCAAACUAAGAAAAUAUUAACUAACAAGUUUGACAUAAAAAACUUGGGUGUUGCAGAUGUUAUACUCAUAGUUUUAAAACUCGGCUCGACCCGUCAGGUCAACCCGGGACUAGAACUGGGCCGGGUUUAAGAAAAAAUAAGAAAAGUCAAAAACUCGGGUGACCUGGCUGACCAAGCGGGUUGACCCGAUUACCCGGAUGACCCGACAAGACCCGAUCAAAACCUCGGUUCAACCCAUUGACUAUUUAUUUUUUUUAACUAAAAUGAUGUCGUUUUGAUUUAUAAAAAAAUUAGGGUUGACCUGAAUGACCCAAGCCUUGGGCCGGUUCGACCACCGGGCCGGGUUUAAAAACUCUGGUUAUACUAGGAAUAAAAAUUUCUAGGACAACUGAUGAAUUGAUAUUGUUCCAAUAUCAUUAUAUUGAUUUUAGUUAAAAAUUUUAAAGGUGACAAUAGUAUUGUCAAAACACUAAUUGACAUAAGUGUAUAUCUAUACAAGAAUACAUGUAAGAGAAUAAACCAAUUGUAAUAUUAUCAAAUAAGUAAAAGCAUAAUGAAUUUUAUGAAGUGAAGAAUGCCUGAUACUACUUACUCGGUUAGCAAAAUGAAUAGAUUUAUUAGUAAUCUAAGUAUGGAUCAUUCGGUAGUAAUAAAAAAGGGUGCUUGAACAUUUAAAGUAUACUUGGACUAUGAGCAAUAUUGUACUAGUUACCUAACGAUAUUAAAAGAGUAUAAUGAUGUCAAUUAGAUAUUCGAUACUAAGUAUUUAAAAUCCACUAGUGGAUAUAUCUUCACACUUGGUGGAGCAGUUGUGUUAUGAAAAUCCUUUAAGCAAACAUAUAUCACAAGAUUCACAAUAAAAUUAAAUUUUAUUGCUCUUGAUAAAGUUGGAGAGGAAGUUAAGUGGCUUUGAUAUUUUUUAAAGAAUAUUUCAUAUUGGCCUAAACCAAUGCCAAUAAUUUGUGUCCAUUAUGGUAGUCAAUCUGUAAUUAGAAGAAUCUAUAAUUAGAAGGGCAUAACGUAGUAUAAAUAAUAGAAAGUCUAGACAUAUACAUAAUAGAUAUAAUAUUAUUGAACACUUACUCUUAAAUUGAAUUAUUUCUAUUGACUAUAUAAAGUCAAAGAAAGAUAUUAUAGAUCUACUAACCAAAAAUUUAUCGAGAGAGCUUAUGUAUAAUUUAUCGAAGAUGAUAGGUUUAAAAUCUUUAAAGAUAAAAGAGUAUAAUGAUAUUAAUCAUAUAUAUUUAACUAAAAAUCUCGAGAUUUAGAUUUAAAUUAAAAGCUAAGUCAUAAAUCAUUCAGAGUAUCACUUCAAAAUUAUAAUUUCUUGUUUAUUUUUAUGGCGUGAUAGAGGGGGAGUAUUGAUCUUAAUGAUUUUCAUAUUAAAUAUGAGUAUUUUUUUUUUCUAAACUCCUGUAUAUAUAACAGAUAUUUAGAAGCCCACAAGAUAUUGACUGAUACAGUGGAGUCAACCCACAAAAAAAUAAAUCUCUAUCAGCAAUGAAAUAUUUCAUUUAGAGAACUCGAAAAUGAGUACUUUAACAUUAAUAAAAUUACGGCCACCAGAUAAUCACGUGCUACGCACGUCAGACCUUUCAGUCCACAUGUAUAUAUAGGGCUCCAACCCACUAAGCAGCCCCUUAUAAUUGCUUUGAAUUAGGGUUAGGUUCCUCCCAGUUUCGUUCCUCCUUCGAAUCGUAGAAAAUCAAACCCUAACCCAAAGCUUCAAUCAUGUCUUCCAAGCUAGGUAUUUUUCUCAUAUAAUUAGAUCUUUUGGUUUUUUUUUCGUUGUUUUCUCACGGGGAGGAUGCUUUGCUCGAUUGGGAUUUUGAUCGAAUGAAAAAUUGAAAUUAUCAUGUGGUUGUUUGUUUUCAGGUGGAAAAGCUAAGCCUUUGAAGGCACCAAAGUCUGAGAAGAAGGAUUACGACGAGGUAUUGUUUUCAAUAAUUUCUUUAUCAAUUUGAUUGGAAACUGUGCAUUUUUUUAAUUUUUUUUUCUUUGUUGUGCAAAGAAUUGAAAGAUUGGAACUUAAAUAAAUUGAUUUUUAUUAAAUCUUUGAGUUUGGUACUUAGCUUUACGUUCUUGACUGGAAAGUAUGCUCGAUUUUAUUUGAUUAACUUUGAUUCUUAUAGUUUAUGGGUUUAUGAUAUGGAAAUUUAUCUGGGUUUUAAGGAAAAUCCAAAUUGGAAUUGAAGUUCGUAUGUUUUAAGCUUUUAGGCAUCUGAUGAAAUUGAAAGAUCUCUUAAUUGGCAAUAUGUGGUUGAAGCUUGGGUGGGCUUUGCUAAUAUGCUAUUGGUUUAAUUGAGGAUAGGUACGGUAUCCCAAAUUGAAGUCCUUUAUGCUGCUUAAGCUUCAAAUAAGAGAGUUGGAUUUGGUGCUCUGAAUUUAUUUUCUCCAUUUCAAAAUUUAUUCAGUACAAAAUUCUAAUUUCUUUUAAUAGACCAUACUAUGUUGCUAUAUUGCUUUUCAUUUGGCAUCUUUAUGCUUGUAUGAAUUGAUUAUUUCUAUGGGAUUGAGAUUCCUUUUUAUGAGUAGAUGACUUGUUUUGGAACUAUGGUGCUUGCUAUUUACUUGUAACUCUUUGCUUUUAUAAACUCUAAACAACUGGCUGGUUAUGAUUUUAAGCAGCCAUUGUUGCAAUAUCCCAUGCAUAUUUUGCUUUUUCUAGAGAAAGAAUUACCUCUACAUGGAGGACUCUAUUUGUAUAAAGUGCUAAUUUUUUUUUUUUACUCUGGCCAUCCUAUGAUGCAAUCCCGUUCGUAACUCUGAUUUCCUACCAUUCCCAUUGCUAUUGUCCUUAAAUUUACUUCACUGAUUUGCAGACUGAUCUGGCCAACAUUCAAAAGAAAAAGGAUGAAGAAAAGGUAAGAGACAAUGGAUAUUACUUUAAAAAAAAAGGAAAAGAAAAGAAACUGGAUGUUUUAUCUUGUUUAUUACCUUUUGCAAUAGUGAAAGGCGACUAAUUUGAUUAUUCUUGUGAUGAGCAGGCACUUAAGGAGCUCAGAGCCAAGGCACAGCAGAAAGGGAGCUUUGGAGGUUCUGGGCUGAAGAAAAGUGGGAAGAAAUGAAGAUUUCAAACCCAGAUAGACAUGGUUUCCUUUAGUGUAUUCUGAACUAUAUUAUGAUGAUAUCUCGUGUUUAGUGUGAUGGUCGCUGAUGUCCUAUGCUUGAUGUGUUGGUCUUCAUCUUGAGCCAGAAUUACGUAAAACUUUAUAAAUUGUGUGCAUCUGUCCUCUAUCCAUGUGCCAACAAUGUAUUUGCUGGCAUUGUUGGAAACUUUGUUCUAUGUAACUCGUUUGCAAUUUGUUGAUUGCGCUUAGUAAUAAUGGUCUCCUGGGUAAUUGAUUUCCUGAGGAUGUGUUUCCCUUUUAAAUUGCAUUAAUGUGAAAAUUGCCCUCGCUGAGGAUGAUGGAAAAGAUUGGGAUAAAUUGUGUUAUUAGCACAAAAAGCAAAAUAAAUGGUGAAGUAACACAAGAUGUGAAAUAGGAUGUCAUGUGGUGUGGUUUAUAAGUAUGAUAUUUUAAUAAUUUUAUUGCAGUUUUAAAAUGCAAUAUUAUUUUUAAUGUUGUGUUUUAUAAUUAAGAUAUUUAUAAGUAGGUUGUUUUGUGAAACAAUUAGAUAUUUGAGAAAAAUAGUUGGAUAUUAGCCAAAAUAGUUUUGAUAGUUUUGAGAAAUAAUCAUAUUAUUUUGGCUUCUGUCUAGUCUUGGAAUUUUUUAGUUUUGAGUCUGAAAAAGUUUAUAAAAUUAUAAUUUUUGUUAAUUUAAAAUUUAAAAUUUUGUAAUUUUAAGUAGCCUUACGAAUGGGGAAAAAAACAUAUUCUCUUUUUUUAUUAUUUUUUUUGUUCUUCUUUUCUUCUCGGUUGGGCCCUUAUGUUCUUGUUGGGUUUGGUUGGAUUACCUUCCGGGACUAAAUUGAAGAGGAGUUGAAGAAUCAGGGAUUAAAACGAAGGAGAUGUUCUUAUUGCAGAGGAGGAGGAGGUGGUGGAGGCAAGUAACCAGAAGAUUUAGGAAGCUUAGGGUUUCGAUCGGAGAAGAAGAAAAAGAGAAGUAGAUAUUGGUUCAAAACUAUGAAGAUUACACCAAAUGUUUUAGAGUGAAAUUGAUAAUUAAACUGAUUCAACUGGUAAAUAAUUAUAAGAACAAGUUUAGUUGAAAAAAACGAAAUCACUUGGCUUAGGAGGAAGCAACUGCUUGUUGAAAGCUCAAAGACUGAAAAAUAAAAAUGAUGGCGAGCUUCCUGCAACCGGAGAGAAGACAAAGUAGGGGAGAUUGAGAGUGACAGACAGGUAAAACUGAGAUCAAAAGAUUCUUAGAAUAUAUUAACAAAAGUGAAUAAUAGUGUGUGAUAAACAAAGAGAAGUCUGAGUGCCAAGAAGGAAAAGGCUUUUCUCGAGAAAGACAGAUGUAAAUGUUUAAUUUUAAUAAGACGAAGCAAUAAUCACAUAGGCAAAGCUUCAAAGAACAAUAAAAGGAAUGUUCAGCCGCUGGCUGACUAAUAAUUCAUGUGUCUGAGAGAAUGGUAAAAAAUUUUAACAUUAAUAUAUUAAAAUAAUUUAAAGAUAUAAAAAAUUAAUUUUAAACAAAAAAAAUAAUUAUUGUAAGAAACAUUGUUUCAAACAGGGGCUAAAGCCUAAGAGUGUAUUUGUUUUCUAGAUAGUUUUUAUAGUUGUGGUUUGAAAAAAAUAAGUUUUAAAAAGUGUGAUUAGCUGUGGUUAGUUGGAUUUAGAUACGUAUUUGGCAAAAAUUGUGGUUGAAGUUUAUGUAUAGCAAAAAACAUGUAUAAAAUGUUUGGUCAGUUGUGUUUGAAAGUGUGGUUGCGGUUAUUUUUUAAAGUGUUUUUUACUUGGAAAUGCAUUAAAAUAAUAUAUUUUUAUUUUUUAAGAAUUAAUUUUGAUGUCAGCGCGUCAAAAUAAUAUGAAAACAUCAAAAAAAAUUAAUUUGAAGCAAAGAAAAAAUAAAAAAAAUUGAAAUUUUUUUAAAAGCGCUUUUGAAACGCAAAAAUAAAUAGGGUUUUACGAAAUUCAAUUAAAAAAACAUGUAAAAAUUGCUGUACAAAAACUGCAUUUUAAACUCAAUUUUUUAAUGGGUCCCACAGCAUAAAACACAGUUUGGUUUGUUACCAAACACCUUGCUAUGUUUAUUUCACCCACCUUACUGUGUUUGUUUCACCACAAACAUAAAAGCUAGCGAAAAACAAACUAUUCUAAACCAAUCUUUAAAAUCUAUUUUUAUUUAACAAUAAAUAAAAUAAGAAUUAAUAGGAAAUUAAGCUAUUUAAAUUUAAGAGAAAAAGAUGUAUUUUUAGUCAAAAUUUUGUAACGAGCCACUCCCCUCGUCUGAUUUGGCUAAGAAAAUGGAGGGUCACAGGAGACAAGGAAGAGAGGCUUUAGGAAAGUGAGGAGACUGACUGGAGAUAAUUGGCUUUGAUCGAACAGCGUACGUGCAUUGGUAGUGGCAGUAGGAUGAUGACACUUGGCAAGGGAAUAGGUUAUAGCCGAUUCCCGUUUCUUGUGAUAAAAACGGCAGCCUUUUGGAGAGAGGGUCAACAACAGGUUAUAGCCGAUUCCCGUUUCUUGUGAUAAAAACGGCAGCCUUUUGGAGAGAGGGUCAACAACAACUAAAUCUGGGCAAACUAUACAAAUCCAUUUAAAAUUCAAAACCCGAAUUCAAAUUCUUGGGUUGAGUGUUAUUUAUUGAUACCAAAUUGAGCAAGAAGAGGAGAAAUUAUCAACAAAUUAUUUUCUUUUUAAUUCAGUAAAUUUUUUAUUUGUAUCCAACAUUUUACAUUCAAUAAAGUUAUUUAUUUCCAUCCUUUUUUUAAUUUAGAUCAGUUUCAAUUAGAUACAGGUUUAUAUAUAUAUAAAACAUGUCUUUUUUUACCAGUAUCAUAAUUUGAAUUAUAUUUCUUUAAUCAAAGAUCCUUUUCCUUGUUGAUGUUUAUCUUUUCUAUUUUUUUUUAAUGAAAAUAUAUAUAUUUUAUCAGAAAAAUAGUUUUGAAAAUAAAAACUAACUAUAAUAUGAAAAGCAAGCUUAAUAAAAACACAUGUAUCUAUAAUUUUCAGUGUCACUAAUUUAAGAAAACUAUAUCAAAAACUAGCAAUAAGAAUAACAAAAUAGAUAUCUUCUCAUCAAAUAUUCAUGAGCAAAGUUUAUUAAAAAAAAAACUUUACAUAUAAGAUUCAUAUAUAAUUAUUCAUAAAAUAAUUAUUAAUAUAACUAUAAAAUAUUCAAAUCUUAUUUGAAUAACAUGGCAUAAUGGGAUGCUUUUUCUAAUAUCAUUUUAAUAAUUAUAUUUAAAAAUAAUUUCAUCAUAAAAUUAAAAAUAAUUAAAGAAAUAAAGAAAACAAUAGUGUUUAGCCUAAAGAAUAAAGUGUAAUAUUGCAAGGCUUAUAGUCCAGUUGUGCCUCAGCCUGCAGGGGUAGGGGCCUGGCAUUGGGCCAUGCUUGGCGUUUUAAAACAAUAAAAUUAGAUAAAUUUUAAGAGGUAUAACUUAACUAGUCAGGUCUUGAGUUUGUUAUCUAGAGUCAUUAACUCAAGUGCCACAAACCUCAUGACUACUAGAGACUUACCUGGUCGUUAACUUUAGGGUCUCAGGGGAUUAAUCAAAGUGCGUGUAAAUUAAUCCAAACACCCAUGAUUAUUAAAAAAAAAAAAGCUAGACCCUCCUAGAAUUAAAAUGUUAGGCCAGCACGCUUGCUAUAUUAAAAAAAAAAAGCCUAUGAGUGUUUAGUUUUUUAAAAAGCAUAGGCAAACAACACAGUAACAUGUUGUUCUCUACAAUAAAUUCCAGUCAAAAAGGGAUGCGAGCAUUUUGCACCUAAAACCCAAACUUUAACCUCUUUUUCAUAUAAACACCUCCAAAAAGAUUUUAUGAAUUUUAAUAACCUUAUUCGCAAUCUCAAAACAACUUUAAAUCAAUCUAAAAAUUCAAAACAAACUGUGGAAAUCUCAUUUUAUUUUUACCAGCAUGGUGGAAGGACGAAACCACCUCCAUGAAACACACCCUCUCAAAGUUGAAUCUACUUACUCCAAGAUUGGCCUGAUAAUGGUUGAAUUGUAUCCAUUCAAAAGUUUUUUUUUUCUUGUUUUUUUUCAGCGAUUUUCUCUCUUGUUUCCCAAGACUUAGGGAUUGAUUCUUGUUUUUUUUCAGCGAUUUUCUCUCUUGUUUCCCAAGACUUAGGGAUUGAACCGCAAUAAAAAUAAAGAAAAAAAAAAAAAAAACAAACCUUCAUUUUUUAGGGGAAACUAUUCACUACCCCGAAAAAUAAUGGUCAAGAAGAAUGGAUUAAAUAAGAAAAAGCUAUGAUAAAAAUAAAAAAAUAAAAACAUAAAAAGCUAUGCAUACAUAGGAACAAAAUUGAUAAAAAGAUUUAUCAGACAAGUGGGCAUGCAAUACGCAAUCCUAGACUCUCCUCAGGCAGCGGAGCUGGAGCUGAUGUCACCCUGCCUAACAAAAGAACACAAACGCCUGAAUUGCUUGCAAACUGCAAACUUUGUCCGUGGAAAAUCUACAUGCUGACCCCACCAAGACCAAGGGGAGAUCCUUCUUUUUCUGUCUUAUCCAAGACAUGAACUCAGAGCUUUGGCUAUUGCAUAUCCGCCUGUACUUCCCAUACAAGAUGCCCAUGUCGAUGUCGUGAAUUAUUGCUAUUAGAAAGUAGCAAGUAUGUAUUCUCACUUCUCACCACCUAUAUCUUCAAUUAAGCGAAAUCAUAUCUGAAAAAUCACUUACUUUUUUUUUUAUAAAAUAUUAUGGAUUAUUAUAGUGUUUUCUUGCAUAAUUUUUUUUUGGUUUUUUAUAAAAAAAAAAUUAAAUUAUCUUUGUCGAUUUUAUUUUUUUAAUAUUAAAUUGAUUGAGAAUUUAACUUUGUAAUUUUUUUAAAAAAACAUCGUGAAUUGCUAGAGUGUUUUAUCCACAUUGGUUUUUUUUUGUUAUAAUCUUUUUCAAAAUUAUCUUUGUCGAUUUUAUUUUUUUAAUAUUGAGCUGACUGAAAAUUUAGCUUUGUAAUUUUUUUUCUUUAAAACAUUGUGGAUUACUACAGUGUUUCUCCACAUGGUUUUUUGUUUUGUUUUUUGUUAUGAUUUUUUCCAAAAUUGUCUUUGUCAAUUUUAUUAGAGAAAGCAUUGUAGCUUUCCUCACAAAACACUAUGGAUUGCUACAGUGUUUCCCCACAUGAUAUUUUUUUUGUUAUAUUUUUUAAAAAAUUGUCUUUAUCAAUUUUUUUUUAAUAUUACAAUUACAAGUAAGGCUAAAUCAUGUGGAGAAAGCACUAUAGCUUUCCUCAUAAAACACUGUGGAUUGCUACCGUGUUUCCCACUUGGGUUUUUUUUUUUUAAUGAAUUUUUUUCAAAAUUAUCUUUGUCUAUUUUAUUUUAUUUUAAUAUUGAGCUGGUUGAGAAUUUAGCUUUGUAAUUUUUUUUUAUUAACAAAAAAGCUAAAUCAUGUUGCAAAAAGUUAAAUUAUGUGGGGAAAACAUUGUAGCUUUUCUCACAAAAAACUAUGGAUUGCUACAACUUAUUCUAUUCAGUUUCUAAGUUUUUUUUAUCACCAACACAACUUUUUUUCCCUUAUGGAAUACUGGCUCCAUCACACCUUCAGUUUCUAUUACUUAUAUAGUGCUGGUUCGCGAGUAUAACAUCAUCAAGCACAUUUGCUCCAUAAGCUCGGGGCAGCGCGCGGGCAUGCCAUCUAGUUAAUAAUUAAAAUAGAACGUUUUUUUUAGUAAAAUGCAGUGUUCUCUUCUUCACAGAUUGUUAUGGACGGUAUUGUUCCUUUUAUAAUGUCAUCUUUAUAAUUUUUUUUAUUAUCUAACUUUAAUUUUUUGUAAUUUCAUUCCCGUAAUUGAUAUUAACAUCGUUUUAUGCAUUGAGAUUUACUUUUCUUUGUAUAUUAUCACGCAUCCGAAGUCUAUGAAUAUUUUGAUUUUAAAUUAAAUAUCAAUUUUAUGAAAUAGAAUUUUAGUUUAUAGUUGAAAAGUUGAAAAAGAUUUGAAAUAACAAGGACCACAAUAAAUAAAUAAAAUCAUUUUUCAUUUUCAUUGUUAAAAAAGGCGUGAAAAACUUUAGUUUGGUCCCUGAAGUUUUAAUUUUUGUAUAUUUGGUUCUUAUUAUUUUAUAAUUUUACAUUCUAGUUCUAAACUUCAUUUUUUUUUGUUUUAGUUCUUGGAUGUUGGACAGGGAAGAGAAAGUCAUUAAAAAAUAGGGAGGACAGAGGAUUUGGUCAGCCAUAUUCCGGCCAUAAAAAAACCGAUCUUAGUAUCACUAGGUUCGUCUUAGAGAUAGGAGUUCAACAUAGGUGAUUUUUCCCUACAAACAUACCAAAUAAAAUAUAUAAAGUUCCCUUAAGGAUGAUUGAGAUUCAUAUGAAAUAAAUGUUUAGAUAUUGGGUUAUGCUUGUAAUAUAUAUAAAGAAAAGUAGAGAAACUGUGUAAUGUUAGUGUUUUUAAUUAUGAUGUAUGCUUAGAAAUUAAUUGUGAGGUUGUAAUUAAAUGGUUAUCUAUUUUGAGUUGUGGGUUGGUAAUAUGAAAAAUAAGUAAUAUAUGUUAGGUGCAAAAUGGUAAUAAGAAAAAUAUGAAAUAGCAUGUAAAUACAAGUUGGUAAUGUGGGAAAAUCUGAGAUUGAAUUAAGAUACAAACAAGUGGUAAGAAAAGAAUAAACGAUGUGUUUAAAUAAUAUAAAAGGAAUAAUCAUAUGUUGAAUAAGUAUGAAAAAAAUGGGUUAAAGAGAAUUGGACACUAAUUGGAAAUGUUCUCUUGAAAAUUAGGAGGGGCUUCUAAGGUUAGACCAACAAUUAUGGGAGCACAUAUUAUUGGAGUGUAGGUAUGUGUUUGUCACCUCAUCUUUUUAUUUAUAGUAAUGUCAUUGUGAAAUUUAUGUUUACAUGUGAAAUGAUUCCUAUAAAGUAAUAUAGAGAAACAUUUCUGAAAAGAAAUAAGUCGGCUGUAUAAGCGGGGCUAUUAGUUUGUGAAAAUAAUUAAAUUGGUCGUAUGAGCGGGGGCAAUUGACUUGUAAAAAUAAUUAAGCUGACCAUAUGAGCGAAGGCUAAUGAUUUUAGAAAAGAAUUAAGUUGGUCGUAUAAGCUAGGGCUAUUAAUCUUUAAAAGGAAUGAUGUUGACCAUAUAAGUGGCGACUAUUGAAUUAAAAAGAAAUUAAAUCGGUCGCAUAAGAAUGGAGUUUUUUUUAGAAAGUUAAGUUGGUCGCAUGAGCGGAGGAUAUAAUGAAAGAGGUUGAGCCAGUCGCAAGAGCGAGGGAUUUUUUGAAUAAUUAAAAUUUGCUACUCUAGCAAAUACUAGUUGUGUAAAGUUACUAGGCUAUCCUGGCAGGAGCUAAUUGUGAGGCAGUGAGCGGGUUGUAAUGGUGGAUUUAUAUAGGGAAUUUAAUUAAUCAUAAUGAUGGAUUUUGUACUUGAAAAGGAGGUGUUCUAAUAAGAAAAACAAACUAUUGUACUGCGUGUUCAUUUAAAGUAAUAGUAUAGUACGUAAGUGCAAAAUGUGCUUACAUGUAUUAAAUUUCUAUUUACCCAAUUAUAUAUUUCAAGUCCAUUUUAUCUACCGCCAUAGUAUUGACAUCGUAGUUUGAACUUCAUAGUUUUGUGUUAGGUAGAAUUUUGUAAUCUCCAUUUCAUGAUAUGCAGUUAAACUAAUGUAUAUGUCAAGUUUUAAUAUUUUUGGGAUUGUAAACAAGUUAAAUGUUGUGUUGUUAAUUAUUUAUAAUUUUCAUUAUAUGCGUGUGUAAUUGUAUUUGUAUCAUAAAACAAUAUCAUCUAUAAUUAUGUAGUUACGUGGUGGAUGAUAAUAGUUGAUAACUAUGGUUUUGGGGGUAUGCUUGAGGAUGCUAGUAAGAAUGAAUUAUAUAAGUUGUUGCAUUUGGGUUAUGGUUGGUUUUUGCAAGUAUUUAAAGCGAGAUAAAAUUUUGGAUAAAGUCUCAGUGCAAGGAAAACUCUGCAAAAUUGUUAUUAAAAUUGGAUAAGUUCUUCACUUUAAUAAGAAGAAAUCUCUCUUGUGUUUGAUAUAAAUACGAUGUAUACUCUGUAUUAUGUGUGGUGAAUGGGAGUGACUUUAUAUAAGAAAGAAUUAGAAAAAGAAAUUACUCUAUUUUACAUAUAUAAGAUUAUGAUAAAUAGAUGAAAAUGCAUUAAAAAUUACCGAGUGUUACAGUUAUAGGGUAAAAAAUAGGUUUAUUAAGAUUUAUAUGAUGUUUUGAAGGGUUUUUUUUUAACAAAACAUAUUGAAAUUUGGGUUUUUUUAACCCAAACUUGGAUCUAAACUUUUCGAUCACCUAAGGUGAUAGAAAAAAAAAUGAACAACAUGUCAUCUGCCUAGACAAAUGAUGUGUUGUCUGUUAAAUUGAAAAAAAUAUUUGGUGAACAAAGUGUUGUCCACCUAUUUUUUAAAUAAAAAACAAAAAACUUAACUAGGCAUGCGGGCCUCAAAGCCAGGCAUGCGGGCCUUGAAACCAAACUCACUCAUCAAGGCUUUUAGCUUUUAGUUUUAGGUCAGGCACUUAAGUCUGACCUGUUUUUUGAAAAAAGAUUUUCAACCCUUUACUUUUAUUUUUUUAUUUUAAUUAAUUUUUUUUAAAAUUAUCCGGUUAUGCUAUAAUUUUAAAUAAGAUUAUAUCUUUUAUGGUAAUAUUAGCAAUUAUUACAUGAAUAAUUAUAUACAAUUCUAAUAUGUAGAUUUUUCUUCAAAAUCUGAUAAAGAAUAUUCAUUAAGAAUAAAUAUCUAUUUUGCUAUUUUUUAUUGCUAAUUUUUUAUAUAAUUUUCUCAAAUUAAUCAUUCUUUAUUUUCCAUAAAUAAACUAUAUAAAUUUUUAAUAAAAAAAAUUUCUCGAAAAGACAUUUUCAUUAAAAAAAUACAUGAAUAAAACAAAAAUUUACGUACCCAAUAAAAAAUAAUUUUGAACGUGAGAUCUUAGACAAUGAUUGUGUUAGUUAUAAUGAUUGAGGAGUUUCAUUCACUUGGAAAAUUUUAGUGGCUUGGAGUUUCUUUGCACAAAUUGUGAUAACCAUAUAAAAAAAUAUCAUUAGUAUAGUUAUAAUGACCCAGGUCAUAAGACUAAGCUAUCCUCAUAGAAAUAAAAUAUAAAAUAAAUAAAGAAGUUUUAUCUUCAAUAAACUCAAUGUUGAACAAUGAAAUAAAAACAAAUAGUGUAAAAAAUGAUUAAAAAAAACCUAUGCAAGUUAAAUGAAUUUUGCUUAUAAAAGCUAUUUAGUAAUUUUACUAUGUAAUGAAAAUAUGAGAUAAUUAAGAUGCCCGGUUAAUUUGGUAAUGACAAAUUGAUCCUGUAAAAAGAUCGUAUUACUUCUCAAACCAAGUUAUUUGGUUUUGUUUUAGAAGAGAAAAUGGUCAUUUCACUGUGCGAAUUCAAAAUAAAAUGUGAGUGUGGGCAUAGUAAAAAAAAUGAGUUCUUUUAAUUUAUUUUUUAUAAUAACCUCAAAAGAUUAUCUCUAAUCAAUAAUCUCAAAAGUACAAGUGGCUUUCUUUUUUAACAUUAACACUAUAAAUUAAAAGAAUAUGGGUUCUUAAACAAUAUUGUUUAUUAUUCAUAAAGGAAUAUUAGAUUGUUCAUACAACUAUUCAUAGUCAAUUUUUUAUUGUUUGCACUUUAAUCAUUAAACUUUAUUUCUUUGUUUAUCAUCCUUACAAGUUUUGUUCACAUGAUUAUAUAUGUUGGGAUUUGUUAUGAUUCGCAUGCUCUCACAUAUACGAUGUUCUAAAGAUUAUUCUAGCGUUACAUUAAAUACCACCGUUAUAAAAUAGAAUUUUGGAUUAUGCUAAAUAUAACAAAUUAAAAGAACAAUGAUUUAAAUUAACACAAAAAAGAGGAAUUUUCCCAUAUUAAUUGUUGAAUAGCAUGGAAAACUUCACUAUAGUCUCUCAAGUUUCAAGUUUUAAUUUUACAAAAACUCCAGUAUAGUCUCUCAAGUUUCAAGUUUUAAUUUUACAAAUUUAGUCCCUAUUAUUUUAAGUUUUUUACAUUUUGACCCAAAACUUUUUUUAUUAUAUUUUAGUCCCUGAAUGUUGAAAGAAAAUAAAAAUCAUUGUAAAAGGGGGAUGAGAGAGAAGGAGUUCGGUCGGAAAUAUCUCAAUCAUAAAAGGGCAAGCUUUGAUGUUGAUAGGUUCGUUUUUGUGAGAGGAGUUUAAAAUAGUGAUGUUGUCAUUUAACCAUAUUGAAAAGGUAGAUUGAAACCCGUAAAAAGUUUUUGUUUUGAUUUUUGUUUUUUAGAGUGGUAAAAUGGUGUUUUAGGGUUUAAAAUGAGUUUAUUGAGGUUUAAAUAAUAUUUUUAAGUUAAAACAAUUUAAAAAUUAGGUUCUUAAGGUCUAAAAAUUCAUACCCUGCUUUUUAUAUCAGUGAAAUUAUAAUAGUGGAUAACAUGUUGUUUGUCCAAGCGAACAACUUGUUGUCCAAUCUAUUAAAAAAAUAAAAAGAAUUUUUUUAUCCGUCCAUUUUUUCAAAAAAAAAAGAAGAAUAAAAAGAAAAUAAAGUACACGAGCUUAAGCUUUUCUUCUCUUAAACCAAGUGUGUGGGCUUGGAUUUCCAAGCCCAACAAUACCUCACUUUUUUAAUUUUGAUUUUUAAAAAAUUCUUAAUCAAUAUCUUCUCAUAUUUUUUAAAUUAUUUAACUUAACUAUUAUUUGCAUAGUAAUUAGUUAACGUUUUUAUUAAAUUUCAAAUAGACUAAUUGUAUUUGCGUAAUGCAUUUAUAAGAAUGGGAAUUAUUUGUAUAUUUAGUAAUAGUUGAGUCUCCAAGAUUAAAAAAAAAUAAAAAAUUAAUCGAUGCAUUUAUUUUUGUCUUUUACUUUUUGGUAGGGAGAUCAACUUCCAGUUUUAAUUGUUAAUUAACAUCCAUAUUUUUCUUAUUUAUAAGUUAAUAUACUUUUUAAUUAAUCAUAUUAAUUAAAUGCAUAAAUAAUUUUUCUAUUCUCCAAUUAACAAAUUUUAUAAUUACUAAAAACAUAUCCAUAAUGUUAAAGUCUUUCUUUCUGAUUUUGUGUUAAAGAUUAACUUGAAUUUUACCCUUAGUGUAGCGUGAUUACAUUUACUAGUUAUAUACUAAAACUUUUACUGAUGAGAUUGCUCUCAUAUUUUAACACAAAUUAUUCACAAUUUUGGACUUUCCCACCUAUCACGAACAUUGGAAGUGCUCCUACUUGAAUGUAUCUCACCACAAUUCGUGGUUUUCCCCUCAAAAAAAACUUAUUAAAAUGUUUUUUAAUGUCUUACACCUCGUUUGUUUUUCAAUAAAAAUAUUAUUUAAAAAAAAAAUUAUUUUAUUUUAUAUUAGUUUUUAGUAUUUUUAGAUUAUUUUAAUGUGCUAAUGUGAAAAAUAAAAAAAAAAUUAUUAUAAUACAUUUAUAAACUAAAAACACUUUGAAAAAUAAUCACUACCGCAACACCAAACAUAUUCUUAAUAAAAAGUUGAUCAAUUUCAUCGUAAAAUCAGUAAUUUUCUUUUUAUUAACCAGCCAAGGUAUUUAAUUCUUAAAUUAUUUUUUAUGUCUUAUUAAUUCUUAAAUUAUUUUAAAAACAUACUUCUCAAGCCAAUAUAAUUUUUAAAAAUUAAUAAAUUCUCUUCAAUACUUAUUUUAUGAUUUGAAAACAGAAAGUUGAGAAGAAGUCUGUAAUAACAAUUUAAAAUUGUAAUUAGAUUUCAUAAAUAUCUAUUCAAAUUAUAAAUAAAUCAUAUUUUGAAAUAUCUAUUGAAUAAAAAAGUAAUGCCAGCUUAUGUACUUUAUCAAAAACGUUGUAGAGUAUAUAGAAUAUAUGAGAAUUAAUAUCUGUUUAGAAAAGUUAUGGCUAUAAUUUUUAAUUUUAAAAAUUAUAACUUUUAAAAAUAACAUAUAAAAUAGAUUGUGAUAUUAACUUUUAAAUAUAUUUAUAAAACACGUCUGGUAUUGUUGUGGUAAUGAUUGUUUUUUAAAGUAUAUUUUACUUAUAAAUACAUUUAAAUAAUAUAUUUUAUAUUUUUAAAAAUUUAUUUUUGACAUCAACACAUAAAAAUAAUUAAAAAAAAUUAAUUUAAAACAAAAAAAUAUUUUUUUAAAAAAAAACUCUUAAAAUACAAAAAUAAACAGAUAAAUCCAUAAAUUGAUGAUUCCUAAACAGUCAUUUAAUAUUUCAUCAACUAGGGAUGAGCUUUAUUUGCUGGAGUCACCCCCACCAUCACCACCGAUAACCACUUCAAUUGGGGGCAAAUCAAUAUCAAUCAGACAAAAGAUGGAUCAUAAACACAAGGCUCGGAGCACUGAAAUGUUACGUCAUGUGUUUGUUCCACGUGUCAUGAUACUAAUGGUGGUGUGGAAAGUGGUGCUUACGUUGGUCGUUUCCUCCUUCAAGCUACACUCGUAACCCAACAAAAUAGCAACCGGUGGCAUUUGUCUCGUGUAAAAGAAUAAGAAAGCAACAGGCAGAGAGUAACCAAGAUUUUUGGCAUCUCCUCCAUUUCUGGUUCUUGGGCUGCUCCUUUGUCCCUUCAUUUCUCCUUUCCUCUCUAUAUUUCUCCUCCCCACUUCCAAAAUAGUAGGCAAAUGAGUUAAGUCGACGAGUGCAGGCCAGGUGAUGAUAUCACGAUAUAAAAGGCUGUGAAUUCUAUUGCUUUGAGAGAAAAUCUUCUUGUUUGGUAUUUUGUUUUUCAAGGUUUCGGUAGACAGAGGGAGAGAAAGUAAAUCUGUGAGUGAGUGGUUCUUUCAGAAAGAAACAAGAAUAACCUGGGGUACUUUUCCUUACACCGUCACAUGUAUUUAAUAUCCACCUUAGAAAAUCUAGGGAGAGAGAAUACAAUUACAGUUUCGUGUUCAUCCAUUUCUACAAGUUUUGUGAGUGUGUGCGUGUUUGUGUAUGAUAAAGAAAAACAAGAAUUGGGUCUGUGUUAAUAACUGAAGAUAUUGAGUUGUUUGGGGGAUGAGAGUGAGAUCUUAAUGGAUUUUUGGCCAGAGUUUCUUGCUAGCAGCUGGGGUAGGGAGUUUGUGGCUGGUGGAUUUGGUGGAAUUGCUGGUAUAAUUUCUGGUUAUCCACUUGAUACUCUACGUAUUCGGCUACAGCAACCUAAUUCUGGCUCCGCCUUCAGUAUUCUUCGCCGAGUUAUGGCCGGAGAAGGGCCUGCUGCUCUCUACAGAGGCAUGGGUGCACCCCUCGCAUCCGUCACCUUCCAGGUAGGGCACAACCUUUUUCUGUGCAUACAGUAUAGGCUAUAGUCUUAUCUUUCCACGUUUAUUUUAUGUUUGCAUAAUUAUAAUUUGAAUACAGUUUUGUUAUAAUCUUCUGAAUAUUUUAUUGUUGGGAUACCUUGGAAUUGGAUCGCAUGGAGGAUUAGCACCUUAUCAUGAUUAUGUCAUGUUUUCAAUCGUGUUUGUCCUAAGGAUAAGAGAGUUUGGUUUAGAUUUUGACUCCGCCUUUUAUUUUAUUUUAUUUGGAUAUUGAAGUUGAUGGUAGGUGAAAAAACUUGGUGAGAUUUUGGUGCUCUUAUGAUGACCAGCAUAGUCUUGGAUUGUCUUGUUUUUGGUAAUAUUUUUCUAUUUUUUGGUAGUUUAAUGUAAAAACUUGGUGAGAUUUUAAAAAAAUAUUGUUUUAAUGUAUUUUUCUUUAAAAAAUGCUUUAAAAAACAAACUAUGAUUUGGAAAGCAACUCCUGUGAACGAACGAAUAUGCUCUCAGUACUUUAAGAUGAGAACAGAAAUGUCAUUCUCAGGAAUUUGGCUGCCAAUAACAAGCCCUGCUUACGUGAUAAUGUUGGUGGUAGCUUAUCAUACCUCCUCCAUACUUGCUCUCGUAUAACUCAUGGAUCUUAUUUCCUGAUUUUGUUUUCCAACUUGCAAAGCAAGCUUUGUGACUUUUCACUUCCGGUGCUAAAGAAAAAUUGUUAUAAGAACUCAGACCCGACCAACUAGUUAAAUAGAUGAUCAUUGUCUUUGCAUUGCUUAUGCUCGUUCUGGCACACUGACAAUGUUGUUCGCGGUUUGCAGAAUGCCAUGGUUUUCCAGACCUAUGCUAUCCUCUCGAGAGCAUUUGACUCGUCCGUUUCAGCUAGUGAUCCUCCUUCUUACAAAGGUGUUGUUCUAGGAGGAGUUGGUACUGGGGCCAUACAGAGCAUUAUGCUUUCUCCUGUAGAACUCGUAAAAAUUCGCCUCCAAUUGCAGAACGUAAGUCAUGCAAAUCUCCAUGGGGCUGCUAGUUAUAAAGGUCCAGUAAGUGUUGCCAAGAGCAUACUGAAAACAGAAGGUAUAAAAGGAAUUUACCGGGGUUUUGUGAUCACUGUCCUCAGAGAUGCACCUGCUCAUGGUGUAUACUUUUGGACAUAUGAGUACAUGAGAGAGCAGUUUCACCCUGGCUGCAGAAAGAAUGGUCACGAAAGCUUAAGAACCAUGCUGACAGCAGGAGGGCUAGCAGGAGUUGCAAGCUGGCUCUGCUGCUAUCCAUUAGAUGUUGUGAAAACCAGAUUACAAGCUCAAACACCAUCAUCAUCAUCCCCACUUAAGUAUAAAGGCAUUCUGGAUUGCUUUCGCAGGAGUGUUAAAGAAGAAGGUUACUGCGUGCUUUGGAGAGGUUUGGGGACUGCCGUAGCAAGAGCUUUUGUAGUCAAUGGAGCUGUAUUUGCUGCUUAUGAGAUUGCAUUGCGGUGUCUAUUCAACAAUGGAAGCAUUCAAACAGAGAACACUAUCUAGGAAAAAUUUAUCUUUUGUCAACAGUAAUUGACUUGUAUCUGUGGAAAUUAUUCAAUGGUAAUUUUAUAUAAGAACAAACCAGUCAAAGAAUUACGUAUGAUGCAUCAGGACAAAUUUGUUUUCAUCUGCUUGAUUUCUCUGUAUCUGUACAGAAGUAUCUAAAAUAACCAGCCAUUAGAGUCUAUCAUCCUCACUUACAGUAUCAUCCAGCUCAGCUAAUUUCCACCGACAUACACCUGGAAUCCUGGAUAGCCUGAACUACAACCGUGCUCAUGGACUACAAAAGUUCUCAAUUCAAUAAACAUUGAUCAAAACGAGUUGCCUUAUCAGCUACAUGCAUGAGCUUCCCGGAAAAAAUUGUCUGCAAGAUCACAGAAUGCCUCACUUUCUGUGAAAAUCUGAAAGCCCCAUCUUCAUUGGUGUUGGUAGUAUCUUCUCUUUUUCAAUUUGAAUUUAGUUCAAGUUUCUUCAUUGUUGACCUUGUGAUAUUCCUCACUGUCUCAACAAUGUUAACCAAACUGACCAGCACCACUACAUAAAUGCUCCUGGAUACAAUAGGGUGCACUCGAUCUUAACAAGUUUUUCAUUCUCAUCAAUGUCAGUUACAAGAACCACUCCCGCUAUCUUAGCUUCAAGAUUUAUCAAGUACAUGCAAAUAUCAAACUAAUGACAUUACGAGAACUGUAAUCAUUCACUUGCUUUUCAUAGUGAAGAAGGAUCAGGCAUGCAAGAUUUACCAUGAUGAAUAACAACACAACACGAAUCAGCUUCCUCUGCAAUAUCUGUAUGUUCUCCAUCCGCUAUGACUCUUCCAUGUAGCAUUUGGGCAAAUACUAACUUGAAUAAGAAUCGAUCCUCUUUGUUAAUCAUAAUGCAGCAGUGGUUACAAACCAAUAUGGCUCCAUUAGCUAUUGCCGAAUGCCUGUACUUGAAUGAAAGGUGAUGUAGGAAACUGAAGAAGAUAUAAUAAUGCGCGGGCAAUGCUUUAAUUUGUUGUUCUUUAGGCAUCGAGAACAUCUAAACCUUGGGAACAGAAUGGAGAUAGAAGAGUAUCUACUUGAUGAAUUUCAAAAGCUUCAGAGGAAGGUGAAGGUGGAUUCAAUCAGUUGUAUCUUACAGUAAAGUAGCCUCACAGUUUGAUUGCUUGUUAAUGAGUAGCUAUGUGGAUUUGAUUCUCUACUGUAAUUAUCAUAUGAAUGCUCAAGUUUUUCAGGAAUGCAAGGCUUAGAGCAGGAUUGCACAAAAAAAGGAUAAGUAUGCUGAUGAACCAGUUUAUUCUAAUUCAAAUUUGUAUUUUCACACACAGAGAUGCAACAUCCAACAUACUGAUUUCAUGACAAAACAAAUAGAACAACAAGAAACAUUAACUAUGCCUCAGCGAUAACCUUGAAAAAAAGACCUCAAAGCAUACAAGCAAGAUACAUCACUAGCAAGUGGAUCCGCUACUCUCCACCACGACCAAACUGUUCAAUCCUGUCCUCGCUAAGAUUAAGUUCUGCCAUUGAAUCCUCCAAUCCACAGCUGCUCUCAACCAAAACAUGAGGAUCAUUAUAAUGCCUAACGGCCUGCACUAUGCCCCUCACUCUCUUGUACGGAUCAGCAGAGUCAAAAACCUCGCUUCCCACAAAAAUCCCAUCACAUCCCAAUUGCAUCAUUAGUGCCGCAUCAGCAGGCGUCACAAUACCUCCUGCAGCAAACUGCACAACAGGCAACCUUCCCAUCUGCUUAAUCUGCGCUACAAGAUCAUAAGGCGCAGCAAUCUUUUUCGCAAACGCAAAAACCUCGUCCUCAUCCAUAUUGUUCAAAACCCUCACCUCCUUCAUAACAUUUCUCACAUUCUUCACUGUCUCAGCAACAUUACCUUGGCCUAAUAUCUCCCCUUGUGUCCUUAUCAUCGCCGCGCCUUCUCUCACUCUCCUUAACGCUUCACCCAGAUUUCGACACCCACAAAUAAAUGGGCACCUAAAGUUAUGCUUGUUAAUAAAAUUAUCCUCAUCUGCUAGGGCAAGCAACUCACUCUCAUCAAUAUAAUCAACUCCAAUAGCUUCCAGUAUCUGUGCCUCAACAAAAUGGCCAACACGAGCACGAGCCAUUAGAGGAAUCGAAACCGCCCGUUUUAUCUCCUUGAUAAGAGAUGGGUCAGGCAUUCGCCGAAUUCCUUGGCGUAGCCCUGGCUCUGAAACCAUGAUAGAACAAGCACCAGCUUCUUCUGCAAUCUUUGCUUGCUGUACGCUGGAGACCUCGAGAAUGGCCCCGCCACGAAGCAUUUGAGCUAAACCAGCCUUGAUGGAAAAAGGGUUCUUCUUGGCAUCUGUAAUGGCGCUGUUAUUGUAGAGAGUCACAGCUCCAUCGUCAGCCAUCGCUAAUUGUUUGAGAAAUAGCCUGAGAGAAGAAAAUUACAAGCAAUUGAGGAAACAAAUGUUGGAUUAGUUCAAAGAUAGUUAUGAUGGUCUUGAUAUAGGAAGAGGAAAUGCUCUAGAAGCUUCAAUUGGGUUUCCUGGUCGGAUUAGUCGGUGGAAAAUUGAAAGUGUGGAAAGUUCGAUUCCAUUCUCUCUCUCUUCUUUGUUUUUUCCGAUUUCAUUGAAUUUAAGGGGUGUUUGGUGCUGCCGUUUACCUGCAGUUUUAUAAUUUUUUUAAUUUUUUUUAAUUAUUUUUUAUAUAUUUUCACAUAAUUUUUAUAUGUUUAUAUUAAAAAUAAAAUUUAAAGAUAAAAAAAUAUUAUUUAAAUAUAUUUUCAAAUAAAAAAUAUUUUAAAAACAAGUUUUACCACCAUCUCAAAUACCCCUGUAAAUUAUCAUGUUUGCAUCUAUUAUUAUUAUUACUACUAUUAUUACUACUAUUAUUACUGGUGUUAUGUCAUAGGUAAAAUUUCAAGUUAAUUUUGAACAUAAUAAAAGAAUGUAUUAAUAUUAUAAAGGCAUUUUAAAUUUUCAUAUUUUUUUAAUUCAAAAACGAAAAGAUUUUAUUUACCUAACUAUUAUAAUUUUAAGUUAUGUAGAAGGAUGUGUCAAUAUUACUGAUAUAGCCAUGAAAAACUUCAUACAAGAAUUGAGUUUUUCAUGGUUGUGUCCUUGAUCGGUGACUAUUCUUGAAUAUAGAUUUUUAUUUUUGAGGUGAGUGGUUCUUGGAAAACAAGUUUCUAUAAGAAAAUGAGACACUCUGAUACUUAAGUUAAUAAAUAUAGGAGAAUAAAAUAAUAUAGAGGAAAGGAAAAUAUAAUGAGAUGGUAGGAAGUGUGUAUUUAUAUGUUGUGUGUUAGCAUAUGAACAUGAAUGACUUAUUGUAUGGUUGUUUGUGGUUUUUGAAAUUGUUGGAUGGUUGUUUGUGGUUUCUAAAAUUAUUGGGUAUUUGAUGGAACUUUGUGAGCAUGUAAGUAAUAUUAAAGCAUUGUAUAAAGAGAUGUUGUAUGGAGACAUAGAGAUUUUAAUGGACAUCUCGCCAUGAAUAUUUUUUUAUUUAGAGAUAUUGGAGAAUUAUUUUGGAGAUAUAGAGAUACAUUUAAAAACAUGGAGAAUUUAAUGAAAACAUGGAGAUCUUAUCUUGUAGAUUUUCAUUACAGAUAUUGAAGACAUAAAAAAAUAUUAUUGCUUUUAUUCAAAAGUUCAAAAAGAUAGUGGGUAUACAAUUUAUUUUUAAAGGUAAUUUAGUUAUUUUAUUUUUCAAAUUAAAAUGAAAUUCUAAAAAAGGCCCUCAGAGGCAAGUUAAAUGAAUUUUGCUUAUAAAGGUUAUUUACUAAUUUUACUAUGUAGUGAAAAUGUGAGAUAAUUAAGAUGCACUGGUCAAUUUGGUAAUGGCAAAUUGAUCCCAUGAAAAAAAUCAUAUUACUCCUCAAACCAAGUUAUGUGGUUUUGUUUUAAAAGGGAAAAUGGUCAUUUCAUUGUGCGAAUUCAAAAUGAAAUGUGAGUGUGUGCACAAAUGAAAGGAUUGUGUCACACUUUCAUUUGAAGGAGCAAAUGUUCAUCUAAUAGAUCUUUUAAUCAUUUUUUCCCUUACGACUAGGAAUAAUGUCUACUAAUCAUCCAAAUACUUAAUUUAUUCAUUUAUCUAAUAAAAGCCUCUAUCAUUACCAAAUCUAUCUUGUUUUUCUACAAGAUUUUUCACCUUUGAUUGAGUCACAUUUUUUAAUGACAGCAUGAAGACUUGCAAUAAAGGUUAUGAGCAAAUAAAAACAUCCUUACACAUCCUCUCAUAUGUUACACUCGAUUUAAUGUCACUUCACUCGUAUUUCACACAAUUCAAUCGGGCUUUUCACUCUAAUAAUAUCAUUAUCUUAUACAUCAUUAUUCCCUUACUUAGAUUCUUAAAGGUAACUUAGAAACUUAUUAAAUAAUUAAUAAAAAAAAUUUAAUGACUUUAUAAUAAUAAAAACUCAAGAAUCAAGAAAAUAUAUGAAACUUGAGAAUAAAUUUACAAAUAGCAAUGUAAAUUUGUGUGAAAUAUAAUGACAAAGAGAAGACACGAAAUAAAAGCAAUGGAUUUUAUGUUAAAGAUUCAAAGAAAGCUAACUAAUUCAAGAAGUCAAGAUUCAACUUCAAGAGUUUCAAGAAAACAAUUAAAAUAAAGCAAGAAAGAUUUAUACUACCCAAAUUUAAAUAAAAACAAGGCAAGCUAAUCCAAGAAAAAAAGAAUUCAAUUCGGCAAUACCAAGACUCGGUACUUAUCUAUUCAACAAAAAAAAAAAAAUUCAAGAAACUUUCGAUCAACUCUAAAAUUCAAGGGCUUGUAUUUGGUUAUGCCCUAAGUUAUCAAUUCAACCAAUUCUUGCAAUUUUUCUUGAACGUCCCCUCCUUUUUUUAUUCAUACAAUUCAUCAAAAACAAGAUUUUUUUUUUUUUUACUCUAGGCUGAAAUCAAGAAAAUAGAAAAUGAAGAUCAAGAACACAAUUUUUAUUUGAUGUGUUAGGCAAAAUCAAGAAACUAAGUAAGAUGAAAUUUAAUUUUUUUAUAUAGGGUUUGACGUAAACUUUGAAAUAAUAAGAAAAGAACAUACUUUUUUAAAGAAAUAAGACCUUGGCCUAAACUAGGAAGAAAAACUAAAUCAAGAAAUAACACAAACUAAAUAUUAAAGGGAUAUAACCUGAUAAUAGCACAAGCUUUGAUAUCAACUUAUGCAAACACCUCCCAAAAUAUGUUAAAAUCAUAUUUAAAUGGUUUGCAACUUGACCCAACAAAAACCUAUCUUGGAGAAUCAAAGUUAUACACAAUGAUCACCCUCACACUAUACAUAUAAAAAGACACGAACGAGUAGUAUAAAAUCACGACAAAGUUGAUCACUCCUUUGAAGAGUUUGCAAGUCCUAUUAAAAACUUAGUAUGAGAAACAUUCAAUCUCGCAAAAGAUAGCAAGAAUAAUAAAUUUUUUUAUUAAAAAUAGUCUAACGUCAAAAAGUCUCUACAAAAAAAUAUUUAAACUAGAAAGAAUCUGAAUUAUAAUAGGAUAUCCCUAUGGAUGUGGAUAAAUCUAAUAAAUAAUAAUAAUCCAAUGAACCCAAAUUUAAAUAAAGACUCUAAUAUCUCUAAAAGGUCUAAUAAUUAAAAGAUAAAUAAAACAAUAGUUCAACUAAUUUAAAUAAGAAUAAAGUCUUCUUUAUAAUCUAUUGGUAUAAUCAAAGCCUAGCUUUAAACGUGUGGUUCUAUCUCUUCUUAAUGAAUUAGAAGGAGUUCCAUUAGUCAAUGGAAAGUUAUGCAUGUCCAAUUUCCAAUGCAACUGGAAUCACACUAAAUUCUUUUUUUAGCUCCAGUUAUGACCAAACAAGUAGAGAAAGGUCAAAAUUGGCAAAUUUGAAUUUUUUUAUUCCAAUCUUUUUGUAAUGUCUAAAUGCUCACCAACAAGCCUUUCUUAAACAUUAAUUAAAUUAAUCAAGGUAUGUUCUUUAUUAUUUAAUAUCUUCUUAAAGUUCACAUUGUCCUAUGUAUCUUGAAGAAGUCCAUUAAAAGUCUUUUUGAAUUUUUUAGCCCUGAGUCUUGUCACUAGAACAACUAGAACCUCUAACAGAUCUUUUGGUGUUGCUUGGAUCACAUUAGAAAGGUCAUUAUAGUUAUCCAAGUUGGCAUUGACAAAGACACAACUUUGAAGAGAUAAGUGUAUAACACUCGAUGACAUAAUGGAAAGUCUCAUUUAGUGGCGGUGAUUUUUGUUCUUAGUAGCUCAUACAAUUAUUAAUCUCAUAUCUUACCUGGGCCUUUUUCAGUGAAAACCAAGCGAGCAAGAUUCAGAAGAGACUGAUGCAAUAACCAUUUUAUGGCUAAGGCUUAUUGAGGAGUGCUUUUCAUUGCAACUCCUUUGAAGAGUUAAAGUAUCAUGCCUACUUUACAUGUUGUUUUGUUUUGUUUCUUUAUGAAACUAGAGUUGUCUUUAUGCACCUGGUGCAUUUAAUAAAUUUUUUUUUUUCUAAUUGAUGAAAAGGAAUAAUGUAAAGUUGUUCUUAUAUAGUUAGAACAACAUUGUUAAGCAUUUGCACUUGAUAAGAGAGUUGAUGGAGAUCGAUUAUAGUUUCUAUGGUGGGGAUCUCCCCCGUCUUAGAAUUUCAUUGGUCAUUGAAAGAACUUUUAGUAAUGAGUGAAAUGGAAAUAAUCUAGCUUUUAGUUCAAGUUCGUAUAGACAACGCCACUAAUGAUGUGGUGAAAAACUUUAGCCAUGAAUUGGGCUUUCCAUAGUUAUGUCUUUAGCUUAUGAUUGUUCUUAAAUAUAGGCCUUUAUCUAUAGCCUAAGUGGUUCCUAUAAAACAAGUCUCUUAUAUGAACAUGAGACACUCUAUUACUUAGGUUAGUAUGUAAGAGGAGAAAAUAAUGUACAAAAAAGUAAAAUAUAAUGGAUUGUAUAGAGUAUGUAUCUGUAAGUUGUGUGUUUUCUCCCAUGAACUUUUAUGACAUGUUGUAUGGUUAUUUCUAGUUUAUGGAAUUAUUAGGUGGUUAAUGAUGGUUCUUUGAAUUACUGGAUGGUUAAUGGUGGUUCUGAGAAUUUUUUAGUGGUGGUGGUGGUGGUUUAUGGAAUUGUUGGGUGAUUAAUGUUCAUGUAUGAAAAUUGUCUUAUUUGUCUUACUUGUUGACCAAGGUAUUUAUAGAUUUUGGUCAUGUUUGCAUACCUUAUUACAAUUACAAUACCUGAGUGUGUAUAGAUAAUAGAGUUUUACUAUUGGUAAAGAAGUUGGUGGUUAUUAGUGUCACAAAAUAACCAUUGACGAGAAAUGUAGUGCCUGUUUGUAUAGAAAAAUAUUGUGUUUGCACUAAGAUUCUAUAUGUUAAACAAUAUUAGGAACUAGAAACACAUAGAGGCGACGAUCCUAGAAACUAAAAAUAUGCAUAAAUGUGUGUGUCAGGUAAGGAUAACCUAGCUUGGUAAGGAAGAAAAACAUGGAAAAAGGAAGAGAGAAGGGAGAGAGAAACACUAACCAUUUUGGCUUGUCUUGGUCCAAACAACUAGAAAAGUUAUUUUUAUGUGCCAUCAGUUGCAUACAUUUUAUUGUACCUUUAUUUUUUUAAUUGAGAAACGCAAAAAUAUUUUAAAAAAACAAUCAUCAUCAAACUCCUCUUGUCAAGUGAAACUCAUUGAAACCAAGAUCAAUUAUUUUUAUUACUAUAAUGUGGUCAACCAAAACCUUUCUCUCAUCUCCAUAGUUUUUUAUGACUUUUCUCUCUCUUCUCUCAAAUCUAGAAACAAAAAAAUAAACAAAAUGAAUUUUUGGGCUAAAAUAAAAAUUCUAAAAAUUUCUAGAUUGGCCAUGUAUUUUCUUCGUGUUUUACAUCAUGGUUCUCUGUCUUUUAAUUUUGUCUUUCUACUAUAAUUUAAAAUAUUAUCUCAUGAAAUUAGGCCACAAGAGGAUUAAAUAAAUAAAUAACUCCUAAGAUGAGGUUUUUUUUAAAAAAAAAAUGAAAAACAAGAGGAGAUGAGUUUCAUAGUGAAACAGUUGGAAAAACCCUAGUUCUCUUAAUAUAUUUGUUAAUUAUUAAUCCAUUCAUAUAGUUUCACAAAUAAUUAAAUAAUGUGUGUGUGUGUGUGUUUGUAAAGGUAAGAAGGCUUAGUCAUUUACUAUGGACCAAGACUCAUUGCAUUGUGAAUUACUACAGUAUGAUGAUUGUUUUGCCCUUUAUAGUAACAAACUUGGAACUGAAAAUUGGAGGGCAAAAUGAUCUUUCACAAGGUUCAUUUGGUAUUAUAAAAUUGAUUAGGGGUGCAUUGAUCUUUUGAAAAACAUUUACAUAGUGAAAUGACAAAAUUACUCUUAAAACAAAUUCUAAAAUAGUGUCCAAUGGUUUUUACGUCUUUUUAAUUUUAUCAGCAUAGUGAAAUGACAUAAUUACCCUUAAAAUAAAAUAAAAACUUUUAUGCUUGCAUACAAGGGUGUUUUCAUCUUUUCAUUAUGGUUUUUUGGUAAUAAACAAUUUCUUUUAGGUGAUAUUUGGUAAUUUAACAAAUAUAAAUAUUAUUUUAAAAAAAAUCAGACACAUGCAUGUCACGCAUCCGUGCCUGAGGUGUGUUCUGGUAAUCAAAAACCACCUUUUGUGGUGGAGUUAGAAUCCUCCUGGUAGCCCCUCCACGAUAUGACAGUGCGCGUGACCAAUAGGUCUCUGGUUUGGCGCCGAUUGCCUUUUUAUUUUCAUUUUCUUUUUUUUUCCCUCUUCCUCGAUUUUCAUGCUGACACUUCAAAAUUUCAAAGCACUCCUUCACUUUGUUUGCUCCUUCAUAUUUGGUCCAUUUGUUUUUAAUUGCUAUUUGUUUUAUAUAAAGUAAUUUAUAAGAUUGAAUUGUGUUUUCAAUUUCUUCCUCGUUUAAUUUUUUUAUAUGUUAAAUUUGGUCUUCAUUCUUUUAAUUUUUAUUAUUUUUAUUUAAGAUUAUUUUUAAAAUUGCAUUUGUUUUAUGAUUUUAUCCUUCUUUGAUUUUUUUUUUCCCUAUCAGAUUUAGUACUUAUUAUUUUGAUUGCUAUUUUUUUUACUUUGACAAGUUUUUUAAAUUGAUAUUUUUUUUAUUUUAUUCUUCAACAUUAAAUUUAUGGAGAAUUAAGUUUCUUAAUUGAGAUCAAGUCUAGGAUUUCAUGGGUUGUAAAUUUGGUAGAUUAACUUAGGUUUAGGAGAUUCAUCUAGUUUUGCUCGUUUUUUUUCUUUUUACUAAGCUCAUGUUUUUUUUUCGUUUCAUCCUUUAUCAUUUAUUUAAUUGGAGAUUGGACUCUAUUAUUAUUAUUUUUUAUUUUUUUUUGUUGAUUUCGUUACUUAUUUUGAGAAUGAUUCGAGUUAUCUAGUCCUUCAACAUUGAGUUGUUUGAUAAUUAAACUUUAAAAUUUUAUUAAGUUGGCUUUUAAUGGGGGGUUACCUCGAACAACUAGGUCACAUAUUAUACAUACUAACCCGGGUAGACUCGAGUCGGGUUUUUCUGAUCUUUUUUGGAUUAUAUUUAAAAAAAAAUUAUGUUCUUUAAUAAUUUAUUUGCUAAAAAUUGAUAUUUGUUUUUUUUUUUUCCAAUUUACUUAACAUGGGGUUAUCAAGUUCAUGUUUAAUUUUUUUUCUUUAUUAUCAUGUAAGAUCCUUCAACAUUUGAUUUUUUUUAAUAGAUUGAUUUCAAUAUCCUUUGAAAUUUGAUUUUUUGAGAAUUGAUGUUCAUGUUUUUUUUUUUACUUUCCUUUAUAUAGAGUUAUCUCAAUUUUAUGUCCAUAAUUGCGAUGUUAGUUGGUUAACCUAAUUUGACUUGAGUUUUUUUUCAUUAUUUUUUAAUUUUUUUUCAAUUAUGUCAUUCAACAUUAAGUUAUUUGAUAAUUGAACUUCAAGAUUUUAUUUAGUUUGCUUUCGGCAGAGUUACCUCGGUGUCACGACUAAGUUUCAUAUUUGGCAUGCUAACUUGGAUAGGUUUGGGUCAAAUGUUUUUUACCAUUUUUCAUUGUCAUUUAUAUUCGCUUUAUUUAUCAUCAUUUUAUUUUUUAUUCAUGUUAUUAAAUUAUUUGUGCUUAUUAUAAUCAAUCGAGUUAAUGACCUAAAUGUCCUUACAGUAAUAGUAUUUUCUCAUAUUAGUCAUUCCCUCCAUGCAAUACAUGUUGUAAAUCACACCAUUUUGAAUAGAGUUUAAUGUUUUAUUUUAAGAAUUUUUUUUCACAUCAAGGAAUUGAUUACUAUGGAAUAAGAAUCAUAUGGUAUGCUAGCGGUGAAUAUAAUGUUUCUUUUAAACAUUUAUCAUCUCAUAAUUUAAAGGCUAUUACUGAAAAAUUUAAAUUAAAUUUAUUAUAAUUGUACAAUUUCAUAAAAAAAAAAUUAGAGUUAAAUAAUUGUUUUAAGGUUAUGUAUGGUUUUAGAUUUGAUCCCGUUUGUUUUUGCGUUUAAAAAGCGUUUUAAAAAAAAUAUUUUUUUAUUUUUUACUUGCUUCAAAUUAAUUUUUUUGUGUUUUUCGAUCCUUUUGAUGUGUUAAUGUCAAGAAUGAUUUUUUAAAAAAAUAAUAUUAUUUUAAUAUAUUUUUAAAUAAAAAAUAUUUUAAAAAAUAACCACUACUAUAUUUCUAAACACGUGCCCCCUUUACUAGGCUAUGGUACAUUUUUCCUGUUGGUUAGAGAUUGAGACUCUUUGAUAUUUUUGGAUGGUACAUUUUUCCUGUUGGUUAGAGAUUGAGACUCUUUGAUAUUUUUGGAUGGUAGAAAUCUUUUGUCAAUUGGACAUGUGUGUAAUGUGACAUUCCUCGUUGGAUAGUAAGUUUCUAAGCUUGACUGUGUGUGUAAUAUCAUAAAUAAUGUGAUAUUUAUGCACCUUUAUUUUAAAAGGGUUCAUCCAAUUUUUUCAAUAUAGUAAGCUGCAAUUCUCUUCUUAGUUCUUAAUAUUGGUAUACUAUAAAGAUGGUGGUGUAUUUGUUUGAUUUAUAUCAUCAAUAAAAUUACUAUUUUUUAUUAAAAAUUAAUUUAUUCACUUUAAAACCUCUUUAAUUUUGUUUGGAAACACAUACUUGAGGUUGAGGAAAAUUUAAAGGGAUGUCAUUUAACUCUUAGUAUGUAUUUAAUAAUGUAGUGCAAGUGAUUUAGAAUUUUAUUUAAAUUAAAAUUUUAUUUAUAUUAAAAAUAUCUAAAAAUAAUAUCAAGUUAAAUAACGUCCAAAUAUACUUUGAAAAGUAUUAUUAAGCAUAAUGUAAACAUAUUGUCAUGUUAUUAAUUGUCCCCACCAAUACAAUUUAUUUAAUAAUUUUAAUUAUACUUAACAUAAAUAAAUCUUGAUUUGAAAUGGUUAAAGUGUAUAUUAUUAAAGAACCAAACACAAACAUAAAUAAUUGUUUCACUAACCAUGAAAAUUGAUAUAAAACAAUAUUGUUUUUCUUUUAUUGUGUAUCUACAAAGUCUUCCACAAAAGAAACCACAUGAAUUGGUUAAUCACCUCGCUAUUAUAGAAAAGUGUCAAAUACGGAGAAUUCCACUCACCCCAUUUCUAAAAUUAAAAAAUAAAUAAUAAAUAAUAAAUAAAAAUAACUACUUAUAAACGAAAAAAAAACAUGUAAACCUCAUCUAAUUUUGUGAGUUGAUUUGAAAAACCCAAGAUCUAAAGUCUGACUCGAGUUAAUUUUUAUUUAAAUCAAAUAAUAUAUUGACUCGGGUUAGUUUUUUUUAUUCUGUGUUGAUUUCCCUCCAAGAAACUCAAUAACACAACCCCAUGCUAUAUUUUUUUUUCACCUUCUCAAUCGAUCACAAAACUUCAAAUCGUCACAAAUCAAUCACUAUUAAUCUCCCUCCAUGAAACUCAAUUUAAGAUGAAUGUAGUUUGAAUUUGAAAAGCUAAUACAUUAAAUUUUUUAAUUUACUGUUUUUUGAAUUGUGAAAAUUAAUCAAGUGGAUUUAGCUAUAAAAAGCUAAAAAAAUCUCAUAGGUUUUGCCGGUUUUUGUAAAAAAAAAAUCAAAUCAAAGUAAAUAGUUUGAAUUAGUUUUUAAUUUGGUCCAGUUCCGAAUAUGUUAAAAAAAUGGUUUAAUUAUUUUUUUAAUUAAAAAUCAAACUGAAAAUGAGAGCAGAGCAAUUCUUCAAAAACAAAGUCUCAAGUUUGAGGACUGAAUUAUCUUGGCUUAACGGACCCAAAAAAAUCUACGAUUAUGAUAUCAUGUUUAAAAAUCAAGAUUACUGAAUCGAGUGCACUUAUAUAAUCCAGUUCGUGUAUGAUGGUGUUUGGAUAUGCUGGUGCGGCUGCGGUUAAAAAAAAAGCAGUGUCACACAUGUUUGGUUAACCACGAACCACAGUUUGUUUUUAUGUGGGUCCCAGUUAAAACUGCGGUUCAAUUGCAAAAAAUGAAAAGCAAUUACACAUUGCUUUUCAUGCGUUUCUCCUCUCUCUUAUCACCGAUAAUUUUACAAUUACUUUCUCAACUGUCCUUUAUCCCUCUUUCAAUUUCCCAACGGUUACAAAAAAACCCAACAAAUUGAUGGUGGAAGGUUGUUGUAGAUCAAUAACGUCCAGUUUCAACAUUUUCCUAAACUGUUCCUUCAUGCAUUUCACAUCUCUCUCACCACCGAAACUUUCCCAGUAACCACUGUCAAUUACAGUCCUCGCAACCUCACAAUUUUUUUUCUUGUUUCGGUUGCAGAUCAAUGUAUAAUUGAUGAACUAAAACCCCAAUUUCCUUCCCCAAACUGUUCUCCUCUCUCUUCUCUUGCUACAACCCCAUUUCUAUUUUGCCCUAAAACCACCAACCCCGGAGCAAGCUUCUUCCCCUCUGUCCAUUCUUUCCAAACGAAGAUCGAAAACACAAACCUUCACCGAUCUGUCCCUCCACUGUUACAAUUGCAGAAAACCCCCAAGAAAUUCGUGCUGGAAAAGGUCCACGAUCGAGAUACCAGUAACUACUGUGCGUUCCCCUUGUCAAUUUUGUUUCACAUAUUGCUCAAAAUCUAAUUUCUGUAAUGGGUCUCUAUUGUUGUUGUUUUUGCAGAACAAAGCUGCAACACCGUGGUUGUUUGCAGAACAAAGACAGAGACUGAGGUCAGUUCAGCACCGUGUUAAUUGUUGAAUUGAUCUACAAAUUUCAUUGUUGUUGCUGCUUGUGUUCUAUUUAUUACUGUGCCUUCAUCAAAUUUUUUGAAUUUAUAGCAAAUUUCAUUGCUUCUUCCGCUUGUCCUCUGCUUUGCAUGUGUUUUUAAUUUUUUUCUACUUGAAAACCUGCAUUUCUGUGAUGCUUCUGUGUACUGUGUUACCCAUGUUAAUUUUGUAGUAAUUGUAGCUCAAAAUCUAUUUUAUCUUCUGGGUCUCCAUUGUAUCUGUUUGCAGGACAAAGCUGCAGAACCGUGCUGGUUUGGACACCUAAAGAGAUAGACUGAGGUAAGUUCCUGCCUUAUCUCCAUCUUCAUUUUCAAUUGUUUAGAUGAAAAAUUGCAUGUCUGUGUACCUGCAUGAUCAAUUACUGUGUGUUCUGCAAUUGAUAAAUUCCAUAGCUGUUGCUGAUUGUCUUUUGUUUAAUGUGCCUUCAUCAUUUGUUUUGAAUUUAAAAGAGUUUAAUUGCUUCCAUAUACUGCUUGUAUGCUGUUCUUUGUUCUGGUUUUGUUUUUUUAUAUAUACUGGAUUAUUUGCUUACUGGAAACAAUGUGAUGCUUUGAAAUUUCAUUUAUUUGUUGUUCUUCAUGGUCUGAUGUGUGUUUAUUGUAAUCGUAAUGAGUGCCCUGUUAGCAUGUCGUGUAGGAUUCUUUUAUUUCUACUUGUGCAGUCAAAGUCAGAAUUUUGAGUUUCCUUUUUUUGUGUUUGCAUGUUGCGAAAGAAAGUUGGGUUUCUUUGAAUGUAGAAAUAGAUUCUGUUCUAUUUGUUUUUUUCCCUCUGUUUUUAGCUUCCAAACAGCAAGAUGGCAAUGAAGUGUUGCUUGAUAAUUCAAAAAUUAUCUCAUGGCUGAAACUGAGUUUUCUGAACAGUUGAAAUUAAUGGGUUUCAAUUAGUUUUCAUUACAAAUUAACAUGAACAUUCUCAUUCAAAUACAUGCAUGGUUAAUGUUUGUUGCUAACCACACAGCUUUUGUAAAUGCUGAACAUUGAGUGUUUUAUUAGUGUUUAAAAGUCCACGGUUUAUGUAUGUGCCACAAUGUAAUUCAUAUCAUUUAUUGAUUUCAAACUUUUGUUAAAUAUGUUAAAAGAUAUCAUGAAAGGUCUUGAAUCUUUUGAUAAGGCUGCUUGGACAAAGGAAAUGUUGCAUAUAUUUUGUGAUAUAUGCAUUAAGGCAAUUGAUAUGGGAAUGAGACCUAAUACUCAUUUCGAUAAAACGAGGUGGAAAUUCUUAUAACAUCAUUCAAAGAAUAAACUGGCCAUGCAUUCACUAAAACACAGUUGAAAAACAAAUGGGAUGGAUGCAAAAAGGAUUGGAGGAUAUGGAAUAAGCUGGUUUCUGAAACUGGUGUUGGUUGGAAUAGUGAGUUAGGCACAAUUGCAGCUAGCGAUGAGUGGUGGAAACAAAAAAUUCAGGUACAUUCCUUGUCAUCCUAACAAUUUCUUUUAUUGUUGUCAAAUUCCAACCCCAAAAUUUUAGUAGUCUGAUCCUUCAUUACUUGAUUUAAUUUAUAUGCAGGAAAUUAGAGGAGCCAAAAAAUUCAGACAUGUCGGUAUUGAGCCGUCUUUGAAGAAUAAAUUUGACCGAAUGUAUUCCAACAUUAUCGCAACUGGAGCGUAUGCAUAGGCUCCUUCAUCAGGUGUACCUAUUGGUAGUGAUGUCGAUCCUGGUACAAGCAAUGCCGACAUUGGGUAUGAUGGUUUGUAAGAGGGCAGCGGGGAUUCGGAGGAAGAUGUGAUUCCAGAUUUCCAGACUGACAUGGCUCGAAUGGUUGGAGGGAUAAAUAUGUCUAGCAGCAGCAACACAAAAAGCGAUGGCAAAAGAAAAGAACGAGAUCAUUAUGAUGUGCGAGGUGGAAAGAAGAAAACAGCUGGAAUUGGUGUUCAGCUGCUGUCAAGGUGUAAUCAUCUACUUGAGAGUAUGUCGACCAAGAGUGAUUCGACUUCUUUGAAUAUGGAUCGCGAAGGUUGUAGUAUUCGCGAGGUGAUGGCUGAGCUGCACUCAAUUCCUGGAGUUUCAAUUGAAGAUGAGUUUCAUGACUUCGCUACGGAGUAUCUCAAUUUAAGAAGGAAAAGAGAAAUGUGGGCCAGUAUGGGUGAUAAGCAACAGAAGUUGAGAUGGUUGCAACGAAUGUAUGCACGAACUAAACGUGCUUAGCUGACAUGGUAUGAUUUAAGUUUCUUAACUGUUAAUCAAUUAACUAUGUUCAAGUGCUUACGAUAUUUGUACAUGUUUAUUUUUUUGUUGCAGAGUAAUGGGAUGCUGGUUCUUAAAAGAGUAGUUUCCAUUUACCGAAGUUUGUCCGAGACAUUGUAUUAUUCCACAUUUCAUGUUAAGACAUAUGAGCAUAUCCGUUUGCGGUAAUUUAUGUACUGUUAUAUUUAUUAAACUGCUUUUCAGGAGUUAACAGACUUGUAUGAGAAAUUGCUGGUUGUUAAUGUUGUAUUUUAUCUACGAAUUACAAUGUUCAAUGGUUAAUGUUAAAUGGUUGACCCUUUAAUGGAAUUGGUUGUUAAUUUACCUUAACUGUUUUGUUCCCUGUAUUUUUUUGUUUGCUGCCGUGAGGUUUGAUGGGAAUAAUAAUACAUGUUGCUGGUAUUUCUUUCCUUAGCUAUAAUUUUUUCCAUUGGUUAGCUACUGUGAGAUUGACAUGCUGCUGGUGAUUCUUUCCUUGGCUGUAUUUGUUUCCAUUGGGUAGCUACUGUGAGCUUGUGAUGUCUGAAAAGAAACCCCUUUUGCAGUUGACUGUUGCUGUUUUUUUCUUUACUGCCGUGAGGUCUGAUGGGACUAAUAAUACAUGCUGCUGUGUUUCUUUCCUUAGCUGUAAUUUUUUCCAUUGGUUAGCUACUGUGAGAUUGACAUGCUGCUGGUGAUUCUUUCCUUGGUUGUAUUUGUUUCCAUUGGGUAGCUACUGUGAGCUUGUGAUGUCUGAAAAAAAACCCCUUUUGCAGUUUACUGUUGCUGUUUUUUUCUUUGCUGCCGUGAGGUCUGAUGGGACUAAUGCUGUUGGUGUUUCUUCCUUUUCUGAAAGCUUGGUCUUGCUGCUGGUUUUUAACUUUUAACUCUGUUUUUAUUCCUUUUAACUCUGGUUUGAAAGACUACAUGUCAGGAUGGUGUACAUAUAUGAGCUGUAAAAGUAACAUUAUAUGCUACUUUUACAGCAUAUACAUACAUGUGAAUGUAUUUAUGUUGAAAGCUUAAAAAUUGUAAAAUAGACGUAAAGAGCAUUGAAAUUUUUCUAUAUAAAGAGGAAUGUUUGCAUCAUAUUUUUCACUGAACUAGCUUUCUUCAUAACAAACUUCUCAAACCUCUCAAUUACAUUUUAUACAAGCAAGUAGAAUACUCCUUUUUUGUUGGGUUUACAGGUAUGGAAAAAACUUAUGUUGCACCAACUCUUUGAUAGUUUUUUUAUUGAAUGAUAUUUAAUUAUUUAAAGUUUUUUAUUAACAACAUAUUUUUUUUUCUUGUUUACAUGUAAUUGAAGUUAUGGAUGAUCCACGAUUUAAUGACAUAUUUAAUGAAGAUUUCGAUGGUAAUUAUGAUAAUGUAAUGAACCGCAUUGUAGACCAAAUUAAUUAUCCUAGUUAUGAAGGUAGUGGUGCUUCAGUUGAUGGUGCCGGAGAUGAUAGUAAUGGAAACGACUCCGACGACAGUAAUGACGAUGAUGAUGAUGACGACGACGUUGACGAUGACAGUGAUGGUGACGAUGCAUUUAUUAUAAGGAGGCAUUUUGAUAGGAAAAAAUUAAUUAUAUGCACAGCUGGAGCUAUAAACAUGUAUUAUAUUAAUUAUAUGUAUAAAGAACCAUGUAUGGUUUCCUAUAACACAGGGAUGUGUUGGUUGUCGGAGGUUUUAAGAGGUCAUUGGAAACGAAGUGUUAACAUGUUCAGGAUGGACGCAACCACUUUGUUGAGUUUGUGAACCGAAUUAGAAACGCAACAUGGCUUAAAACCGUCAAGAAGAAUGAGCGUUAUUGAAAAGGUGGCAAUGUUUCUAUUUACAAUAGCAGUUGGGGUGUCAAAUAGACAAGUGCAAGAAAGAUUCCAGCAUUCAAGUGAAACUAUUAGUAGAUGUUUUAAAGAAGUGCUUAAAUCAUUAUGUUUGUUUGCUGUGGAAGUCAUAAAACCAGUAGAUCCACAAUUUACGAGCACACCAAGAGAAAUUGCUAUGAAUCCAAGAUUUAUGCCACAUUUCAAGGUAAGAUGAAUUUUUUAUAUAUAAUUAAGUAGUUUAAUUAAGUUGUUCAGAGGAGUAUGAAAUAUGUUAUAAAUGUUUAUGAGUAUUAUAAAUGUUUUCGUGGCAUGUAGAAUUGUGUCGGUGCAAUUGAUGGAACACAUGUUCGUGCCUGCAUACCAUCUGCAAAUCAAAUUCCAUUUAUUGGAAGAAAAGGUGUACCAACACAAAAUAUCAUGGCCGCUUGUAGUUUCGACAUGCAAUUCAUGUUCGUGUGGGCAGGAUGGGAAGACAGUACACACGAUACGCGUAUUUUUCUUGAGGCUAUUGACAAUAGCAAUAUCAAAUUUCCAAAACCUCCGGAAGGUUGUGAUUUUGACUAAAUUGAAGAUUUGGUAAUUGAAGGAAUAUAAUUUUUUUCCAGUUUUGUUUAAAAUUACCAUGUUGUUAUUUUUUGCAGGAAAAUACUAUUUGGUUGAUGCUGAAUAUCCAAACAAGUAUGGGUAUUUGGGUCCCUACAAAGGCGAGAGGUAUCACUUCCAAGAAUUUAGGCGUCGUGGACAACCAAGUAGUCGGAAAGAAGUGUUUAAUCGUGCACACUUGUCACUACGUAACGUGAUCGAACGUUGUUUUGGGGUAUGGAAACAGAGGUGGAAAAUUUUGCAAAACAUGCCUGCUUAUCCAUACAAGACACAAGUUGAGAUUGUAGUUGCAUCAAUGGCACUACAUAACUAUAUUAGAAGGAGUUCGCAAGAUGAUGCAGUUUUUUCUGAGUAUGAUCGCAACCCCAAUUUAAUUCCAGAUGACUUUUUACCUGAUAUUGUUCAGGCUUCGGCCGUUCAAGGCUCACAGAGGCCUUCACGUAUGGAUUUUAUACGCGAUGAAAUUGUAAAUAGUUUAAUGGAACAAUAAAGGAGUACAUUAAUGUAUAAGAAUUUUUCAUUUUGUUAUGUAAUCAUAAUUACAAAACACCUAUGUUUUGGAAUUAUAUAUAUGUGUUUAUAUAUGUCCUUUUAAUUAAUUCAAAUCAAAUAUAAAAUACAAAGCAUAUUAACCAAACACAAGAAAGUAUUUUUUUUAACCACAGUUUUACCAAACACAAAACUGCUUUUUUUUUACCACAAUUUCAACCACAGUGUUUUAACUAAACACAAAAAACUGUUUUUUUUUUAAACCACAACUUCAACCACAGUUUUAACCAAACUUCAAUUUUUUUUAAAAUCAACCUCACAAAAAGCACUUUUUAUUAAACUGCUUUUUUCACACCACAACCACAAAAGCUACCACAAUACCAAACACGCUCUAUGUAUGAGAGUAUAGUUGCGGUUACUUUUCAAAGUAUUUUUCAUUCAAAAAUAUAUUAAAAUAAUAAUUUUUUAUUUUAAAAAAAUUAUUUUUGAUAUCAGCACAUCAAAACGAUAAAAAAAAUUAAAUAAUAUUAAUUUAAAAAAAAAAUUCAAAAUUUUUGCCAGCUCACGUUCCCAAACUAAACUGUAAUCCUUACACGUGUCGACCUCUUAGUAUAUCCCUCCAGUCUACUAAAUUCAAAAACUGAAACUAUAGAAACACUAAAGAUUUCACAUGAAAACAUUUAGUGGGCCACCACCAUGUGGGAUGGUUGGUGACGUUAAUUUUGGUCUCCUUCAAAAAACGCAACCCCACUUGAGCCAAACACGUCACUGAGGAGCAGUUCGCUUCACAUCAGCCUUGAGUUUUUCCUUUUUCUUUUCGGACUACUGUACUCACCCAGAAUUUGGACAUGUCAUGUUUAUUUUAAGGAUAAUAUAUAUAUAUAUAUAUAUAUAUAUAUAUGUUUCUUUUCUAUGGCUAAUUUAGAUAUAUUUGAUAAUCUUCUCCAUAUGAUAAUUGAGAUUAGUUCAUGGCUAAUUUGGAUACAAGAAGUAAUCUCAAUUAUAUUAAUUUGAGAUUAGUUGGAUUUGGUGGUCAUGAGUAACAAUCUUCUUACCCAUUAUUAUGUUAAAAGGAUACACGCUCGCAUAUAUAUAUUAGAUAAUUUAAUAAAAAAAACAUAUUAAGCAAACAGGAGAAGAAAGAUAUAUAAUAAAGGCUAUAAUUUAUAUACAAAAUUUACAUUUUGUAAAAAUAAUACUCCCUUGCUUCUUAAAAACUUUUUUUUUAUUUCCAAUUUCCAAGUUAAAUAUAAUUAAUUUUAUUUUUUCUACAUCGUUAAUAUCAUUGUUUAUGCAAUCAUCCAUCUUUCAUGAAAUUAAAAAUAUUUAGCAUUUGGUUAUUAUUCUGAGACAGAAAAAACAAAGAUAGUAAAAAUAGAAAAAAUAAAAUAAAAAAGGAGAACAAAUAUAAAAUUUUGUAUAGCAAUAGUGUACAAGAUAAAUUGAUUGUCUCUUUAUCUUGUUUGGUUAUGAUAAACAAUAAAAAUAAUUAUUAUACCCUUAAUAUAUAUAUAUUAUUGUCAAACUUACAUAUUUAAAAAAAAUUAGAUAUUAUUUUUGUUUUUCUUUAGUUUAUAUUGAGUGUUGAAAUUAAUAAUUUUAUAAUAACUCUUCUAGUUAUAAAAUCGGGAUCGGCCCAGUAGGUCGACUCAAUACCUGAUCGACUUAAGGCCUAGACCAGCCUAAUUUAAAAAAAUAGAGGAAAGAUUGACCCGAACUAUCCUGGUCAAAACCAGAGUUGACUAGAGAUAAAACACAAUUCAAAAACCUAUUGAAUUUUUUGGAAUUUGUUUUUGUUGAAAUGAGGUCGCUUUGAUUUUUUUUGUUAAAAUAAAAUUUGGGUCAACCCGAAUUGACUCUCCUAACUCGUGACCUAGUCCUUACCCCGGGUCAACUCUCGAGUCAAGGUUUAAAAAUAUGAUAGUAAUCACCUUUACUCAUUCAUUAACUCAGGUCAACCUGGAUUAACCCUCCCGACCUGUAACUCGGGUCUUGCUCCAAAUUAACCUCUAAGUUGGGUUUUAAAACUAUGAUAAUAACUACUUUUAUCCUUAUGUUAACCCUCUCAGGCCUUGUUCGGUUUCAACCUCCAAGUUGGGUUUUUAAAUUAUAAUAAUAACUAUUUUUAUUUUAAUAUUGACCUUCUCAGGCCUUGUGCUGUUUCAAUCUCCAAGUUGAGUUUUUAAAUUAUAAUAAUAAUUAUUUUUAUCAUUAUAUUGAUUUAAGUCAACGUUCAACCCAACCUGUGAACUAGGUCUUGUCUUGGAUCAACUCUCGAGUCAAGAUUUAAAAAUAUGAUAGUAAUCAUGUUUACCCAUACAUUAACUCAAGUUAACCCGAGUUAAUCCUCCCGACCAGUAACUCGGGUCUUGCCCUAGAUCAAUCUUCGAGUCAAAUUUAAAAACUAUGAUAAUAAUCACUUUUUAUCCUUAUGUUAACCCUCACAGGCUUUGUUCUGUGUCAACCUUCAAGUUGGGUUUUUAAACUAUAAUAAUAAUAAUUAUUAUUUUUAUGUUGAUCUAGGUCAACCUAGCCCGUGACCUAGACUUUAUUCCUAGUUGGAUUUAAAAAUUAUGAUAAUAAGUAUUUUUAUUUUUAUUUUUAUUUUGAUAUAAGUCAACCCAAGUUGACUCUCUUGACUCGUGACCCGAGUCUUGUUCCAGACCGACCCUCAAAUUAGGUUUAAAAUCAUAAUAAUAACUAUUUUUAUCCUUACAUGUCUUAGUUAUAAUAAUUUCAGAAUUGAGAGUUUCUUAUAAUAUUUUAAAAAUAAAAAAUAUUGUUUUUUUAGACAUGUCAACCUUUAUUUUUUAAAUCAAUAAAUUUACUCUAAAAUUAUUUCAGAACAUAUUUACUUUUAUAUUUGUGUCUAUAUCUCUUCAACUAAAUAUAUUUUAUAUUUACUAGGAAUGUUCAUGAUCUGAUUCAAUUUAUUUUGAGCUUAAAAUCCAACUAAACUGGGAUUUAUAAUUUCUUAAAAAUAUGACCAGAUCAAACUAAAAAUAAUUCGGUUCGGUUCGGUUAAAGUUGGUUUUUUUAACAUUAAAAACCACAUAAAAAUCAGAAAUCAAACACUUGGAUAAAGCCUGCAAAAUGUAAAAGGGAUAGUUUGGUGUUAACAGUAAGGAUAAUCAAAGAAAAAAGAAUAAAGCCUACAAGUUUGAAUGCUUCUGAUAUCAUAUUGUUUUCUCUUGGGUUUGUUUUAUCUGGGUGGUUGAGCAGAGUGGAGAGGGAGCGAGGCUUGUUUUUGGGGCUUUAGCGUCUAAGAUUAUAGAGACACAGAGGGAGAGUGGCUACGGGAAGAAAGGAAAUUAGCGGAAUAGGGUUUCAGAUAAAAAUAAGCUUUUUAUAUCUGAGUUUGGUUUACAGCAUCUUUCCAAACCGCGUUACCUUAUAUUUUUAAAUUGUUUUAAUUAAAAUUUAAUAUUUUUUUAUAUUUUUAAUAUGUUAAUUUUAAAAAUAAUUUUUAAAAAAUAAAAAAAUUAUUAUUUUUAUGUAUUUGCAAGAAAAAAGCACUUUCAACCGUAACCGUUACCACAAUCCCAAACAGGCCGUGUAUUUGGAAACACGGUGUAAAUCGUGUUUUCAAAAAUUUUGAUUUUUUUUAUUUAAAAUAAAUUUUUUAUAAUGAAAAAAUUUUAUUUUGAUGUAUUUCUAAGCGAAAAACACUUUGAAUCGUCACCACUACCACAAUCUCAAACAGAGCCUUAGAAGGUAAAAACCACAGUUAUGAUAUUCAUCAUAGUUUGACAAGUUAACCCAGGACCUAGACAACCAAAGGCCUCGGUCGAGUCUCAAACCAUAAAAACACAAAGGUUCGAUUGGUUUGGUCAAAUUUGGAUGACCCGUCAGGUUAACCCAAAACUUUUGUGACUUGGUGUAAUCCGGGUGAAACUUUACUUUUUUCUUAAUUUUCUUUUAAUAAACCUAAAAAAUAUAAAAUUAAUUUAUGAAUACUUAACCUUGUAUUUUUUUUAGAGUCCAUAUCCAUUUGGACUGUUUCUUAACUUUUCAACGUGGGAUAUAACUAUAUUACACUUUAUGCCUCAUAUUUUUUUUAUAGCCAACAUUAACAUGGAUUGUUUCUUAAUUUUUCGAUGUGGAGCAACUAUAUAUAACUUACAUCCAUAUAAAUUGAUUUUAAGUUUUAAAUAUAGGAUAACUAUACUACAUUUUAUAUUUUUUUCUAUAGUUUACAUCAUUGUUUCUUAACCUUUUAUUUGGAAUAACCAUAUUAUAUUUCAUACCUUAUAGUUUAUAUCCACAUGUAUUGUUUCAAAACUUUAAAUAUACUUUUAUAAAAGCAUAUAUUCUGUGUUAUCAAAUACAUAUUUAAAUAACAAGGUAGAUAAAAUAAGAUCCAUAUUAAACAAACAAAAGAAGGAAGAUAUAUAAUAAAAGCUUUAAUUUUUAUAAAAAAAUCCACAUUUUGUAAAAUAAUAUUCCCUUGCUUCUUAAAAUCUUUUUUUUACUCCUAAGUUAAAUAUAAUUAAUUUUAUUUUUUCUAUAUAGUUUAUGUAGUUGUUGUAAGAUCGCACAUAUGCAAAUCAUCCAUCUUCGGUGAAACUAAAAUCAUUUUUGGGUUAGUCGAGGUGCGCGCAAGCUGGCCCGGACACCCACAUUAAAGUAAAAAAAAAAAAUCAUUUUUGGGAAACUAUAUUUUCAAGCAAGUCUCUCUCCUACUUACUAUAUCAAUAUUACCUUUCGCGUUUAAAAAAAUGUGUUUGAUAUCUUCCUUCUUUCACUUGGACAUUAAAUUGCAUAUGCAACCCAUGCAUGUCUAUUCUUUCUCGGUUUCUUUAAUUUAGUUAUUGGUAGUGCCAAAUAAAUGCAUUUCUUGUUGAUUAUAUAUAAAAUGAUGAAUACAAUGUUUGACAUUGUGUUUGAAAGUGUUUUGUUUUUUCAAUUCGGUGUAUUUUUAACUAAAACGGUUCGGUUCGGUUGAGGUUUUUCUAUUUCAAACUUAUGAAACCGAAACCGAAUCGAACCAAAUAUUUUUUUAAAUAUUUUAAUCGGUUUAAUCGGUUUUUUUUCAUGAUUCAGUUUUUUCGAUUAUUUUUUUAAAUUUUUCUUGGUUUAAUCGAUUUAAUAGUUUUUUGCUUGAAAAAACAUCAAAAUAAAUUUUUUUAUUUUUUAAAAUUUAAUUUUUUACACCAGUACAUCAAAACGAUUUAAGAACAUAAAAAAAAUUAAUUUUAAACAAAAACUUUAAAUUUUAACAAAAAAACAAAGCAUUGAAAUUAAAUAUGUUUUUCAUUAAAAUUAAUUUUUAAAAACAUGUUGGGACUUAAAAACACUAAUUUUAUAUUAAAAAAACAUUAGAAUUCAAUCUAAACGAGCUUCUAUAAAAACAUCUAUAUACCGUAUUAAAAAAUACAUAUUUAAAUAAUAAGGUAAAUAAAAUAGGUCUAAUCUUAUAAAAAAAAUAGAAAAAAACAUAUUAUAUAAAUUUCUCAUUACAUCAUUUAGACCUAUUAUUCAAACUAAAUUAAGUUAUAGAUGAGUUUGAAGUUGUUAUUCUAAGUUAGUAUUUUAUAAAUUCAUAAAUUAAAUUUAAGAUGUGUCAAAUUUAUGGAGUGUUCGGAAGUAUAAUAGCAAUUAUUUUUUAAAGUGAUUUUUGAUUAGAAAUAUAUUAAAACAUUAUAUAUAUAUAUUUUAAAAAAAUUAUUUUUGACAUUAACAAAUUAAAACAAUAAAAAAUAUAAAAAAUAAUUUUAAAUAAAAUAAAUCAAAUUUUAAUUAAACACAAUUUGAAGCACAAUUCCAAACUACAACUUAGUUAUUAUUAACUAAACCAUUAAAGCCCAAGUGAAAAAAAAAAGAAAAAAGAAAAAUGGAGUGUAAUUGAUACACAUGAGUUUUAUGUGUGAUUUUAACCGAGCAAAUUUAACAUCAAAGCAAGGAGGAAGAGAUGAGCACAUUUUUAUGUGUUAAGAACACACGGCACAGAACAAUGGUUAGGAGAAUGACCUAAUUGAAAUAUACCCAAUAGUUAGAGGGCGUAAUUGUAGUUUCCCCAAUCAAUUUUUUUUUAAAUAGACAAACCCUAUCUACUGUAAGAAUCACACGUGCGCCACACGUGCUGGAGGCGCUGGUCCCCUCUUUGUCUUCAAAAAUUCAAAAUCUCCUACACAACAUGAGUCCUAAGUCCUUCAUAUUUACUCAACUCUAACUCUUGUCUCUCUGUCUCCUCCACUUCACUCUCUCUCUCUCUAUUUUUUUUUUAUUUUGUAACAUUACUAAAAGUGAUUUGGUUCUAAUAAUCUUCUUAAUUGCUUCCGUUUCUCUCUCUAAACCAAAACGUUUCAAUUUGAAUUUCUUUUUCUUAUUUCGCCCAGAGAAAGCAAAAAGGGGGCAAAUAAAUCAAGAAUCUCUCUCUUUAUAGAAAUACAGAAACGGAGAGAGGGAGAGGUAGUGUGUGAUAUGAACAACGGAAUGGGAAGGCAGAGAUCUCAUCAUCAAAGACAGUACUCAUCUUCUGAUAACAACAGCAACAGCAACGGCAACGGAAUGUUUCUGGAAAAUGGGAGAUGGCUUCAAUCUGCUGGUCUUCAGCACCUUCAAAAUAACAACUCUUCCUCCUCCUCUUCCUCCUCUUUAAUUCCUCCUCUUCAGGUUUUAUUCCUUUCCCCUGAUCUUUUAAUUUCUUCUUCUUCUUCUUCUUUUUAUACUUUUCCCAUUUUGCUUUGAGUCUACUCUCUUUGUUUGCUUCCUCAUAAAACAACGGGGCUAGUACAAAUUUUGAAUCUUGGAGUGUUUCGUGAAAUGUUAUUGGUUUCUUAAGGAUUUUCUUUUUUCUUUUUCUAUAUAUAUAUAUUUGCUUUAGAUCGGGAGUUGACUAUAAUGGGUGUUCGAUGGAAUGGAAAAUACAGAUCUGGUCCUUUUGAUGCCCUUGAUAAUGCAAGUAAAGUAAAGAGAACAUGAGUAAAACUGAACAUAACUUCUUUUUUCUUUUUCUUUUUUAACAAAAUGGUGAUUUUCCUUUAUUGGGUGCUGCUGUGUCUCAACAAUGGUGGAACUGGAUGCAGGACUAUAAUCUCUAUGGUGGUGGAGGAGGAGGGCAGGCAUUGAGAAUGUAUGGGAAUGCGCAAAGCAGUUUUAGUAGGGGAAAUGAGUUUUAUUCGGAGCCAACAACACCUCCUGUUAGUUCAAGAGCUUCGAGCCAGAGGAAGAACGGGGAGGACUCACCAAAUGAGUUCAGUCCUGGGCUCUUAGAUCUGCAUUCUUUUGACACUGAGUUGCUUCCCGAGGUGGGUAACCUGUCAUUUUCUAGUGAUUCAGUAAUGCGGUUUUGGAUGUUUGAGUGAGUGUACGUUAAUGGGGCAUCCAACAAUUGCAUCUAUCCAUCUUCCAAUCAAUUAAACUUCUACUUUUUCCAUUUUUUUUUCUUUUUUACCAAUAUGGAAUGAAUUUGAGCUUGAAUAUUUGCACUAGUAUUGAACUCUUCUGUUUCAAGAAUCGAUGUUCUAGCUACUUUCAAAUUUAUAAGUGCUUCUAAACGAUAUUCUGAUUUUUGGGCUCGGUGGCUAAUGAAGAACAUCUUGUCUUGCAUCUAAUAAAAGAUUUUUAAAUCCCAAGCCCUUAUGACUCUUUUGUGCAUAUUUGGAUUUGGAAAACAUUUCUUGAAAAAUAGAGAAGAGCUUUACGUUUUUGAAACCAGUUCCAUUCAUAACCGAACACUUGCAUUACAUGGAUUUUGUGAUUUUCCAAAAAUUGAAAAUACAAUUAAAGAAUGAAAAGGUGAAUCUUCUUUAUUUUGUUGACAUGCGCACAAACUUUUCAAAAGAAGUUGAAGGUAGUAUACAUGUCGUUGCAUCAAGAAACAAUGAUAAUAUAGUGCCGGCUCUUUAGCACUCCAUUACAUUCACACAAUACGCUUUGCUCCUUAGUCUUGAAUAAAUGAUUUGGGAUUUCACAAUGCAGUUUGGUGCUAUGACUUUUUGUCCAUUUUUAUGCUAAGCUUUCUGUAUUUCAUGGUUAGUUGCAAGUUCCAGGCUUGUAUGAUGGUUCUUCUCUUUUUCAUCCUGUUCGAGGAAGAAGCUUUGAUGAUUCUUACCCUUACAUUUCAAACAAUAAACAAACUGGCAGAGCUCCUGGCUUGCCUGAUAACAACCUCCUGAAAAGCUUUGUUGCAGACAAAGAGAAGACAAGUUCUGUUGCAAAGAUCAAAGUAGUGGUAUGUUUCUUUUUUUGUGUUGUUUCGUUUACCUGUAUUUGUUGACAUCUCCCCUCUGUCUUAAAUACAAUGCUUACCAGGUUAGCCAUUGUUGGCAGCUUUGUGAACCUUGAUAAUUCUCUCCGCAUUUCAUUUAUAGAGGAACUUGAUUUACUGGCAAUGUUAAUAAUGUUUCUUCUUAAUGCAGCAUCUGACUUGCUUGUAAGAAUGUCUUUAAACAUUAAUAUUGUUAUGACAAGUGAUGUUUUCUAAUGCAGGUGCGCAAGAGACCAUUGAAUAAAAAGGAACUGGCAAAAAAUGAAGAAGAUAUUGUAGACACACACUCCAAUUCUCUGACAGUUCACGAGACUAAACUUAAGGUAACUGUUAUAACACUUUUGAAGAAGUCAGAUAAAUAAUUAGGUCAAAUCACUGACAGCUGAUCAAGGAUCUUUGUCUCCCAAUUGGUCCUUGACAAUAUAAAAUGAAUUAACACAGGAUGAAGUUCAUCAAACAAAAUAGUUGGGCCAAAUUCAUCAAUGAAGACAUUUAGGAGUAGAUAUUAGAUACAUAAAACAAGAAGAAAAGAGUUUCAAAUGCAAUCUUAAUGGCCACAGUUCUCCUAAUGAUUAUUUUAGCCUUAUCUAUAAGAACCUUGAUUUGUCCAUUUUUUGUUCAAUUUGAUGCUUUGCUCUCCCCUGUUGUUUAUUGAUAUUUCAAUUAAUAAUUCUAUGAUUUGUAGAGUUUUUUCCUAUGAUAAGUGUCUUGGUAGUAAUUCUGGAUAUCAAUAUUCAACAGGUUGACCUAACAGAAUACGUUGAGAAGCAUGAAUUUGUCUUUGAUGCAGUGCUCAAUGAGGAGGUCUCGAAUGAUGAAGUGAGGAAAAUUCUCUUCAUAAUGAACUAAUGAAUUUCAUAAUAAUGCUAGUGUUCUCAUAGCUUAUGCGGGAUUUACUUAAUCUCUUUAGGUUUAUCAUGAGACAGUGGAGCCCAUAGUUCCAAUAAUUUUUCAACGGACCAAAGCAACUUGCUUUGCAUAUGGGCAAACAGGUGAAUUGAUGUCUCUGAAAUAUAAGAUGGAUGCUUUUACACGCUUGCUUUUGGACACAUCUUUUUUUUGUUGUUGUUGAAUCUAGCGAAUUCUAAUAUAAUAAUUCUUUGUUGUUGUGUUCUUUUUCUACAUUUUUAUAACUUUUCUUGGCAAGUUUAUUCCAUAAUCCUGUGAUUUUGUACUGUGGAUUAAUGUUUUUUGUACUUGCUCUUGAAUUACCUAACUUUGAUAUGUUUUGUGCCUUCUCUUUAUCACAAUGCUUGAUGACUUGAUGGAUAAACAAUUUGGACUUUAUCAUUAUGUAUUUUCUUUUGUUGCUUUAUGCAUUUUCAUUUUGUAUGGCCUGCUCACAUCACAGUGAUUUGCUCUAAAAUUAUUAAAAUCAAAAUUCACAAAUUUUGUUUGCACCUGCUAGUUUAUAACGUCUUCCUCCCAUGUUGGUGAGAACCCCAUAUCAUUUAACACAACUACAUUGUUUCUGUAAAACCAGCUUACCUGUUUUUUUUUCCCUUCAUUCAGGGAGCGGAAAAACCUAUACUAUGAAGCCUUUGCCCCUUAAAGCAUCUCGAGAUAUCUUGAGGUUGAUGCAUCAUACUUACAGGAACCAAGGGUUUCAGCUAUUUGUGAGCUUCUUUGAAAUUUACGGAGGAAAACUAUAUGAUCUUCUAAGUGAUCGGAAGUUAGUUGACCUGCCCUUUCCUUUUCUUUUACAUACUUUUCACUUUCUGAAUUUGCUUAAAUUUGAGACGUCUCUUUGUGCAGAAAACUUUGCAUGAGAGAGGAUGGUAAGCAGCAGGUUUGUAUUGUGGGUUUGCAAGAGUACAAAGUAUCAGAUGUAGAGACCAUUAAGGACCUCAUUGAGAAGGGAAGUGCCACAAGAAGUACUGGCACAACUGGUGCAAAUGAAGAAUCCUCCCGUUCACAUGCCAUACUACAGCUUGCUAUCAAGAGAUCAGUUGAUGGCAAUGAGUCAAAGCCUCCACGCCCCGUUGGCAAGCUCUCCUUCAUAGAUCUUGCAGGAAGUGAGCGUGGUGCAGAUACCACAGAUAAUGAUAAACAAACAAGGUAUGUCCACUCCCUUAUCUUUGUGGUAUUUUUUUGCCACUGUUGACCAUACAAGUUGGGCAAUUUAAGGUUUCUGUUUCAUAUUAUGAUAGUGAGGAACACUCAGGAAUAUAAUGCAUAUGGAGCUCAGUGUACCAUUCAGAAAUAGUGUUUGGCAUGAGAUAUUUUUCCAUGUGCAGCCUUGCAUUAUCUUAGGGAAGUAGAAAUUGAUAUUUUCACUGAUCAUACUGGAUUGAACAGCCGGCCAAUAAAAAAGGGAUUGUUUAAUCAAUUGCUUGAUAAUAAAAUUAUCCUUAGGGAAUAGAGUUACAAGGCAAUAAGAAAUGUAGAUAUUUCAAUGUUUUCUAUUGUGUUUUAUUUAUGUAAUCUGUCCCUUUCACCACUUAAUGACUUGUCAAGUUGAUUUCUAUUUCAUAGUGUUUUCAUCUCUAGUGUUCAGUUCAUGGUUUACUGACCUUUCUUUAUAUGCUUUACUGACCUUUCUUUAAUUUGGGUGGGUGGGUUUGUUUAAUUUGGUUGUUUCAUAUAUAUGAUGCAGGAUGGAAGGUGCAGAGAUUAACAAGAGUUUACUUGCAUUAAAGGAGUGCAUAAGGGCACUUGACAAUGACAAGAGUCAUAUUCCUUUCAGAGGCAGUAAAUUAACUGAGGUUCUAAGGGAUUCUUUUGUUGGCAAUUCACGCACUGUUAUGAUAUCGUGCAUUUCACCAAGCUCAGGA